rnacentral:lncRNA from 1 species
UUUUUUUUUUUUUUCAUCAAUGGAGAAAUUUUAAUGCUUUGGGUGCCACCAUGUCCAACCAAAUCAGGAGAUCCAAGUCACAAGUUUCUUGAAAACUCAACUCCCCCAAGGAUACCUACUCCGUUUCCGGGUUCAAAAACAGUUUAAUAAUGGAUUCUCUCGUCACUUUCGAACUGCAGGCCCUCCAUACCUUUGAGGGCAGCUUCGUAGUUCUUGGCAUGAGAGGUGUUUCUCAUGGACGAGGCCCGCUUAGGGUCAGAAGAUUCAACGGGGCUUUGUCGGCUUGAGUUUCUGUUCAAACCUCCAUGGCUAGCAUCGGUUGUACGAGAACGUUGGGGGUCGGCCUCGCUACCAGCAAAAGCUUCACGGCUACCAGCAAUGUGCCUUGAAGAGGAUCCACCGGAUUGCCCCAUAUACUUGUUGCCAAUAAAAUUCAAAUUAGCAGCAAAAGAUAAGAAUGAAAUAGAAUAUACAUAUAUAAAUGCCUACAUAUAUAUAAGCUUUUAGAUUAAUAUUGAUCAUCCCAUGUAUCUGCAGAUACAUCCUAAAUGAAAAGGAAGCAAGACAGUAACUAGAAUCUACACUAGUAAUACAAGUGCAUAUAAUCAUAAAAUAAAAAUACCAUAGCGUCUUUAGUAAUUGCAGGAUCAUUUGCAACUGGACCUUUCUGCUUUGCGUGACUUCCGGAAUUCAAGGGUCCUGAUGUUUUCCGCCGAGAUGAAUUCAUAGAUGACAAACCAGCUGCUCGCAGGUUAUCACCGGCUGCAGCCAAGAGAUACAAAUGGUAUAACUCAAAACAUAACUUGACAUUUCAACUUAAAGAAAUGGUUCAAGACAAUUCUUAUACUUACACACCAAAUGCAUUUUUGUAUUAAAUAUCAGAUAAAGUUAUAAAAUUCAAUUUUGGAAUACGGAAGGGUGUCAGAAACAAAAGGUUAUAAAAUUCAAAACAUCGUAAGCACUGCUAUUUAAAAUACUCAAUUGUAUAAAAGGAACAACAGUUACCUGCUUGUCGGUCAGCAUUGGCAAAAGCAGGGGGCAUGGCAGCACUUGUUCCAGCACCGGGGCCCUACCAGAGACAAGCAUUAGAAAAGAUACAUUCCAUACAGCUUAAUAACAGGAGCAAAACAUCCUACUAAGUACUCACAAGGGCUCGAGCUGGAGGAGUGGUCAGCUGUGAUUGCUGAUACUUCAAAAUGGUCCAAUCAAAGACAUAAUCGAACUGGAAGCCUGUUUAGUAAGGAUCAACAAGAACAAAGAGAUGUGACACUACUGUGAUCUAUGGAAAUAAUACAAGUUGACAGUAUGGAUUGUUAAAAACGCAAAUUCAAACCUUCACGAAUAAAGAGAUCACGAAAGAUUCUUUUGAGAUAAGAAUAGUCUGGCUUAUCAUCAAAUCUUAGUGAACGGCAAUAAUGGAAGUAUGAUGCAAAUUCUGUUGGAUAACCUCGACAUAAGGCCUGAAAAGCGCAUCUAUCUUUAGUCAUAAUUUUUUUAACACAAAAUCAGAAGCUCCAAGACACAUGAACAUCUUCCGAAUAUCUCAUUCCCUUUACAGAAACCUAAUGCAAUUGCAAGAUUUACAGACAUCCUUACCUCAAUUGAAGUAGAAACCUUCUUCUCACUAAUUUUCUCAUACUUCUGUUUCUUUGUUCCAGCUUUCAGACCUUGCCAAGGAAGACUGUUAAAAGAGGAGACACCAAAAAUGGUAACUAUUAUGAAAUACACACAAGACAAAAAGGAAAGUACUAUAGGUAACAAGAAUUCACCUUCCUCUUAGGAAGUACAUAAGCACGUAUCCAAGAGACUCCAAAUCAUCCCUACGGCUUUGCUCUACAUGGAAUAGGACAGAUAAUCAAAACUGAGAAGGCUUGAAAGAUCCAGACAUUAAAGAAAUUACAUCAGAAUAAAAUUGACCACACAUACCGAUGCCCAAGUGUGUGUUCAUGCUUGCAUAUCUUGCAGUUCCAGUCAGAUUCUUAUUCUCCCUGAAAUGGACAUGACCAAGUAAUAUAUUUAUGGUUUCACAAGUGCACCACAAACUAUGAAGAAAUAAAUCAGUAAAAUGAAAAUUGAAAGAUAGACUCUUAUUCUCCCUGAAAUAGACAUGACCAAGUAAAAUAUAUAUAUAUGUAUGUAUGAUGCAUCAACAUUGCCACCACAGGUAAUAACAAUUACCCUCAUGACAAUUCAUCAAAAUUCUUUAUUUUGGAAACUCCAAUACAAGCCAUACUAAAAGAUUAUAGCCAUAAGUUAAAAUGUUUUAACCAAGCUGGGGAAAUUUCAUAACUCAGAACACAAAACAGACCAGAGAACCGGACAUGUAUCAACUAAUUUUGAGACAGAAUAUGGACCAAAAUUGAAAUGUAAAUCAGGUAAAUGCCUCAGGUAAAAGCUUGAUAAAUUUAAAUUCAUCAGCAAAAACUCUCCCUUAAUUGAGUUUAAUAUCAUUUCUCUAUCAAUAUUUUCAUGUCAAAACAUUAUAUAGUAAGUUGCACAUGCCAUUUAUCAAAAUCACAAAAGAAAUAUGGAAUCCAUCAAAAUCACAUCUUCUAAAAGAGGAUGCACCUUCACUAUAAUAACCAGUCAAUGAUGAAAAACAUGGGAAUCUCAAAGUAGAUUCAGCUCAGAUUACACUAACCGUAUUAGUUUUUUCUUUUCAUUUUUAGAAAUGGGGGGGGGGGAUUGGGAACAAACCAGGAUUUUUAACCUGCACGUAUAAUACAAUACAUCACAUUAUGCAAAGUUCUCUCACCUGUAAGGAAUGUGUUGAUGUGAACUGUCUCUAUAUUUCUUAGCAAGACCAAAGUCAAUCAUAUAGACCUAUGUGAAAAUGAAAAGCAAUGGCACAUUAGAUUUUCCUGCAACAUAUAAAAGAAGGAAGAAAAAGAACACAUAAAACAUAAUAAUAUUUUGAGCAGAAAGCAGAAACCUGAUUUGCACGCCUUCCCAAGCCCAUAAUAAAAUUGUCUGGCUUGAUAUCCCGAUGUAGAAAUGAUUUUGAAUGAACAAAUUCAACACGAUUGAUCUGAGAAAAAAAAAAUAGAAUUAAUUGACAAGAAAGUAAAGGAAGAGGAACUGAAGUAACCAAUCUAUAGAAUUCUAAAAAGCUACCAUUUGAUCAGCAAGCAUGAGAACUGACUUCAAUGAGAGUUUCCUACUGCAGAAAUUAAAUAGAUCUUCAAGACUAGGUCCAAGUAAAUCCAUAACCAUAACAUUAUAGUCUCCCUCAACUCCAAACCAUCUAACAUUUGGAAUCCCAGCUGACAAGUAAAAGAUAAGAUAGGGAAAGUUAAUAUUUGCAGGCAUAAGAAACAAAAGGAUAAGUAAAUAUGAAAUUUGAAAAAACAACCAAAGGUUGAAACACGAGCUUUAUGUUCUUAAAAAAAUGAAACUAGAAGUAUCAUUACUUCCUCCCUGCAGGAUCCUGUAUAACUUCGAUUCAUAUAACAAUUGAGGAUGCUUUGUCUUCACAUUUUCCUGUUCAUUAAAGAAAAGGUCAUUAAUUCCCUUAUGUACCAUAAAGAAUUAAAUAUGUUUAAAACAACUACAACAAAGGAGAAAAUUAUUAUCAAAUUUAACAUAAGCAAGCUAUUGUUUUACAGAAUGUCAAAACUUUAACUGAUCGAAUCAAAUUAAUAAUUCAAGCAGAAAAUUAGUUUAAUAAUAAUGUCAGUCAAAUUGAAAGUGGGCCCUUAAAAAGCUUAUAAAGUAUCAUUGAUUAAUUAAAAGACUUCAAAUCAAAUCUCAAGAAUAUAAUGAGAAUAAUGCAUAUACAACAGUAAAUUGGUAAUCAACAUACAAAGUAAGUCAUCCCAUUUAACCUUAUUUAUUUCAGGUGAUAACCACCCAAAGUAUCUUCUUCUUGUCUACUGUGCCAGCCAGCAAUUAGAAAAUAAGAAAUUUUUACUUAUGAACAAAUCCAAUCCUCCUUUUGAUAAUUGUGAUGUUCCUACCAAGUUAAAUCAUGAUUAAUAGUUUUCUUCUCUGUUUCUCUCUCUUUAUUGCCAAGGGAGUCCACGAACUAUGAUUAUCAUUAAUUUAAUGCAACCCUAAAACUAUAACAAAAAUAACACCAAGUAAAAACUGUAAUUGCUAUGGAACAAACGGGAAAGUGAAACAAUGGUCACUUCAUUUGAAUUUCUGUUUAUUUCAGUUAAUCUUUUGUUUAAUUGUAAACGUUGCAUAUUGGUUAAUUUUAAUGAUCCGGUGCGUUUUGGUGGGAGGAGAGGGGGAAUAAGUAUUGUCCAAAACAGGGCGUUUUGGACUAAGGAACCGUUUAAUGAAACGGUGCGUAUUAAGCUGUUUAGUUACCAGCUCUAUUCGAGCUGUUAUUUCUCUAUUUAGCCACCAAUCAGGCAAGGGAGGCAGUUAUGUAAUUGGAAAUCAGUUUUCUCACUCUCUCUUCCUCAUUUCUCUCGUGCUCUCUUCUCUCUUCUUCCUUCUCCUUUCUGGCUACUUUCUUUCUUCAAAUUCCAACCGUAUCAUAAACAUAAACCAAUGUGUCAAGGGCUCCAAACAUCUGCACCGUUGUCAAGCUUUCCCAGAACAUUACAAUUCUAUCAAGCAUGGUGCAUCUUAACCACCUUGACAAAUUAGAAUCAAAUUCCUUUCCUUCCCAUGCCCAUUUGCUAGAAUCUGAUUACCUAAAGAAUUAUAUAUUUCUACAGUUAAUUGCUUCUACAUAUCCUACGACUAAAGUGCAGCACUAAGUUAUAAACGAUCUUGUUAAAGCAAGAAAUCGAAUGAACAUCAGCUCUAAUAAAAACCUAACCAGAAUAUCAACAACAUUGCCAUGCUAUAGAUCAGUACGCAAUAAAUUAAAGUUACAAACAAGAAAAUCAUACAAAAUUAAACCUCUUCGUUUAAUGGCAAGCUUAUUUGCAAGGCUACUUACAAGCUUAAUGGCAACCUCUUCGUUUGUCUGAAUAUUCGUACCUGCAAAAGGAAAAAGAAAUUACCAACCUAUAUUCAAAAUCAUACCAAAAAAAAAAAAAGGAAAAAAUAAAAAUAUGCAACAAACCCAAAUAAAUCUCUCCAAAAGAGCCGCUACCGAUCUUACGACCAAGUCGAAACUUAUUACCGACACGAGGCUCCAUCAAUUCAACUUAAAAGUAGUAAAGAAAGGAAGAAAAAUAAUUGAAGCCCUAACUAUAACCGGAAACCCUAAUUCAGAAAACUCCCACAAAUUUAAAACAAAUAAAAAAACGAGGAAAUCAUUUUGAGACACUGAACACCAAAUCAACCGCUCCAACAAUUCAUAUACAUCAUAAUUUUCGAUCACGUAAUAGAAUUAAAACAAAUCAAAAGGAAAUAAAAAUAAAAAGAUCUAGAAUCCCAUCUUGGUUUUAAGCCAAAAAAACAAAUUAAAAUUAACAGAAAAGCUAGGGUUAAGCUAGCUUAACCGUAAGGGGAAAAAAAAGAAAAAGAAGAGUAGCUAAGAAAUCAUAAUUCUGUUUCUAUGAAACGCUAAAAACAGAUAAUUAGUAUUAUUUUCUAUCUCCAAAAAGGGUGGCUUGAUAAUUGAUAGGGAAAUUCGAUGGGCUCCGUGGAUUGGAUUUUAGUGAUCAAUGCGACAAUGGAAAUGUCUGAUUCACAUGAUUUUCUCUUCACUAAUUUUGGGGGUUUUUUUAACCCCCCUUCUUAUGUAUUAAUCAAUUGACCCCAUUGUAUAAAUAUUUUCAAUGUUUUUUAAGCUGUAAAAAUAUUAAGGGUAAACUACUUAGUUGGUCACAUAACUUUUAGAAAACUUUCAGUUUGGUCACUCAAUGUUUAGGAUGCUUUCAUUUUAGUCACUCAAAUGUUAAAUAUCUUAUGACGGUUAAUUGUACGUGCCACGUCAUGUUUUCGCUUUUGUGUAGGUCACCCGACAUUUAGGCCACUUGCAUUUUAGUCACCCAAAAAAAUUUCUUUUUUAAGUAUAAAUUGGGGUAAAAAAAUCAAGGAUUAAAGUGAAAAAGAGUUAGGAAUUAAAAUAAUACACAAAAAAAUUCAAAUUAUACUUGUUUAUCCUACCGUUGAAAAUUCUAAAUUUAGGUUUUGAAAUAUAAAAUUUUAAAUAUUAAGAUUCUAAAUUAUAGUAGUAAAUCGAUUGACAUUAUCUUGAAUCUUUUCUGCUAAACUAAAAGCAAUGAAAAAUCCUUACAAUUAAUAAAUUUUGUCUUCCAUUCCCAACAAAAACUCAUAAAUUUUCAUUACUUUUUUACCCCAAACGAAGAACAAACAAUUAAUUAAUUUUAAUCUCGUAGUAAGAAAUCAGUUGAAUUUAUCAAAGAAUAAAAAAUCUUCAACAAUUUAUUCCAUUUAUUUUGAUGUUUUGAAAUUUAAAAUUUUAAUAUUAAAAAAAUUAGGAUUUCAAAAAUGGGAUAAAUAAGUACAAUUUGACAAUUUUGUGUAUUAUUUUAGUUUUUAUCGUUUUUUCACUUUAAUCCUUGAUUUUUUUGCCCAAAUCAUGGUUAAAAAAAAUUUAGGUGACUAAAAUGAAAGCUACCUAAAAGUUGGGUAACCAAAAUGAAAGUGUAAACAUGAUGUAGUGUGUACAGUUAAUUGGCAUAGCGCCCUAAAAUUUGGGUGACCAACUAGGUAGUUUACCCAAAAUUAAUAACAAAUUCCACUUGCGGUGAUAAACUAUGUUUUUUAUUUAAUUACUAUGCAUCCCCAAAUUAUUAUAUCAUUCUAAAUUGGUCCCUAAACUUGAAAACAUUCUAAUUACAUUCUAAAACUAUCGAGGUCAUAUCAGUAAGGUCUUUUUUGUUAAAAUCAUUAAUUUAACCGUUAAAUUAGCUGUAAUAUCUGUGAAAAAUAAAAUAAAAUAAAUAAAUAAAAAACACACAGAUUUUUUCGUGGAAACCCUUUCGGGAAAAAAACACGGGCAAAGGAGAAGAAAAUUUACUAUGUCGAAUUCAAAAAUAAAAUUGUUACAAGAGGAAUAGGCUAAUCUAUGUCGAAUUCAAAAAUAAAAUUGUUACAAGAGGAAUAGGCUAUGUUUAUUUAUAGGCUUGUAAAGCCAUAUUCUAGUAAGACUGAAACACCUUAUUCUAAUCAAUAUCAAAUAGAUAGAUUUUAAUAAGGUUUAAAAAACCUUAUUCUAAAAUUAAAUAAAAGAAAUGUAAUUCUAUAUGGAUUCUUCUUUUAUUUUAUUUUACCACUGUAUUUUAUUUAAAUAAGGAUUUGGGUCACUUAAUUCUAACAAUCUCUACCUUGACACGAAUUCUUAAUGAACAAGUUUUUCAUCGCGAACUCUCAACGAACAAGUUCUCCACCUCUUCCAUAAAACCCCUUAAGGGUUUAACUUCAACAAUGAACACCAACCAAGUCUAAGCAAUGUUCAAACUUGGUUAUAGGAAGUGACUUAGUCAUCAUAUCUGCAGGAUUUUCAUGAGUACUAAUUUUGCUCACAACAAUAUCAUCACGAGCAAUAAUAUCACGGACAAAAUGAUACCGAACAUCAAUGUGUUUUGUUCUCUCAUGAAACAUUUGAUCUUUUGUAAGAAAGAUGGCACUCUAACUAUCACAAAAUACUGUGCUGAUUUGAAGGUCUUCAUUGAGUUCACUAAAGAGUCCCUUCAACCAAAUAGCUUCUUUACAAGCCCCAGUAAUCGCCAUGUACUCAGCUUCAGUGGUAGAUAAAGCGACUGUAGUUUGUAAAGUGACUUUCCAACUGAUUGCACAACCUCUGAUUGUAAAGACAUAACCUGUGAGAGAUCUUCUUCUAUCAAAGUCUCCAACAAAAUCAGAAUCAACAUACCCAAUUACUCAAUCUCUAGUUCUUCCAAACUGUAAGCAAACAUCAGUAGUUCCUCAUAAAUAUCUUAAAAUCCACUGAACUGUUUUCCAAUGUUCUUUACCGGGAUUCGCCAUAUAUCUGCUAACUGCACUAACUGCAUAUGAUAAAUCUGGACAUGAACAAACUAUAGAAUACAUGAGAGAUCCCACUGCACUAGAGUAUAGAACAUGUGACAUGUACUCAAUCUCAUCAUCUGAUUGUGGAGACAAAGCCGAUGAAAGUCAGAAAUGGGCUGCUAAUGGAGUACUAACAGGCUUAGCACUCUGCAUAUUGAACCUGCAAAGAACUUUCUCAAUUUACCCCUUCUGACUUAGGUACAAUUUACUUACUUUUCUAUCUCUAAGAAUCUCCAUAGUAAGUAUCUUAUUUGCUGGUCCCAAAUCUUUCAUCUCAAAUUCUUCACUUAAUUGUGCUUUGACCUUUCUUAUCUCUCCUUUAUCUUUUGUUCCUAUCAACAUGUCAUCAACAUAAAGAAGUAGAUACACAAAAGAACCAUCACUAUUUUUCUUAAAGUAAACACAACUGUCAAAACUACUUCUUUUGAAAUCAUGAUAAGUCAUAAAGGAAUCAAACCUCUUGUACCACUGUCUUGGUGACUGUUUCAAACCGUAAAAGGGACUUUUUCAGCAAGCAAACAUAGUCCUCUUUUUCUGAGACUGUAAAACCCUUUGAUUGUUGCAUGUAAAUAUCUUCUUUAAGUUCUCCAUGCAAAAAUGCAGUUUUUACAUCUACCUGCUCAAGCUCCAAAUCAUGCAUGGCCACAAUACCAAGCAAAGCUCGAAUCGAACUAUGCUUUACAACUGGGGAGAACACAUCUGUGAAGUCCACUACUGGAAUUUGACUGUAACCCUUUACAACAAGCAUUGCUUUAUAUCUGGGUUCUUCAACUCCUGGAGUCUCUUCUUUCUUUUUAAACACCCAUUUACAACGAACAGUCUUUUUACCUUUAGGAAGUUUCACAAGAUCCCAUGUUUUGUUUUUGUGAAGUGAUUCCAUGUCCUCUUGCAUAACAAACAUCUAUUUUUCUGAGUCUUCACAACUAACCGCCUCAGAAUAAUUAGAUGGCUCUUGGUUUACAUCUAUAUCUUCAGCCACAUUUAAAGCAUAAGCAACUAAAUCAGCUUUGACAUACUUCUUUGGAGGUUUAAUUUCUCUUCUAAUUUUGUUUUUGGCGAUAGAGUAUUGUGGUGAAGAAGCAACUCUAUUCUCAAUUUUUGUACUGGCUUGAAGAGUUGAGUCUGUAUUAAUCUAAUGCUCCACCUGCUUUUGAUUUUCUUUAUUGGAAGAGUCUUUAAGCGAUAAGUUAGGUAGCAUAGCAGUUUCAUAAAAAACAUCUCUGCUAAUCACAACUUUUCUAUUUUCAUUCUUUUACACCAGCUUUAUAACCAAGAAAAACGCAUUUAAUGGAUCUCGGUUCCAAUUUUUCAUUAUCAACAUGAACAUACGUAGGACACCCAAAAAUCUUUAAAUCAGAAGAAUUAGCAGAAUUACCAGGCUAUACCUCUUGUGGAGUCUUUUUCUCAAUGGCAACGGAUAGAGACCGGUUGAUAAAAAAUAUGCAGUAGAGGCUGCUUCUGCCCAAAACGACUUUGGUAAGUUGGCAUUUGACAACAUAUAUCGAACUUUCUCCAUGAUCGUUCUGUUCAUUCGUUCAGCGACGCCAUUUUACUGUGGAGUAUGGCGAACUGUCAAGUGUCUUACGAUCCCUUCUGACUUGCACAAUCUAUUAAACUCAUCAGAACAUAACUCUAAGCCAUUGUCUGUACGAAUGUAUUUUAUUUGUUUUUCCGUCUAUUUUUCAAUCAUAAUUUUUUAAGACUUAAAUGCGGAAAACACAUCGCUUUUCUGCUUCAAGAAGAACGCCCAAACUUUUCUGGAAAAAUCAUCAAUAAAGGUUAACAUAUAAUUAGCUCCACCUCUCGAAGGCAUUUUGAAUGGCCCCCACAGAUUAGAAUGAAUAUAUUCUAACGUUCUUUUAGUGUUAUGGAUUCCUCGGUGAAUCAAACUCUCUUUUGCUUCCCAAAAAUACAGUGCUAAAAAAAAAUCAGUUUGCAAAUUCCUUGCUCAUCAAGAAGUUCUCUUUUGCUCAAUUUUACCAUGCCAUUCUCACUCAUAUGCCCUAGGCGCAUAUGCCAAAGUUUAGUAAUAUCAUCAUCUGAGCUGCAUCACCAGUAACAGUAGAACCCUGCAAAAUAUAUAAUUUGGCAAUCUUUCUCUGCCCUUUCAUUACAACAAGGGAACCUUUGGAAAUCUUUAAAACCCUACUUUCAGUUGUGUAUCUGUACCCUUUUGAAUCAAGAGUACUCAAUGAGAUUAAAUUUCUUUUCAAUUCUGGAACAUGUCGUACGUCACUAAAUGUUCUGACAACUCCAUCAAACAUCUCAACUUUAAUUGUUCCAACACUUGCGAUUUUACACGAAGUAUUAUUUCCCAUCAAAACAACACCUUCAGACACUGUUUCGUAAGUUGUAAACCAAUCCCAAUUGGAACUCAUGUGGAAGGUGCAGCUUGAAUCAAGUAUAUACUCCUCGAUUUAACUCAUGUGGAAGGUGUAGCCUGAAUCAAGUAUAUACUCCUCGCUUACUUUAGAAUCAUUGACAGAAGCGAUUAGAAGUUCACCAUCACUGUAGUCUUCUACAACAUCAGCUUCACCGAAAUUUUCUGGUUAUUUUCCCUUUUGAUUCGCAGCUUCUCUUUUAAUCUUAUUAUGUAGCUUAUAACACUCAGAUUUAAUGUGCCAUUUCUUCUUGUAGAAGUUGCAAGUUUUACCUCUGUUUGAAGACUUUGAUCUACCCUUAGAUUUACCGCGAGGAUUCUGUUCCUGUGUCAUUCCAUGAUCAUCAUCAGUAUUCCGAUCUUGUCUCCCACAAACAAUGAGACCCUCUCCUUGAGAGUCAAGUUUAACCACAAGAUGCUUCAUCUUAUCAUACAAGGUCAAAGUAUCAUAAACCUCAUCAACUGUGAGGGACUCGCGGCUAUAUAAAAUCGUGUCUCUAAAGGUUAAAUAAGACGGGGGCAACAAACAAAGUAGAAUCAACCCUAGAUCUUCCUUAUCAUACUGAACCUCUAUGGCUUCCAAGUUUGAGAGAAUUUCUUUAAAAACUGUUAAGUGUUCGUGUACAGACGCACCUUCCUCCAAACAAUGAGUAUAAAGAUGCUGCUUCAUAUGCAAUUUGCUUGUUAGAGUUUUCGACAUACAUAUUUGUUCUAGUCUCUUCUAUAAUGCAGCGACAGUCUUCUCUUUCAUCACAUCCUGCAAAAUUUCGUUGGACAAAUGCAGAUGUAAUUGUGUUAAUACCUUUCAAUCCUUACGCUUCUUCUCUUCAUCUGUUAAUGUCGAAGGAAUCUUAUCUAUCCCUAGCAGGGCAUCCUUCAGAUCCAUCUGCACAAGAACUGCUUGCAUUUUAAUUUGCCACAAUGCAAAUCUGGUGUUGCGAUCCAACAACAGAAUUUCAUAUUUUAAAGACGCCAUUACCGUGAUCGAGAUGAACAACCCGGAAGCUCGGAUACCAAUUUGUGAAAAAUAAAAUAAAUAAAUAAAUAAAAAACACACAGAUUUUUCGUGGAAACCCUUUUGGAAAAAAAACCACGAGUAGAGGAGAAGAAAAUUUACUAUGUCGAAUUCAAAAAUAAAAUUGUUACAAGAGGAAUAGACUAUGUCUAUUUAUAGGCUUGUAAAGCCAUAUUCUAGUAAGACUGAAACACCUUAUUCUAAUUAAUAUCAAAUAGAUAGAAUUUAAUAAGGUUUAAAAAACCUUAUUCUAAAAUAAAAUAAAAGAAGUGUAAUUCUAUAUGGAUUCUUCUUUUAUUUAUUUUACCACUAUAUUUUAUUUAAAUAAGGAUUCGGGUCACUUAAUUCUAACAAUAUCUUAUGCGGCUUCAUUAAAAAUGAAAUGUUAGCAGAUAACUUUUAAAAGUAAAAACUAAAAAUAAGGUAAAACUGAAAAAAGAAAAGUAAAUGUUGUCACGUAACGUUUAAAAUUUUCAUUCUAAAUCAUGCCAAAUCUUAUUUGACAUCUCGUUUAAUAGUUAAAUUAACAAUUUUAGUAAUGAAAGGACUUAAUUAAUAAAACAACGAUAGCUUAGGGAUGUAAUUAGAAUGUAUUAAAGUUUAGAGACCACUUAGAAUGAAGAUCAUAGUUUAGGGAUGUCUAAUGUAAUUAAUUCUUUUUCCAUCGUUUUAAAAGUUACUAUUAGUCACCCAUAUUAUCAAGUUGUAACAUUUUGAUCACCCACCCGUUAAUUAUUUGUUGCUUCUUUUAACGAAAAUAUAAUGUGGGCCAGCACCUAAUUGCCAUCUAUUUUCUACAUAAUUUACUUUAAAUGACCACCUAAUAAACAAAUUGUCCGACCUUUGUUUGGCUUUAAAUCGUAGCUCUCGACCCCUUGAACUCGAUUUUAUCCUUCAUUUCUUCGAAUAUUUCACAUACUAUUAAUAUUGUAAUUCUCGACCUCUUGAACUCGAUUUAAAAAUCAUGAAUAUAAGCCAAAAGGUGGAAACUUUCGACUCUCCAUGAGCUUGUGUAAUAUGCAUAAAUUUGUUUCUUUCUUCGUUAUGAACAAAUUGAAGUUGAUUCCUAUACUACACUACUGAAAAAUCAAAGCGCAUUUAUUCCGAGACAAAAUACAAAUAAUAUUAUGGUGAUAUAUGAAUUGAUUUAUACGUUGAAAGUGAGAAUGAUAGUAAUGGAAAGUUUACCCUCAAAUUAGUAUGAAUACAACGAUUGAUCGAGUUAAAUGAAAUUUUUUUAGGCCAUAAUGUAAAUAAUGGAAUUCAAUGGUUGAUGAACUACAUUAAUCAUGUCAUGUGCAAAGACAAUUUCAUACAUGGUUUCUUUAAUGAGAAUGGUACUUCCCUUUCUUAGCCUUCAGAAGUGGUAUUAGGUUUCAAGCUAAUGGCCAAUCGCUGGCUGCUACCCUUUUCCCCUCCCUUCUCUCAUUACCUCAUCUCUCUCGUCUUUUCAUUCCUUUUCCCUCCUUUGUUACCGCUCUUGCCUUCUUUUGUUGUCGGCAUAACCUCAUUCCCUUUGUCUCUUGACCUCCGCAUUUCUUUCACCGUCUACCCCAUUCAUCUCCUAUUUUUGAGCAAAAUAAUGGCUUCGACUUACAUUUUUCAUGGGAUUCCCCAUUGUGGGGCUUGUGCUAAGCCUCUUAUAACUCGAGCUUGCAAAGUUGUUUUUUCUCCAACCACUAGAGGCUCACGUUCUCAAGUUUGUGGCUUUGUGUUUUCUCUUCAAUUGAUCUGAAAAGCUUUUUUACUUUUAUUGAGGCUAUGCUAGAUUUAUCCAUGUACCAGGCCGGUUUUGGGACGGAUCUUGACAAAAUUUCAAGUCUGUUUGAUAAGUUCAAGCUUGACUUGACUUGAAAAAUAGACUUAAAAUUUUGUCUAAGUUUAACUUGAAUAAAAAUACUAAAAUCUGAGCUCGACUUGUAUUAAAUUAUUAUUUUAUUAUUUUUUAAAUAAAUAUAAUGCAUUAAAAAUACUAAAAAUAUUAAAAUAAAUGUUUCCCAAUAAAUUGAAAAUAAAUUUUAAAAAAAUAGUGAGAAAAAACAUUUUUUUAUCAUAUUCAUUGGGCCAGACUGUAAUACCCCUACCCGUAUUCAUUGCCGGAAUAGGGUACGAGGCAUUACCGGAGUUUACGAAUUAAAUUUUUUUUAUAUUCAAUAUAGCCCCUUUAUAAAUAUCUAACAUUCCCUGCAAUAUUAAAUCGAGACCAAUCCACAUCAACCAAAUCAAUUCAACAUAUUUUCAAGAUAAAUUCAUGCAUAUUUAUAAGAUAACGUCAUCACAUAUCUAAAACCAGGUUUGUUAACCAUACUAAUGGCUAACUUUACAUUCAUUUCACGUUAACAUUUACUUUGUUAGCUUAUACAUGCCAUUGAUUUCCAAAAUAAAGUUUCUUUAUAUACCGAAAUCCUGAGGUUGAUAGUGUGAUGUGUCUUAGACCAAAUCCGACCUCUGAGCUCUUAACACUACAAAACAGGGAAAAAGGAAACGGGGUAAGCACUUUGUGCUUAGUAAGCUCAUGUAACAAGAAUUAUACUUACCUAAUAUUUUCAAUACAAUAUAAUAAACAUUCAUAUAUCCAUUCAAUGCAUUAUUACCCUAACAUGCACAAACUCAACAUUCAAGUUAGUACAAUAAUUUACAUGUAUCAAUAAUAUAUACCAUGAUUGAUGAGCUCAUCAAUAUCAUAAUUUCCAUUUCCUUGUUAUUUUUUUUAUACUUAUCCCGUUGAAUUUAUCAGAAUUUCGAUGGAUUUUCAAAGGUACACAUUUAUUGUACAAUUCCGAGUCCAUCAAUUCAUAUUCAUGUGCGCACAUUUCCAUUUCAGAGAACACACUCCAGCGAACCUCAAUCUUACAGCGGGAUUACCAGUCCAGGCUAAAUCCCCUGCAAUAUAAACUCAUAGAGUAUUGUCGGGAUUACCAGUCCAGGCUAAAUCCCCUGCAACGACAAUUACUCUAAUGAGCUUGGAUCUGAAUUACCAGUCCAGGCUAAAUUCAGACCCUAAUUCGGAUUACCCGUCCGGGCUAAAUCCAUUUUACACAUAUUCUUCGGGAGGGCUAUAUCAGGAUAGGAUCACCCGUCCGGGCUAGAUCCUUUUUACCGUCAAUUCCUUUUCAGAGAUCCAUCGAAAUUUUCCUUUUAUUCAACUGGGAUUUCUUCCCAUUUUUAUCAAAUAUAUCAAUGUUUUAUCAAUUUUCAUACAAUGAACAUUCAAAUCAUAUUCAUAUAAAAAAAGGUGCAUUUCAAGCAUUUAAGAAUAUAAUUCAAGUUACAUGAACUUUCCUUGAUACUUGUUUAUAAACAAUAAAAAUCUACUAAUUCCAAACUUUUUCCUUUUCUCGAUCUAGCUUUGUAUUUGAGUCUUCCGGAUCUACAUAAAUAAAUUUAAUUAUCAAUUUAAUACAUUUCAUGUUCAUAUGCAACAUUCUCUAUAAUUCAACUAUUAUUUAUAGUUCAUUCAAAGCUGUCUACUUGAGUCAUAGUCACUAAAUUAUUUAUAACUUGAGCUACGGAACUCCAAAUUAAGAUCUGUUAAUUUUCCCUGAAACUAGACUAAUAUAUAUUUUUACCAUAAAAUUUUAAGAAUUUUUUGUUUAGCCAAUAAGUAUAUUUUAUUCUUUAAAGUCACCCAUGUUCUGCUGUCAACAGUUCUGACCCUUCUUCACUAAAAAUUAAUUAUCUCUUCAUACAGAAUUCAAAUAAUGUUCUUGUUUAUUUAUAUUAAAAAUAGACUCAUUAAGGAUUCUAUACAUAUAAAUUUAAGCCUAUAAUUGUUUUUCUUCAAUUUUUUAUGAUUUUUCAAAGUCAGAACAUGGGAAAUCGAAUUUAUUCUGACAUUGUCUCACAAAAUUCAUUAUAUCUCAAAAUUUACAAAUCCAUUACUUACACUAUUUCUUCUAUGAGAAACUAGACUCAAUAAGAUUUAAUUCCAUAUUUUUUCAUCUUCUAAUUCGAUUUCUAAAAUUUAUGGUGAUUUUUCAAAAUUAGUCUACUGCUGCUGUCCAAACUGUUUUUGUGCAAGCUGUUUAUUACCAUUUUUCCCCUACUCAAUUAGCCUCUCAAUUGAGCUGAUUUUUCUAAAUUAACAUUUUAUUCUAUCACCUUAAACUAGUUUACAACCUUUAGGAAUCAGAAUUUCAGCAAUAGACUUUAAUUCCAAGCAUUUUCAUAAUUAGGUCCUAAAAAUCAAUUUCUAUUGAAAUUACCUAAUAAAAUCAUCUCAUAAACAAAUUAAAGCUUUAAUUUCAUUCUAUUUCAUCAUAAACUUACAGAACUCAACCAUGGUGACUUUCAAUUUCAUCCAUGAAAUCAAAAACUAAUGAAUUUAAUAGUAGGACCUAGUUGUAAAAGUCUUAGAAACACAAAAAUUACAAGAAAAAGGCAAGGAUUAACUCACUUGGUGCAAAAAUUAUGAAAUACCAGCUUAGAGAACCCUCCUAUUGCGUUUUUAGCUGCUGGAAUUGAAGAGAAAUGAAGAGAAAUCUAGAUAUUUCCUAUUUAGUCCUAGUUUUAUUUAGUUAAUUUUGCAAUAUUCCAAUUUUACCCUUAAUUUAUCAAUUUUUCUGCUGAUUUCAUACCCUUGCCGUCCAGCCCAAAUAAAUUUUGGGUCUAAUUGCCUUUUAAAUCCUUUCUCAUUAGACUUUUAAGCUAUUUAAUCAUUCUAGCAACUUUUACACCUAUUACAAUUUAGUCCUUUUCAUUUAAUUGACUACCCAAACAUUAAAAUUUCCUAAUGAAAUUUUAAUACCACAUUAAUAACAUUUCAUAAAUAUUUAUAAAAUUAUUUUUGACUCGGUUUUACAAGAUAGAGGUCUCGAUACCUUAUUUUUACCCAAUUUCUUCAAUAAUUUCUUUUUCUAUCCAAUCACUAAAUCAGUAAAAUUUUUCUAUCAAUAUUUUCAUACGAUUUCCCUAUUAUAUCAAUUUUCAUGCAAAAAUAUUGAAAUAAAUUUCUCUUUAAAUCAGAUUUGUGGUUACGAAACCACUGUUCCGAUAAUUUUGAAUUUAGGCCAUUACACAAACUCAAGCCAAAAAUUUUUUAUACAAGACCCGCAUGUUUUUUAAGAUGAGCCUUAUAUUUUUACUAAUCUCAUUUUUCGAGCCUAUAUUUUUAUCUGGAUCAUUCUACUUUUUCGGAAAGGCUUCCAAAUUGGGCCAGGUAUGCAACACUGAGAUCUACUAAAACAUUAUAGACAUCAGCAUCGAAAACAAUGCCCUGGUGUCACUAGGCUAGAUCUUUCGUCUUGCGAUCCGUGCGGCAUUAGGCGACCCGUUCGUCCAAACUCACCUAAGUCAACCUUUACUCAAGUGAGGAUUCCUUAAGAACUCCUCCAAGGCACCAGUUGUAGAGCUGAAACAAACUUAUGCCAAAAGAAGCAAUAAAGAACAAUAGAAAGCCACAGAAAAGAUUGCACACAAGUUGUUUAAGUAAAUGCUCUCAGAAUUCUAUUACUUUUAAGAAUUCACAAUUAAAAUGGAUGGAGUGAUUACAAAUGAGGGGGAGACUCUCUAAUUAUAAUUGAGCUCCCUAAAACCGACGAAUGAGAUUAACCAUAUCCCAUGAUUUAAGGGAUUUACAAGAUAUGCCAUAUUAAAUCCUGUCUAAUCUUUAUAAGAUAUGAUUUCCUCUAUCUUCUAAGAUUAGUUACCAAAUUAGCCAAAGUUUCCAUAUUUUUGUUAUCGGGCCAACCAGGCUUCUUUAACAAUUCCUUGAAUCGGGCCAGUUCUCAUGGGCCAAAUGAUCCCCAUCUAAACAAUAGACAUCCACUGAACGCAUUUGGUGCGAUGGUACGGGCUUUGAACUGCGGCCCGUGACAUUAGUUCAUAGUGCUCACAGGGGUUGAAACCCAACAAUGGGUUUGCUUUCAACUUGUUUGUAAUUUACUAGUGUUCUUUCUUCUUCUUUUUCUCGUUUUUUAAGAUCAAGUGUUGUUUCCGGUAUGGCGUGAUCUUCGGUCAGGUGCCACAUGUUAUUCUCUUCGACGAUGGUAUGCGACAAGUCCAGCUUAGAUCUCUUAAGGUUCAUUGUAUGGGUUUUAGGCAUCACAAGUUGGGGUUAAGCUUAAGGUCUCUAGUGUUGUAUGUAUUCUUCUCCCUUUUAGGAUUUAGGUCACAGUGGAACCAUUCUUUCGUUGUAAUGCUAUAGAAAAUUUGAUUGACUUAAUAAUGAUUGAUUACAUACAAAACAAAAUGAGCAAUGAAUACAAAAAAUACUAAUGAAUUAACAUUUUUGGCUAUUGAACUGGCUUUUAGUUAGAUGUUGAUAUGGAUCUUGGACUUGGCAGACCCAUGGUUGCAAUCCGUGGGGAAAGAUGCAUCUUUGGACUAGGCCUUGGUGAAGGGAUUGGUCCAUGGUUCACCACACUAGGAGCCACCCUUGGUGACAGGUUAACUUGUUCCAGUGCUUUGAACUGGAGCUCAGUUGGGUAGUCCCGAACACAACUGAUACGUGGUCCGACCCCUGUGGUCCACUUACAAGACAAUCUGUUGCCCGGAUUGAACAUUGGUGGUUCCAACUCGGUACCCUCCAUUAGUUCUUCUGGUUUGGGUUCAUUAGCCGAGGCUUGUCCAUAAUAGUCAUCAUCAGUGGCACAUCUCUGUAAACAAAAAAGGGUCAUAGAUGUUAGAAUUCGAAUUCUGAAAGCAUUAUAUACGAUGUCGAGCUGAAUAGAGAUUUUUUUUACCUUAACAUUAGUGAGAUUUACAUGGUUUUCCCCAAGGAAGUUGAUGAAUUCCAUGAAAUGCUCUUCUGUGGGAUGAUAGUGACCACUGUAUGGCCAUAUAGCCUAAAAAGCAAUGUCAAAAAGUGACAAAGAGUUAAGCACAUAAAUUACACCAAUACGGUUAAGUCGAGCGGUGAAGGCUGGACGAAAGUGAAAUGUACCUCAAGAACCCCAUCACAAGCAACUAAUCUUCCGGCAGCGGUGGUGGCACCACCAGCUAGAAAACUAGAAUGUUGAAAUUUACCCUUUUCUUUUUGACCGACAUACAAGGCUCUAGUUGUGCUAAGAACAAAUAUCCAUUUGAAUCCCCCUGUUGUAUCAACUAGUAACCCACUUUGCUUAAAAACAAGUUUCCCAUUCUCAAUUAUUACCUCAUAUUCUUCCCUUUCUUUCUGCAAAUAUAGUCAUUGAAAAAUGAUUUAUUAAAUUGAGGCAGCCAUUGUUGAAUCAUAUACAUUUUCAAGCUAAUCUUGUUUUAGAACAUACUGGUCCAAGAUAUGUGAUGCAUUGCUGCAGUAGUUUUUUCCUUGGACAUUUGCCGAGAUUUAAUUCUUUCCCAUCUCCAAUAUCCAACCUGUUUCAAAACAUCAAAAGACAAGACAAUGUCUUUACUAUGUUAUGAGAUGAUUUAUUUUGAGUUCACAGGGAUGUGAUGAAGGGCUGAUUUGUUACUGUUUUGUACCAGUAGAAGAAUGGCUGAGUGCUUUCACUUGAGAACCAAACAUCAUAGUACAGGUUUAAGUUAUGUCCAUAUCUAUGUCGUGGAUCAAUCUGCAAUGAAGAUAAUGUAAUGUCAAAGCCAUACAGUUAAGAUUAUGUAUAUAUGUAUAUAUGUGUGUAUAUAAUCUACAAAGAGGGAAAAGUCCCCGUCUUGAGUACUAGCCUCCGAUGAUUUGGAACAUGGAGUUGCAGCUAAUUGUUAAUGUUUCAAAGUAACUUACGGCUUCAAGCCAGUGUUGAAGGGCUAGUUUUUGAGCUUUUUCAUCUUUGGACAAUCCCUUUCCUACCUGCAAUUUAAUAAGGAAAAAACACCAUUGAUAUGGUUAAAUGGAGACGUAUUUGAAUGUGUUAACUGUAAGGAAAGGAUUCAUACCUUUGCUGCUCUUGUUUUGGCUCUUGCCCAUCGCGAAACCAUGGAUUCUGGUUUUUUGACAUCGAAGAACGACACAGAACUUUGCUUGAGCUCUGCAAGGUCUAAUACUUUCCACCAUAGCUCCUCAACGACCACUGCACAAUCGGCAAGGUUUCUUCGAGUCCGGUAGCCCUUGUACACCUUCUGAAGCUUAACAGCAGCCUCAUCGAGCUCACUAACUGGUCUUGGUGAAAACAAAAUCGUCGGUUCUGGUAGAGAAAGCGUGGAAAACGGCUCGUGCAAGAGUCCAUUUGAAUUCGAUACAGUCAAACCAAACUUCCCUUUAUCUGUAACUAAAUCCUUGAAAGAAAACGUUUUCUUGAGUACCACUUCAUGAUCAUGUGUGCCAUCUCUCAAUGUUCUUGAAUCUUUUCUUUGAAAUUCAUCUGAUUCAACCGAGUUAGUCAUGGAUUCUGAAUCUGUUCCCUUCAAACUAUUUGCCUUCAAUAUCACUUCUGUCUUUCGAACAAAGACUGACGUUGUAAGCCGAAUCGAAAAACCAGAACAAUAUGAAUUCAAUAUUCCAACACACUCACUCUAUGUAAAAGACUAAACCCUUUUCAUCAAGUUCAUAUAUACUGAAUUUAAUUGGCAUAUCUAUCUGCAUAUAUACUGAAUGCAUAAGAUAUAUACGAUAUAUUACAGGAUACAAAUUAUUCUAUAUCAUAAAGUUCAUAUAUAAGAAGAAUCAAAUCAAAUCAUUUCAGUCACUAAAUUCUAAUCUGAGCGACAUGAAUUCAAUAUCAACACACAGAUUCCAUGUAAAGGAUUAAACCCAUUCAUCAAGCACCUUAUAUGCAAACGCAAAACAACUUUUUGGCAUAUCUACUUGUAUAUAUACUGAAGAUUAUAUCAGAUACUUUACAGAUUGUCCCAUAUCAUAGUGUUCAUAUAAGAAGAAUCAAGUUAUGAAUUCAAUACGAACAGACAGACUCUAUGUAAAGGAUUAAACCCUUUUCAUCUAGCAUGCUACGUGCAAAAUCAAACCAAAGUUUUGGCAAAGAAUAUUAACUGCCAUACAUAUAUCUACCUGAAUAUAUAUACUGGAUAUAUUCUCUAUGAAAAUCCUGUACGAAUCGAUCAAAACGUUGUUUCAGAAUCUGACAACUCGCUCUCUCUUAUAUAAUACAAGCAAAAAAGAAAGCUAUGGAGUCCACUAAGCCUUAAAAUAAGUAUACACCAAACCUACCAAAAAAACAGGCAAUGGAAAGUCAUUGAAAUCGUGUACCUAACACCACAUAGGGCUUUGACUGAUAAAAAUGGGAUUAAAAAUAUGGGUCUAAUUCAACGGUUUUCGAGCUCGUGGUUGAAGACCACGAGCUGUUUGAUGAAUUCAAAGCUUGAAAUAUUGGGAUUUCUUAAUGGAAAACUUUGAAGGGCUUACAUUUUUAGGUCAACCUCUUCCUUUCUUGGAACCUUGAAAUUUUUCAAAGAAAGUAAGCUUUUUAAACAGAGCUUCCAUGGAAAUAAACGGAAGAAAAUGGUUUAAAAAUCUUUCAGACACUGGGAUUUUGUUGUCGUGUAAUUAUUUUUAACAGUCGACGAGUGUUCGGUCAUGGGAUUGAUCAUGCAAAUGACAUUUUUAUAAUUUCUUGAAAAUUACUGUUAAGAUUUUUGUUCUGCUCUUGUUGUCCAUUGUUGCCGCAAUCAUCCUGCAUUCAAUUCUUUUUCCUACCACUUUUCUGGCUUUUUUAUAAAAUCACCUUAAAUUUUUGAUUAAUUACGAAAAUGAACUAAUUUUCUGAUUAUAUAUAUAGGGUUUUUUACCCCAAUAUUAUAAAAACAAAAUUAUACACGAAAAUGGGUUCUCAACAAGAUUAAUUAUAAAAAUGGUAUACUUUUUGGGUCGUGCCUACCUGACAGGUACAACCUAUUAUUUUAUUAUUAAAUUUUUUAUUUAAAAAAUUUAUUAUAUUAUUAUUUUUAAUAUUUAUAUUAAUAUAUGGAUAAAAAUCGGAUUUUACACGGAUAAAAAACCCGAAAUCGGUCGAGCCUGACAGGCAGGCACAACACCCAGCACAUUUCCCUUUUCUUUCUUUGCAUGUUACAAAAAAUUGGUCUUAUAUCACUUUUGGUCCCUCUACUAGGCCUAAAAUUAAAAUUAUAUUUUUAUACUUGAAUUUCUACAAUAAUAUUUGGUCCUAUUUUUUAUAAUUUUUUUUCUAAAUAAUUAAUAUUGUUAAUUACUCUGAUAAAAUUUUUGACGUGUUUAGCUUAACAAAACAAUGAUAUGUUAAGCUGUAAUAAGUUUUAAAUAAUAAAAUUUCUAACAAAAAUGUAUUCCAACUUAAAAUAUCAUUGUUUUGUUAAACUAAUAUUUUGUUUAAAAAAACAAGUCAAAAAUUUUCAAAAAUUUUAUCAGAGUAAUUAACAAAAAUUUUAAUACAAUUUUGUUAGAAAUUUUAUUAUUUAAAACUUAUUCCCACUUAACAUAUCAUUGUUUUGUUAAACUAAUCAAAAAUUUUAUCAAAGUAAUUAACAAAAAAUUUAAUACAAUUUUGUUAGAAAUUUUAUUAUUUAAAACUUAUUCUAACUUAACAUAUCAUUUUAAAAAAACACGUCAAAACUUUAACAGAGUAAUUAACAAUAUUAAUUAUUUGGAAAAAAAUUAUAAAAAAUAGGACCAAAUAUUAUUGUAAAAAUUCAAGUAUAAAAAUAGAAUUUUAAUUUUAGGCUUAGUAGAGGGACCAAAAGUGAUAUAAGACCAAUUUUUUGUAAAAUGAAAUGUGCAGGGUGUUGUGCAUGCCUGUCAGGCUCGACCCGUUUCGAGUAUUUUUUAUCCGUGUAAAACCCGUAUUUUUAUCCAUAUAUUAAUAUAAAUAUUAAAAUAAUAUAAUAAUAAUUUUUUAAAACAAAAAAAUUAAUAAUAAAAUAAUGGAUUGUGCCUGUCAGGUAGGCACGACCCCAAAAAGUAUAUCAUUUUCGUAAUUAAUCUGACUGACAAUCCAUUUUCGUGUAUAAUUUUUUUUUAUAAUAUUGGGGUAAAAAACCCUAAUAUAUAUAUAAAGGGUUUUUACCGGAAUAUUAUAAAAAUAUAUAUAUGAAAAUGAGUUGUUGCUAAAAUUAAGUAUCAAAAUGGUAUAAGUGGAGGGUGGUGCAUAGGCGACACUACCCUAAUUUUCUGACACUAUACAAUAAAAAUAUAUAUUAUUUUAGUAGUGGAGGGUGUUAGACAGGCGACACCAAUUAUGCCUAUAUGAUAGGCGGCACUGGUGGUGUCUAUCUGAUAGAUAGCACACCCAAUAUAUUCCCCACACUCCCCCAUCUGGCUCGUAUCAGUUUGGAAAAGAAUAACAAAAACAUAACAUGAGCGAUACAUAAUAAAUACAAAUAUUUUUAUUAUUACUUUAAAAUGAUAAUAAGUAAACAUUUUUGGUUUAAAAUAUAAUAUAUAUAUAUAAUAACACCCCAACUUAAUUAUUAUAAAAAAUAUAUAAAUUUUUUUAUAGAAGUUCAAAAUAAAUUUCAUUUUUAUUAUUUAUAAAAAACAAAAAAUAAUUUUUUAAAAAAACAUAAAAUCUUAAAAAAUUAAAACAUAUAAACUAAUUCCUAAUUUAUCUCAUAAAUUCCAAAUUUCAUAUCAAUGAUUUCAUCUUUUACCUGAUUAAAAAUAAAAAAAUAUUAAAAUAAUAAAAAAAUAACAUGCCUUUCAUAAAAAAUACACUGGGUGGAGAGGAAAAAUAUACUCGGUGUUACACUAGGUGGAGAGGAAAAAUAUACUUGGUGUGCUGCCUAUCAGAUAGGCAUAACUAGUGUCGUCUAUCUGACACCCUCCACUACUAAAAUAAUAUUUUUUAAUGUAUAUUGUCAGAAAAUAAGGAUGGUGUCGCCUAUGCACCACCCUCAACCCAUCUAAAUGUACCAUUUUGGUACUUAAUCUUAGCAACAUACUAUUUUGGUAUUUUAUUUUAUUUUUAUAUAUUAUUAGGGUAAAAAACUCAUAUAUAAAUGACCUGAAAUUAAUUGUAAAAGUUAGAGCCAAAGCGAAUAGUGCCAUCAAUAUGUCACGUCAGCACCUGAAUAAAAAAAUUAAUAAAAUAAUAUAUAUUUUAAAAUUUUAAAAAUAAAAAAAAACCCUUAUACAUAAAAAAAGGUGAUGGCGUCGUUCUUAAUAGCUCCACCAAAAAAUUAAUUUUUUAAAGACCCUAAUUAUUGAGAAAUAACAAUAUUUUCGUGAUAUUUAUACAGGUAGCUUAUUCUCCUUGACACAUCAAAAAAUUGAUUUUUUUAUUCGAGUACCUAACGUAGCAUGUUGAUGGUGCCAUUUUUUUUUGCUCUACUAACUUUUACUAUUCGUUUAAGGUCAUUUAUGUAUAUAACCAGAAAAUUAAGUUAUUUUCAUAAUUAAUCAAAAUUUUAAGGUUAUUUUUAUAAUAAUAAAAAAAGCCCACUUUUCUUUACAUCUCACGUCACCCAAAAUUAGUUUCUAAUUUCCUUCAAAAGUAACAGUAUAUAAUUUUUAAUUUAAAACCCAAUUGGAAACUUGAAUUUGUAAUUUGUUUAUAAUUUAUAAUGAGUCAAAAUUGAAAACUUGAAUUUUUCUUUGGAUAAAGUAACUAGUUGUUGACCCAAUUUUUUUAGAUGUUUUUAUUUCGGUCACCUAAAUAAAAUUAUUUGUAAUUUGGUCAUCAUUAUUAGAGAAAUUUUUAUUUUAGUCACCCAAACAUUAAAUCCCUAACGGUGGUUUACUGUGCAUGUCAUGUCAUCAUGUUUUUUUACUAAUUUAACCCUCCACACAGUAAAAUUGGGUGACUAAAAUGAAAAAAAUUCUCUAACAGAAGUGACCAAAAUGAAAGCAUUGAAAAAGUUAAGUGAGCAACUAGAUAGUUCACCCUAAAAAAAACUAUAAAAUUACCCGUCGGGGUUGACAAGAUCAUUUGGGGAGGUACCUCGACAGGUUCCUUUUCCCUUAAAAAUGCCUAUGAAAAGCUUCAGGAAGGGUCGUGGAAUCCGAAAAAACAUAUUUGGCAUAUCCCCUGAAAAUUCCAAAACCCCCAAUAGAUUUGGUAUUUUAUUUGGCUGACUUUCAAUCAACGUCUGCUUACUGAGGUGGAACUAGCAAGGCGAGGACUAGGUCAUAAUUCAACAUGUGGGGUUUAUGGUCAUGGUUUUGAGGAUGCGCUUCAUGCGAUUAGAGACUAUUUUGCAACGAUGAAUGUCUGGGAUCAUUUAAUUCCAACUAAAUGGCAUGCUAGGUUCUAUGUAGGAAAUUUGUAUGAUUGGCUUAUGUUAAACUUGCAAAAUUAGCAUGACUGGUGUUUAGGAGAUGUAGACUAGCGAUGUCUAUUUGGGAUCACCGCAUGGCAUAUUUGGAAGAAUCGUAAUCUUCUCAUUUUUCUAGGGUGCUUAUUGGAGUGUUAAUGAAUCUAUUAAGGUGUCUUACAGUUAGGGAAAGCAAUUUGUCUCUUCUACUAGGGGCAAGAUGACUGAGAUACGAGGUAAGUUUUCAACUUUAUGUUUAUUUAACGAUUCAGUCAUUUUAAGUACAGAUGGGUCUAUCCAGAAAGAAGCUGGUUUUGCGACCACAGGGAGAAUAGUGCGUGAUCGAGACAGAGCAUGGAUUAUUGGUUUUAAUAGACAUUUGGAAGAUUGAUUUGUUUUUAAUACUGAGUCGUGGGGUAUUUUGAAUGGAUUGAUUAUUUUAUCUGACAGGGGAUAUAAUAAUGUGUUAAUUCAAUCGGAUUGUCUUAAGGCAGUUACAUCUAUUUAAGAGAGGUCUCCAGAAAGGUUAAAUUAUGCUUUGGUUAGAAUAAUUCCUCAGAUGUUGUCGCAUUUCAAAUAGUGGAUCAUUAAAAACAUUUCUAGAGAGAAAAAUUAAGAAGCUAGUCGUUUGGUCAAACUGGUCCAGCAUGGAUCUAAAGAUUUCUGCUUGUUUAAGAUCUCCUUGUUGAAGGGACUAGGUCUAGUUUAUGUAAUUAAUUUUUUAUAUUCUACUUUUCCAAAAAAAAAAGGUCAAACAUCAAUUUCCUCAAUUAAGUUAUCUAUUUUUGGUAAAAAUAAAUUAUAACUUUAUGGUAAAUUAUAUCAUUGGUCACCCAAGUAUUAACUUAUUUUUAUUUUAGUCAUUAACUUAAAAAGUUUUUCGAUUUCACCAUUAAAGUUAUCUAAAAUUAAAUAUUUGAAUCACUGCUUCGUUAAAUUAGGAGGUUCCAAGACUAAUUUGAUUGGUAUGAAAAGUAAAAUCCAAAGGCAUUGGGAGGUUAAGGUGUCGCAUGUUGCGAGGAGUCGGAAUUUAGUAGCGGAUGGCAUGGAAAGAUUAGCAGUGAAGCUUCCAUCGGAGAGACAACUCAUUGAUCUUGCUCCUCUUUCUGUUACCGAUGUAUAUACAGCCGAGUGUGCUGCUUUUCAAAGAUCCCUGCUGCAAUACUUUGUUGCUUUCCCUUUCAAAAAAAAGAAGGUUAAAUUUCAAAGAUUUUUUUUAUCAAAAUAUUAUUCAUGUCCAUUUUACAAUCAACAAAGAUUAAUUCUUUUAUGGUUCGUAGUUCCAUCACAAAAUAUUGUUAUUUUCAGAGUUUGAAUAUGAGAUUUCCUUUUAAGAGUACAACUUCCCUUACCAUUACACUAAAAAAAUAAGUUUAAGGGUGUAAAAAACCCUCAAACUUUUUUAAAAAAGAAGCAAUUAAGCUAUUGUCUUUUUCCCCCCACUCAAUUGAGUACUUAAACUGCUAAAAUGCAUUAAAAAAAUUUUUUUGAUCGUUAACUUUAACAGUUGAUUAUUAAAGUUAAUUGCCUUUAAUUUUUUUAGUUAAAGCCACCACGUGUCACAACCACGGCGUGACAUGUGGUAAAAAAUGAUAAAAAUAAAAAAAUAAAAAAUUAAUUUUUAAUAAAAAUAUAAAAAUAUAUUAAAAAUUAUAACAUUUUAUAGAGUCGUAAGAAAAUUAUAAAAAAAGUAAAGAAAUAUAAAAUUCGUAAAAAAAUUAUAAAAAGAAAAUUAUUAAAAGAAAAUUUUUAUAAUUUUUUUAUAACUUUUAUUCAUUUUUAUUUUUUAUAUUUUUAGUCACACACAUUUUGAAAUAAACAUGAAUUUAAUUGCUUUUCUUUUAUGUAUUUAAAAGUUCAAAUACAUUUUACACUCUAAAACCAAAAAAAUAUUGCAUUAAGCCCAAAAAAAUCUCGACCAAGUAAAAUUAUAUUGUUUACCGUGGAUUUAAAAAUUGAACUUUUUUUUUAUUUAAAAAAAUCCAACAUUUUUCGACCGAAAUAUAUGAAAGGAAGACACCAUGUUGAUCCGGCGACAUUCAAUGUUGGCGUCUGGUCCCAAAAAGUUCCAAAAUCUCCACCUUAAACCGGCAACUUUUAGAAUUGUCUCGUCCAUUCAACCUCUUCCUUCCAAAGUUAAUAUUAAAAUAUUUGAGAGAUGUUUCCAUCCAUGCAUAUGUAUAUAUUAUAACUAAAAAAACAUAUACGAUCAGAUUUUUAAUUGAUAAAUUAUAUUUAAAGGUGUUCAUGGGUCGAGUCAGAUUAAGUUUGGGUCAGGCUUAAGCAUAAUAUAUACUUUAUGCUUCGUCAAACUUGAUUCGGCUUGAAAUAUGAACAUUAAAUUUUCUCAAACCUGUCCAUAUUUGUAAAAUGUUAACACAAGCUUAUUUUAAGUCUGUCCAUAUUAUUUUUAAUUUUUUAAUAUUAUUUUAAUUUAAUAAUUUUUUAUUUAUUAAAAUUUUCUAUAUAAUCAUCUUAAUAUUAUUUUAAUAUUUACAUUAAAGUAGUAUUAUAUAUUUAAUAUAAGUAUUUUUGUAAUAUGUUAUAAAUUACAUAAUAUAAAAUAUUAUAAACUUAAAAAUAGGUCGAGCCGAGUUGAGCUCUAGUAAUAAAUGUUCCAGUCCAAGCCCGACCUAUAUUUUAAACAGAUUUUUUUUUGCACAAGUCUAUUUUUUAGGUCAAAUAUUUUUACCCAAAACCCUCUCAAAAUUUGAACGACCUUCGAGUUUGAAUAAAUAAUCCGACUUAUGAAUAAAUCUAAUGGUAACAAAUGGCGUCAAAAAUCUAGAACUAAGGAUAAAUUAUGACAAUUUGAUGAAACAACAUUGAAUUACGACAUUUCUCAUUUUUUUCCAACCAUAUUUGGCUGCCUCUUUUAAACAUUUAAAUCACGAGGGAAUACAAAAUUAAUCACAUUUAUUUUUUAGAAAAAAAGAAAAGAAAAAAGCUUUAUUAUUAUUAUUAUUAAUUUUAUAUUAUUUUAAUUUAAUAUUUUUUAUUUAUUGAAUUUUUUAUAUAGUUAUUUUAACAUUAUUUUAAUGUUUACAUUAAAUUAGUAUUAUACAUUUAGUAUAGAUUUAUUUUUUAAUGUAUUAUAAAUUAUAUAAUAUAUAAAAAUAACAUAAUAUAAAAUAUUAUAAACUUACAAACAAGUCGAGCUAGGCUCGAGCCUUAAAUGUUCAAAUUUAAAUUCGACUCAUAUUUAAAACGAACCUAAUUUUUUUAUCAAAACUUAUUUUUUAAAUUUAUAUUUUUAUCUAAACCCUCUUAAAUUUCGGAUGAACUUUCAUGCAUAAAUAUAUAACCUGACCAUGAAAUGGUAUAGAAAUAAAUACCUUGGUCAAUUAAAUAUUUGAAUAUACUUUUCUUAAAAAAUGUCAUAAAUAAAGUCCCCUUUUAUGCUUGGUUUACUCCCAUCUUAAAAGACAUGGGUCACUCAACUUUUCUUUGUUAGCCUUACGUACCUACAAUCCGAGUAACAUAAUAACAUUGGGGAAGUUACAAUGAUGUUUUUGGUUACAGUUGUGAAGUUGAAUCUGCAAAAAUUUGGGAUUGUAGCAAUAGGUUCUCUUCAUGGACCGAGACAUGAUUGACAGGAAGAUUGCUAUAAAUUAAUUUUGAUAUCAAUGUAGUUAAUAUCGUAUCCAUAGAUUUAUCGUUUUUGUUUUGGUACCAUUAUAUAUCGAUACGGGCAUGUUUGAAUGUAUUGUUUCGAGUUUAUUGAUGUUUUUAAAUAUUUUUUCACAUAUAUAUAUAUGUUUAUAAUCUCGUUUUUAGUUUCUUAAUGAUUAUAUAUUAUUUUGAUAAAAAUAAAAUAUAUAUUAUAUAUACAUGCAAAUAUAUUCUCAAUUACAUCUAUAUAAAUAUAUUUAUAUGUAAAUAUAAAAUAUAAAAUUAUUAAUUAGAUUCAUCCUUAAAAAGAACUAUUAAAUAAAUUCAAUAAUUUAAUUUAAUGGCUUUUAAAAAUAUAAUUAUAGAAAAAUUAAUGUAGUUAAGAUUAAAAAUUUUAAAAGUAGAAUAAAAUUUAGAUAGAUAUUGGACAUUUUAACCGCACUAAAAAGAGAGGGAAACAAAACCCAACCCCAAAACCCUAACUUCCACAUUUCACAUGUCACAGAGCAGGGUGUCACUUUGUUUCUCUGCUCUCAUUUCUUCUUCCUUUUAAACCCCAAAUGAAAACAAAAAGACCCCAAGCAUUUUUUAGUCCAUGGAAUAACAUUUAAGCUCAAUUAAUUUGUUCUUCAAUCCCCUUCCUUCAAAACCCAUUGUUUUUUGCUAAUUUGUUCUUCCCGUGCUUGAUAUGGCGAGGUUUCUUCGAAAUAUUUCUCAUUUGAAACAUUCUUUCCAUGCUCCACAGGUUUUAAUGCUUACCCUUUUGUUUAUUUUCUUCGAUAAGAUCACACCCCUUUUGUUUUUUUUCAUGUUAAAAGUAUCUGAUUGUAUUUCACUGUGUUCAUGGAACUUCGAAUCUGUUCUUUUUUGCAGAUAUGUAGAGGAGGGGUAUUAGGGUCAUAUUCACAGCUAUGUAACUUUUCUUCUAAAGGUAUUGAAACUUCCAUUUCGAGCUUUUAAUUAGAAUGUUGAUACCCAAAUUAAUGUUGCAUGUGACUGUAGAAGAGUGUUUUUUUUCGUGGCAUUUUUUAUUAACUUAAUUCAUGUUUGAAUGCUGUGAUGAUAUUUAAUUGAAAGAAGUCAAGUUUACCAUAGAGUAUGGUGGUUAAUUCAGGGUCCUUUCUGUAAAAAAAAGAAAAAGGAAGUUUGAUCUAAAUGAUGGAGCUCUUUAGUUAUUUUGCUUGAGUUGACUUUAUUUUGAGUUAAAAAAUAAUUAUGGUACUUACUUAAUGCAUGUACGCUUUGAAGGUAGGAGGAAAUCCAAGUCAGAUGGAAGUGAUUCUGGUGAGGAGAAUAUUUCGAAGAAAGAUUUAGCUCUAAAGCAAGCCCUGGAUCAGAUUACUAGUUCUUUUGGAAAAGGAUCUAUUAUGUGGCUUGGUCGUUCCGAGUCUCCUCGAAAUGUGCCAGUAGUUUCCACCGGUUCUUUUGCUUUGGAUGUAGCACUUGGUAUCGGUGGCCUUCCAAAGGUACCCCGCAAUUCUCGUUUUGUUUAUUCCCCCUUUUCCUGCUACUAAGUGAUAGCUGCCUAUGAUGUUUAUUAGUUCCUUAAACACCACUUUAUUGGACUAUUACAGGGCCGUGUUGUGGAGAUAUAUGGACCAGAGGCUUCUGGGAAAACAACACUCGCACUUCAUGUAAUUGCUGAAGCACAGAAACAAGGAGGUCAUUUAAUGUAGUUUAACUUAGUACUGUCUGAUUUAUGAUUUGUUACGACUUACGACAAACUUCUCAUUCAUAUGACAUUCAUUAUUCAUAAACAAUUCUCUUAUGCUUUGAUGAUUAAAACUGAUAGUAGGAAGCUACGGCUAGACCUCUUGUUACUUUCCAAUAUCAUUAUGUGAGUUUUGUAUGGAGCGAUUUGACAUUCUUAUAUUUAUAAGGUGAUUACAUUUGGAGGGUGGAGGAGUUUUUGUUGUGACUACUGUUCUGUUGAUGUUGUUGCCGAUAUCUCUGUGCUGGAUGCUUACAUGUUUCUAGAAUCUUAUAAUAUGCAGGUUAUUGUGUUUUUGUCGAUGCGGAGCAUGCUCUUGAUCCAGCUCUAGCUGAGACAAUUGGAGUAAACACUGAGAAUUUACUUCUUUCGCAACCAGAUUGUGGAGAACAAGCUCUCAGUCUUGUAGACACCCUUAUACGGAGUGGAUCUGUUGAUGUUGUUGUUGUUGACAGUGUAAGGUGUUUUCGGAUUUAUUUCUUUUUCCAUUAUGGAGUCUGGUCUAAUAAAUACUGCUGUUAGCUGGUAGAACAUGCUGUGAGGAGGAUUUUUUGUAAUAAUUGUUUUUUUGUGCCAAAUCAAUUGGAAUAGUCAUUGUUGAAGGGUUGAAUUCUAUAGUUUUUUUCUAUGUUAUAUUCUGAUUUUCUUAUAUUUAUUUGGAAGUGAGUCCUGAAAUAAUUUUGUUUUCAUGCCAGGUAGCUGCUCUAGUGCCUAAAGGUGAGCUUGAUGGUGAGAUGGGUGAUGCUCAUAUGGCAAUGCAAGCUAGACUGAUGAGCCAGGCUCUCCGUAAAUUGAGUCAUUCCCUAUCAUUGUCACAAACCAUAUUGAUUUUUAUAAAUCAGGUAUACGAUUUAUAUCCUGAGUAUGCCCUUGAUAAGUUUUGUUGAUAAACUUAAUAUUAGCAUGAUAGUUCUCUAAAGCUUCAAUUUGUUAAAAUGCGCAACUUUUUUGCUUUGAGGUGGUUUAAUCAAAGAUUAAGAUUAUACUCCAUGUCAUUGACAUCGAGAGUUUUGCCCAUUGGCAAACUUUUUGCUCCUUUUUUUAAAGCUUCUAGUCAGACUGAUAGAAUGUUCCUAGCUGAACUGUUGCCCCCAAUUCUGGUCAGGCGUGGAGUUCUUGCAAGAUUCUAGGUUUGCAAUACCAAAUGAAUCAUGGAAAUUUCAUGCUUUUAUAUAAGAAAUUAACUUUUUUACUUUUAUCAGGUGAGGUCAAAACUUUCAACUUUUGGAUUUGGUGGGCCAACCGAAGUUACAUGCGGUGGUAAUGCCUUAAAGUUCUAUGCUUCAGUUCGUCUAAAUAUUCGGAGAACUGGGUUGGUCAAGAAAGGAGAAGAGGUACCAAGCUGUAUCCUUUCUUUCCUUGCAUGAAUUGAUUUUGGAUGUAGCAGUUUAAGAAAGUCUCUGAUCUUAUAAUUCACCUAAAAUUUUCUUAGGUGCAGUGAUUUGAUUAUUUUCCUUUAUCUUGGUUGAAUCUCUGUUGAGCAACACAUUAAAAUUUCCUUUCAAUGCUCUUAAUCUCUGUUGAGCAACUCACUAAAAUUUCCUUUCAAUGUUCUUACAUUCCCAAGAAAGUUAAACAUGCAGUUAUAUUGUUUUUGCUCAAAUCUACAGGCUGGCUAAUAUAAUUUUGAAAGGCUUAAAUUCUUUAAUCAAUCUUCACUAUUUACUGCCUUGCAUAUCCAGUUUUGAGUGCAAAAGACUUGUCAUGAAGAUUAGGAAAUUAUAAAAUAUCCAAAUCUCGAUAAUUCUCUUUGACAGUCGAACAAAUUUGCUAUAUUUUUCCAUGUAUCAUAGUGUUUAUUGAUGUUUCUAUGAUCUUUAGACUAUUGGAAGUCAAGUUCUCGUGAAGGUUGUGAAGAACAAACACGCUCCGCCAUUUAAGAAUGCUGAAUUCGAGCUUGAGUUUGGAAAGGGAAUCUGCCGGGAAGGGGAGAUCAUAAAUUUGGCAACGAAACACAAAUUUGUUACAAAGGCUGGCUCAUUCUACACUUUCAAUGACCAGAAAAUCCAUGGCAAGGAAGCCUUCAAAAACUUUUUGGUUGAAAACGAAAGUGCACGGGAAGAACUUGCUACGAAACUUAGAGAAAAGCUACUUGAACCUGAGAACAAAAAGGAACGGCAGGGUGAUAUCUCUGAUGGGGAUGCAUCAGAAGAAAUAAUUUCAACUGAUACUACCGAUGAAGAAGCUGUUACUGCCAUUGAAGCUUAAGUAUGCAUGUGACUCGGAACGAAACCCCCUUUGUUCCCCUUACAGGUUCAUUCCUUUGCUGAUUGAAUUUUUCAGUGGACAUGAUGACUGAAGGAUUUGAAGGUUCUUCGAUUCACAGUAAACAUUCAACCUUUUGCCAUACGAAUAGACAGCAUUGUAAGGUAAAGUUUGUUAAGUUGUAUUUGUUUUGUACAUGUAUGGUCUAGUGGGGUUUGAAUGUUUUUGUGGUUCAAUAGGUUGAAAAAUUACUUGCUCUUCAUUGGACUCUCCAACUUCUCUACUGUCAUAUGUCCAGCCCUAUUCAACAUGUUAUUGAGGCCAAAUAUAUGUUAUAUAUAGUAGUAUUUAUUUAUAUACUGUGGUAACUUUGUCUCUCUGGGGUUUGAAUGUUAGAAUCUGCCAUCAUCCUCCUACUUCCUCUAUACCAAAAAGAAAAAAAUAGGGCUUAUUUGGAUAAAAUAAAGUAAAUGGUUCAUUUUAAGAAAAGGUAAUAGUUUUUAAUAUUUUGGUCAGGAUGUUAGGAAUAUAUAAAAGAGAACAAAUAUUGAUAUUCAAAAUUGAAAUUAUUGAAUACACUCUUUUGAAAUAAAAUUGUGUGAAAAUUAAGUUUUGUUGUUUAUGUCACUUAGGCAUUGCUUGGUAUGGUAAAGUGGGAAGAAAAUUAGAAAGACAUGGAAAAUAUAAGAGUAUGGUUGGUUUUAUAUAUAUCUGUUUAUGAGUUGAGUUAUCUUAUGAAGUUUAAAUGUCUUUUUGAAAUCUGAAAGAGGUUGAGUAAAAAUAUUAGGUCUGAAAAAUGAUUUGGAUAAAUAAAUUAGGUCCGUUUAAAAUAUGACUUGAGUUUGAAUAUUUAAGGUUUGAGUUUAGUCCCUUUUAAGUUUAUAAUAUUUUAUAUUAUGUAAUUUAUAAUAUAUUAAUAAAAUAAAUUUAUAUUAAAUAUAUAAUAUUAUUUUAAUGUAAAUAUUAAAAUAAUAUUAAGAUGAUUAUAUAAAAAAUUUUAAUAAAUAAAAAAAUAUUAAAUUAUUAAAUAUUAAAAUAAAAUAAAAUAAAUAUUUGUUAAAAAAUUUAAAAAUAAUAUUAAGGCUUGGAUUACAUUUUUACAAAUAUGAAUAGGUUUGGAUAAAAUUUUAAGUUCAGGUUUUGGUCUGAAUCGGGUUUGAAUAAGCAUAAAGUAUGUUAAUAUUAUUUUUAAAUUCGAUUCGGCUCAUGAGCAACUCUAAUUUUAGACAAUAUUUUUUUUCAUUAUUGAACGUUAUAAGGGUAUGUUUAAUUUAUUUAAUUUUUAUUAUUAAAUAGAUAAGCACUAACUAAAACAGUUGGAGUUAGUGUGGAAUCGAUUUAAUUGAUUAACAAUAUUAAAGAUUAAAAAUUCUUUGUGAUGGCUUGAUGAUUAAUAGUGUUUAUUGUCCCAAGUGUGGCCUAAAUUUGAAUCGCGAUUGUUGUUUGGACUCUAAAACAAGCUUUUUUUUUUAUUAAUUAAUGAAAAAGUGUAAAAAGAAUAAGGGGGAGGGAGCAGCCAUGUUUCCUGGUUUUGAGUUCAUUUUGAAAGAAUAAAGAUUUCCUUUUUCUAGAUAUAGGGUAUGGGUUGUUCUGAUUAAUGAUUGAAUUUAAUAUUAAUGUGUUAUUAUUAUUAUUUUACCAGUGAAUUAAUCAACAAAUAAAAAAAAUCAAUUAAUGAAGUUAAAGAAAAUAUUAUAAUGUAUCAAAUACAAGCUCUUAAAUUAAUAUUAUAUUUUUUAAUUAAGUAAUGAGAAUUUUAGAAAACCCUAACACUAAAUUUCUAAUCCUAGCAGCCAUGAUAAAGGGACAAUGUUGUUAAUUGAUAUGCCUUGAAUAUUGGAGGCAAUCUUGUCCUGCCUACCAUGUACACCAAUCAUAUAUACCCUUUAAUUUUUGUUCAUUUUGGUCCUUAUUGGACAUGUUAAUUUGUUAAGCAUUUGAUCCCAUUCUUUUUUGCUUAGUGUAGUAUGAACUGAAUUGUGAUUCUUUCUUUCCACUUUUUUUUUUCAAUCAUAAUAUUCUUUCAUUUUUUUUGUGAGGAUUGGAUAAGAUAUACAUAUUUUCUUGAUAAUAUUCUUUUUUCUUCCUUUUUUUUAACUCGAUUGGCAUGAAUAUUAUUGUCAAUACAGGAGAAUAUGGGUUCGAGUACGCUGAAGCGUAUUAUCCUCCUUUUUAUCGGUUGAGGAGGGACUAUGAGUUUUUUUAAGCAUUAUAUUGUGUAAAAAGGAACAGAUAUGAUCAAAACCUAUAAUAAGAUUAUUAAAAAAAAUUAACAUCAAUUGACUUAAAACAUUACUUUCAACAAGUAAUUUAAUAAUAAAAGUGUAUAUAAGUAUAUUUUUAAAAAAAAUUAAAGUAAAUAAAUAAAUGAAAUACAUGAAAAUUUUUUGAUUUCACACCGCUAUUGUAUUAAAGAAUAAUCCUACCAACCUUAUCAUUUCAAAUGUAGGUAUAGUGGCUAUUUUCAAUUAAGAUCCACAAUCAUCCAAUAAACUUAUUCUAAUUAAACAUUGAAAAAGGUUUAAGAAUAUGGAAUAUUAUACUUCAUACCAAGAGGGCCAUUAGAUCCACAUAAACCCAACCAAACUAAUUAAUAAAAUGGUGAGAAAAACCCUAAAAAAAUUAUGUUUUAAAAUAAGGGAUUGUUAUAUCAUGUGUAGCUAGCCUCACUGAUGUUAUAGUGCAUUCAUAGAGAGUUAAACACGUGUCCCUCAAUGAGACCAACUAUAUUGCGAACUUGGGGUUCACGAACCUAAACUUAAUAAUUUUUAAAAAGGGACAACUUCGCUAAAAUUAUGUGAAAGCUAUGUGAAGGUCUAGAGAAAUUGAUUGCUAGUUACCCUAAAAUGUCUCAUCUUAAAAUGUAGUAUCAUCAUCAUCGCUAAGGGUUUUCAAGCUUGUCCCCACUGUAGAAGGGUCAUGCAAAUAGCUUAUACACAUUCACAUAGACAUUCCUUCUUCUUGAUUUCUUGAGUCUUUAAAAAGUUAAAACCCUUCCCAGCCUUUGCUUCAUUCUCCUCUAUUCUACUACCAUCUUCUUCACCUUGUUUACCUCACUGGUUAAUAGAGAUAAAUAUUAAAAUUAUACAUGAAUUUUUAUUUAAUGUGUAAUGUUAUACAUGAACUUUGAUUUUGUGUAAUUUUUAUAAAUGAAAUUUUAAUUUGAUUCAGUUUUAACAAACCACUAAUAACAUUAUCAACUUGUACGUUUAUAUAUUGCAUUCAUGAAUGAUUAUAUUAAGAUCCAAUAUAAAAACAAACUAUUGUAUUUAUUAUUUUUAAAAGGUGUACAACCGAAUCAAAAUCAAAUUUUUAUGUGUAUGUCUGGAUUGCAAUCAAAUUUUUAUGUGUAUCAUUAUACCAAAUCAAAAUUCAUGUAUUAAAUUACAUAUUAAAUCAAAUUUUAUAUAUAAUUUUAUUACGUGAAGAGUGGAUAAUUUUUUAAACACAAGUAAAAAUUAAAAAAAAUACAUAUAAAAAUAACAUUCUAUGUAAAAAAAAUUUAAUAAUUUUCAUUACAUGGGUAAAAUUUUCUUGAAAAAAAAACCCUUAAAGAAUACAUGGAAAAAAAAGUUACCCUAACAAACCAUGAAAAGAUUAGACAUAGUAAUUAUUUUUUCCUCCUAAUUAAUAACCCUAAAAAAUACAAAAAAAAAAUUAGGAUUUAAUUAUUAUUGAAAAUUCUCUGGCCUGGUGACAAUAACAUUCUUGGAUCAAAUUGAUAUUUUCUGUGUUGAAAAACCUUCCAUUUUGAGCCAAAAUGAUGAACCCAUUCUUCUUUAGUACUGUAAUGAGGAAGGUAUUGCUUAAGCAUAAUUCCAGUUUUAUUACAAAACCUCAUUAUGUCUUUAUUUUGGUCUUCAAAAGCUUUCCAAGUAUCAAAUCCACUUGAAUGUAAAAAACCCACUGUGUAGAAUAUUUCUUCAUCUGGUAUUACAGCUGACAUCCUAUCAUCCCACCUGCCAUUAAUUCAAACAUUCAAAUUGUUCAUUAUUUUAUGCUUUAUAUAUAAAAUUCAUGAUGAUCAAGUUUUUGGUUAAAAAAAUUUUAUUUACUUAAAUUAGUCAUCGUAUCAAUUAAGUCUUUCUUGUAGUUUAAUUUUCAAUUUUAAUAUUAAACGACCGUUCAUAUUUUACAUGGAUAAUAUUUAAAAUACAUGGAUUAAAUUGUAAAUAAGUGUAUACAUACAUUAUGAAUAAAUUAGAUUUGACGUGUUAAAUUAAUGAAAUAAUUUUCCUUCUUUAAUAUGUUAGAUCUAAAUUGUCAAUAUGGUAGGUACACACAUAGGGGUGAAAGAAGAGUAGUGCCUUGGCAUCCUAAAAUGGAAAAAUUAUGUUUUAAACCGUUUAAAAUUUAUAAAAUUAUAGAUUAAUGUAUGAAAAAUUGUAAUUUAACUUCUAAAAAGAUGAAAUUUUGAUUUAAUCCUAAAAACUAUAAAAAUAUAAUCUAAUACAAGGGUGAAAUUGCAUUUUUAGAUUUCAUAAAAAAAUAUUAUAACUUAAUAAUUUCGACCCUCCACAAAAAAAAAAAAUUCCGGCUUCGCCUCCGUACACAACAUACUCAAACAACAUUUAAUGCUUAAAUUGAAAACUAAGCUGACUUGAACUCCUCAAUCAGAUGUGGACCAAUUUAGAAUAUAGGUGAUAGUUCGAGGCAUUUAAUCAAAAUAGCCCAAAAAGAAAUACUUACUUUUGUCUGUUCAUAGGAUAAACGAGGACAGGUCCUGUAGUAAUAUUCCGUUCAAGAACAAUGCCUCUAAAAACACCAUUGUUGAAAUCCGAUAUCUGAGAUUUAGGUAUAAAAAGAUUCAACCAUGGAUGUGGAACAUCCCAUAAUCCUUGUGAUUUAAGCUUCAGUUCCCCACUUCGAACCCUAUUCAAAAACUCUUCAUACCCAACGUCUUUUCCAAAUAUAAAUCCAGGCAUGUAAUUCAUACCUUGCAGAACCUGUUCCAUCUCCUGCAAUAAUAAUAAAAAAACAUACAAAAUCAAUAUGAUAUGCACUACUUAUAAUUUUACGACACCGACAAAUUCGACCAUUAUUUUUAGUUUACCUUGUCGACUGUGUGUUUUGUUCGAUCAUCGUAAUGCUUAACGAUUUCAAGGCAGUAUAUGAUUCCAUGCUUGGUUAUCAAUGAGAUUAUUUUGGGAUGAUCUUUAUAUGGAAAAAAGGACGAUCUCCAGUUAUCUGGUGAGCCUUGAUCCAUAAGCAAUGAACCUUCUAAAUAAUCCAAUGCACUUUUAUCUUUUCUUCCAUUUUUUGAGAUUAAAAGCUCUUGAUCUUUGGUGAAUGAUGAAAAAUCAUCGUACAGUAGUCGAACCCAUUUUACCUGUUUAAAAAUAAUUAAAUCAACCAAUUAUUUAAGUCCACAAUCUUAAUAAACAUGAUAAUUUGUAACAAUAUUUACCAUAAAAGUACAAUAAAAGUUUUCGUGUUAAGAAUCAAAUUACUUUUUAUCUCCUCUAUAUUAAAGAGCAAAUUAAUUAUUUCAAUUAAAAUUUUCAUUCUUCUCGUACUAUAAUAUGCACGGACCAAUUUUUAACCAUAUAAAAAUUUUAUUGGAAAGAGACUAAUUUUUUUAUUCUUUGAGCUAGUUAAAAAACCUAAUAUUUACCCUUUUCGGUGCUGGUUGAAGUGGAAUUCUUGCUCUGGUUAUUAUUCCAAAUUGUCCUAAACCUCCAAGAACAGCAUAAAAAAGCUCUGAAUUCAUCCUCGGCGAGCAUGUCAAAAAAUCGGCUUUCCCUGAAUUUAAAAAUAAAAUUUGCUCGUAAAUAACUGCAUGCAUGCAUGAUGCAACCAACAUACAAUAUUAUAUAAAUGAUGAUGAUGAUGAUGGUGAUGAUGAUCACCGUUUGAACUUUUGUCCUAUGGGGUUUCCUAGUGGGGACCCUAGAACGAAUACAUUUAUAGAAAAUUAUUUCAAUAGGUUGGCAUGAAAUGGACUGCCAUUUAAAAUUAAAUGUACAUAUGAUCAACCGUCAGGCACCAGCUAAGAAAUGUAUAAAAGUAUUAUAGAAUGUAUUUUAUUUAUUUUAUUUAAAAUUUUUAUAAAUUAGACUAAAAAUAAAUUGACUUUUUUUUUUGUUAAAAAUUUCAUUUAAUUUUACUGUUAAAAAUUAAAGUAACUAAAAAUAACUAAAUAAUUACGCGUGUCAUGUCACAUGUACUUUAAUUUAAUGUAUAGAGUCGUUUUUUUAUCUAAUAUAUAUAAAUUAAUCUAUUUAUUUUUUGAAUGAUUCGAUUCUUAUUAUAAUGUUGUAUAUGGUAAUUUUACCCAAAGAAUGCUGAAAAAUGAGUUUAUUGUUCGAAUCUUUGUGAACAGGACAAAAGAAUAUUGAACCCAACUCGAGAUUAAAAAUUGAAAAAGAAUACGAAAUCAGAUACCUGUUAUAACAUCCAUUUCAAGAACAUUACUGAUCUGAGGACCGUAACGAAAAGUUUGUCCACUGAUUCCAGCAUUGGAGAGCGUUCCGCCGACGGUUAAGUACAAAUAAUCGGUCCAAGAAAUGGGUGCAAGUCCGUAUUCCAACGUCGCAUUCAACACGUCGAUCCAAAGCUGUUCGCCGCCGACAUCGGCGUAAAGCCUGUCUAUCGAGACCCGGAUUCCGGUUCCGUUCCGACGUUUAUUCGCCAUCGAUCUCAUGUCCACCACGACCCCGUUUUCCGCCAUCGCUUGACCCCUGACAGAAUGACCGUGCCCUUUGGCUGCUAUACCAAAAGGAACUGAAUUGGAGUAGCUGAAUUUUAUGAGUGCAGCAAUGUCUUGUGGUGCUGAAGGGUGAAGAACUGCUUCGGGUUCGGCUUUUACGAUCCCGCCAAAGUCUCGAGAGGCUGAUUCGAUGGCAGAAGGGUCGACGGAGAGCUUGGUUGCAAGAUCAACGGCUCUGAUAUCCUUGUGAUGGACAUCUAACGGCUUUGAUAUCUUCAUGAUGGACAUCACACGGGUUAUAAUGAAUAUAGCUGUGAAAUAAGCUGGAAAUUGAAAACUCAUCACCAUUGUUUCUUUCUUUUUUCUUUUUGAAUUAAAGAGAAAAUGAAAAUUAAUGGAAAAAAAAUGUAAGCGAAAAGGGAAAGAAAAAAAGGCUAUGUCUUAGCUUAUUUUUCUAUGAGAUGUUCAAAGGGAGAAGAUGGUUAUAUAUAGUGCAUAGGAAAAUUUGCAUGGAAAUGAUAGAAGGUUAGAGCCGAAGGAAACGACGUCGUUGGCUAUCUGUAUUGUAUAUUUGUAUUGUUAAUCAGUAUCUAGUGCUAGUCAAAAUUAUAUUUAUAAAACAUUACGUAAUUAUUAUUUUUUUCUUAAAUUGAUUAAGAAUAAUGUAAAUUUUUUUAUAAAAAAACAAAAUCAAAUGAUUUUAAUUGACAAUUUGAGAAUCUAUUAUUAUUUAUUAUAAAUAAUAUAUAUAUCCAAAUAAUUAUAACUACUCAAAUUAUUAUAAGUCGAUUGAGUCUUAACUCAAUCGGUAUUAGUAUUGUUGUAAAUACAAAAGGAUAUAGAUUCAAAUAUGCUAAAACACAUUAUAAAAGAUAAAAUUACAGUUUGAAACAUUUAAAAAAUUGAGAAGAAAUUCUUCAAUUAGUAAAAAACUUCUAAAGUCGCUCAUGCUUUGUGUAUUUUAUUACUAUGAUUAUCACUACUAUGAUUAGUAUUAUUAUUAAUUAUCAUCAAAGAUUCCUCUGGCUAUAGCUAUAGCCAGGUAACCACUCACCCACAUGGAUUUUUAUUACUUGUGGGGGACCCAAAGCCGAGUUAUUUUCACCGUCCGAUCAUGAUCUUAUGGUCAAAAUUAGUCAAUAUUGGGUCAAUUUGGCUUCAGAUUCGAUAAAUUAUAUUGUUUAAAAUAUAUUAUUAUUUUAUACUCUUGCUAUUUUAGGAUGCAAGUUUGGUCAAAAUUAGGUAAUCAUCUAAAGCAUAUUCAAUUGCUUUUUAUUUUUAGGUUUUGAGGAAUUUUAUGAACUAAGGCAAUUUUUUUAAAAAAAGUUUCUUUUUUUUUUGUGAUUGGAUUAGAAAAUUUCCAACUUUCAAUUCCAGAUAUAUGAGGGUGGAACCAUUGAGAUAUAAAAUUUAACCUAUCAAAUUAUUUUAUUUUUAUUUUUAUUUUUAUAUUAAAUAUAAAAAUUUUUGUAUAAAUCAUGCCAAAACAUUUUCAUUUGAAUCAUCCCACAUAAUAUUUUUUUAAAAUAAAUAAUUUUAUAACUUAAUUAUUGCAUGUAAUGUGUGAUAUAUAAUUAAAAUUUCUUUAAAAACUUGAAUAAAUUUACAAAAAAAAGUUUUCUUUAAGAAAACACUAAUUAAUUAACAAUUCCCAUUUUGUUUUAAAGCUGAAUUAAAAAAAUUAUCCUACUAAUUAUCAAACUCUUUUUGAAUUAAUUAAUGAAGUUUCAAACUUUCAAAAAGACUUUGGAGAACAAAAUUAAUUAAGUUUAAUUAUAGGAUCUAAACUUAUCUCAUAUAUAUAUAUAGACAUCAACUAUAUUAUCUAGGAAUAUUAAAAAAAGCAAUUUGCAUUCAACAAUAAAAUAUAACUAGAGGACAAGUAUCAUGCCAUGCACAAGGAAGAAAAUUACAUGUUUCCCUUUAUUAGUAAAGUAUUAUAGAGGCCCCUAUAUUUGAGAUUGGAUAGCAUUUUGUCGCCUCUAUUAAAAAAUGGGUAAAUUAGUCUCUAUAUGUUAGAUCAAAGAGCAAAAUGGUUAUUUAUUACUACCGUUAAAAAUCGAUCAUUGUACGUCAAUAUGAGGUACAUGUGGCAUAUUAUAUGUUAUUGUCUUUUUAAUAGUAUAAAAUAAAUAAAAUUUUUAACAGAAAUGACCAAUUAGUAAUUAAUUUAACCAUAUUUUUUUAGUAGACAAUAAUUUCAUCAAUUAGAUUUAAUAUUUAAUUCAACAAUUAUAUACAAAUAUUAAAAAUAAUAAUCCAAGCAUCUAUAAUAUUUUUUAUAAAAAAAAUAAAUUAUAUUGAAAUUGUAUAAUGAUAUAAAUUAUGUCCUAGAUACGGUUGGAAUUCAAGUAUUUAGACUAAAAAAAAGAACAUAAAUUCAAAAGGAAAAUCUUUGACCUAAAGAUCUGAUAGGUAUAAAGACCUGUCAGAUAGGAGACCCUUCAACAAUUUCCAUGCACCUAUAUAGCUUGUAUUAAUCUUAAAAUGUAGUUAAGAAUAUAAUGUUUAACAUUCAUGUGCAACAUGCAAUUGUCUAAAAUAUUAAGAAACAUGACAAAUCAAAUGUAAGAAAGAUCAAUGUCCGAUGGGAACAUCAAGAAACUGUAUAUGCUGAUAACAACUAAGCAUGCCAUACUCACAUGGCAAAACAGUGAUAGUUAGGUCUCUUUAUACCUAAUAUCAUACAGUGAAAACAAUGGUGCCUCCACAUAAUUGGGAUGCAUAAAAACGAAAUUGAAUUAUAAAUUUUUUAAAGGUUAAUUUGAGAUUUUAUUAUUUAAUUGAAUCAUAAUUUUAAUUUUUGAGACUAAAUUUUUUUUCCUGUCUCUAUCCGCUUUAAAAUUUUGAAAUAAUUAUUAAUUCAUGAAUUAUAAUUAAAUUACACUUAUCUUCAAAUUACAAUUUUUUAUUAUAUGGGGUAAAAAGUUAGCCAAAAGUUAAAAUUUUUCACCAUCCAUAUAUAUCAAAUCAUCAUGGCCAUUCUUGAUAUUUUUGAGGCUUUAGACAAAUAAUAAAUUAGAUGUCUUUUAAAAGAAGUUAUAAAAUAUAAUACGAUAAAAGUUGAAAACUUUUGGGGUCCUAAAUUUUUUUCCCAUAUUAAAAAUUGAAAAAAUAUUUUAUUUUUAGCCUCUUCUAGCCUUACACUUUGGACAUCUGCACUCUCAAACAACCCCAAAGCUGGGCCUACAAAUUAUUAUUAUUAUUAUUAUUAUACAUGUAAAAUCAUUUGAAUUUAAUUUGUUUUUUCUUUUAUACCAAAAAAAAAAGUGAGGUAGUGAAUUUUCCUAAUCAUGAAUGUGAAAUUCAAAACAUUAUGAAAAGUGGGGCAAAGGGGAGAAUUCAUAUAUAUUCUUUUAAAUGAGUUGUUCUAUAGGUGUCAAUAUAAUAAUCCUAUAUAUAUUUACCAUGUGCUUUUAACCUAUAUUUAAAUUAUUAAAAUCAACUAAAGAAAAAACAUCAUUAUUUCUUAAUCCUGCUUAUAGGAUUAAAAGGUUUUUGAUAAUAUUUACGGGAAAAGUUUGUAUGAAAUAAAAAUAUUAUCAUUUUCUAAUAGUUCAAUGCCCUAUUAAUAUUUUCAUUUUAAAUUUUAAGAUUUUCAUUAUCUUGAAAAUUUUGUAAGGACAUAAUAGAGAAAAGAGGGAAGACAUAAUAAGAUACUGAAUAUAUUUUUUGAGAUCAAAAUCACUCUACAAGAUCACAUGGUCCUAAAAUGAAAAUCGAAAAUCAAUUCGAAUCGUCAUAAAUUAUAUAAUAAAAAAGGCAAUAACUUUGCACGGCCAAAAUCUAUGUCCACUGUGAUCCCUUAUCACGUACAGCAAUCAUAUCUAAACUCAUACGUGCAUGAAAAAUGAAAUGAAGUACAAAUAAUUAAAGCACGUUUCUUAAUUACGCAGCAUAUGAAUUUGUUCUUUAAUUUGCCAAAAUAAAGUUGGCUCAUCAUGUGAAGAGUGUAAGGAAUAUCUUUUCGAUUGAUUUGAACUUAACCAUAUUUCUCUUUCACCAGUUCCCAUAAUUGACAGCUAUAAACUGUGUUACAUCGAAUUAUAUGUUUGAUAUGAAUAUAUUUAAUCUUUUUAUAAAUAUUAUAAUGUAUUUAAUUAAUUUUAAAAAACAAUAUUUUUAUAUUUAUAAUUGAAUAUGUAUGGGAUACAAAUAUCGAGCAUGGUGAAGAAGAUUUGCUGUCAUGCCCGUGGGUGGAAGGUACUUAUUGGAGCACCUAAGGUAAAAGGAAAAAAGUUUGACCAAACGAUCCCACUUGCAAAUGCAACUUGCUAUAGGUGCUUUUGGCUGCCUAUUAGGGUGUUUUACAGCACAAAUUUUCAGCAGAUAAGCUAGAAUAUACAUCCUAGAAUAGUAGGAGCCAUUGGGUCAAUAGGGCUCAGAUUAUUCUAAAUUUAGAUAAAUUUUAGAUUUGAUUCGUUUUGAGUUUUAAGUUCUUUUAAAUUUAAGUUUUUAUUAUAUUAUAUUGAUUCGAAUGAAUAUGAUAUCAAUUAAUGCGUUAAUUACAAUCAAUUUGAUAGGAAUAGAUUUAAAGGAAAUGAGUUAUGUCAACGAAAAUAAAAGAACAGUAUUAAUUUAUUGUUAUACCUACGCUUCGCGAAUUUACCUUUUGUAGUACACCUUCCAUUACAUAAGCCCACAACAACGCAAGCAUGCACUAUGGGGAUCACAUCGGAUAGAUGAGAGAUAUUUGUAGAUUAUAUCUACUAUUGUUUUGUCAAGGCAACUCAUAUUUAGAGGUGAGCAAAAUUCGAUUUGAUUCGAAAAACUCGAUAAAAAAUUUAAAUUUUAAAUUAAAUAGUUCGAAUUUUUGAAUUAAUCAACUUAUUCGGAUCAAUUCGAAUAAAAAAUUAAGUUUUUCGGUUUGACUCAAAUAUGAAUUACACAAUUCAAGUUAUCCGAAAAUCCGAAUAAAAAAAGACAAAACUACGUUGUUUUGAUAAAUGUUUACUUUUUUAAAAAGUUAAAAUUUAAAAUAAUUAAAUUAAAAGAUAAAAAUACGUCAUUUUGAUAAAUGUUAACCCAUUAAGUUUCAUUAUAUUAUUCAUGUAGUUAAAUAAUCUUAUACUUCGUUUACUAAUUAAAUAAUCGACCCAUCUAAACGCAACAUUAAGUAUAAAUAAUAGAAUUCAUUAACUUGACUCGAUUUGACUUGAAAUUUUUUGCCUCGAUUCGAUUCAAUUCGAAAAAAAUUAAAAUUGAGUUCAGUUACUAAAAUAGGAUUUGUCAACUCGACUAACUCAAAAUUUUUUGACUCGAUUCAACUCGACUCGAUCGAAUACUCACCCUACUCAUAUCUAAAAGAAAAUGAUAUCUAUAUAUCGAUUAGAACCAGCAUGUAAUACGCGCCUAUUAUAAGACCCUUUUAAGGUCAAGAAUUCAAGAUAUCGCUCCAACUCUCUCUUCCAAACACUAAUAACAUCUCCUACAAUUAUCUCACCGAGUGAACCAUCAUCAACCACCAUAAUUCUUACUUAAUAUCAACAUAUAUUAUAUUUAUAUAUGAUCCCGAAUGAACCAUCUACCAUUAUUAAAUAUAUAUAUUGCUUGUGAUGUAUAAAUUUUUGCAGUGGCCUGCAACUUCAAAAGAAUCAAUCUCAUAUUCCGAGUACGUAUCUGCAAAUAUCAGAUACGUUUGAAUGAUGAUAGUCCAAUAUUAUAAUAUGAAACCAAAGUUGUGUUUGUACGAAUUUUGGGUCCCAGUUGCAGUCCAAAUUGGUACCAAAAAGAUUAAGAUUUGGAUACUCUCUCACAGCAUCAUCAUCCUCCCAUCUUUUGUUACCUCAAUCAAUCAUGCUAUCCGUACUCCAUUGAUGCCUUCCUACCACAACAGAAUCUGUGAAGUUCAUCUCUUGUAACAGAUUAUGUCUUCUUUUUUUCCUUUUUACCCCCAGAGUUUUUGCGUGCCAUUGUACUUGUAUUUUGUUCUUUAGUCACCAUUGCUAUGCCAUUGUUUUAAAGACAAUACUCGUUUAAUAAAUGGUUAAACAUGUUUCGAUUAUAUCUUUUUUAAUCACCAAAGAUGAUGUGAUAGUUUUUAAAAUUGGUAUAAUAAUAAUUUUAGUCUUUAAUAUUUAUAUAUUGUGCCAAUUUAGUUUUGAAUUUAAAAAAAUUAACCAACAUUGAGGCCUAAACUUCUUUUCAAUCUAAGUUAAUCCCUGGACCUAAAGUUCAAGCUCUAAUGUAGAAACAAUUGUUAAGUUCAGAUCCCAAUACAAGAAUAAUUGCUAAGUUUAAGGACUAACUUGGAUAAAAAAAUUCAAGCCCUUAAUCUUAAACAUUUAAUAUUACCAUUUUAAUAAAAAAAUAUUUAUUUAUUAUAUAACUUUUAAUGUGUCAUAAUCUAAACAUGUGAAUUUAUAGGAACCUAUAUAUUAUAUUCUCUUCUCUUCUAUUUAAUUUCAAGCAUAAAAGAAAACGUGACACCUAUAUAUUGAUAUAUUCUUUAGGUCGGGUUAUUUAUGCAGCAUCUUUUACUCGUUUGCUUUUAUUUAUAUAUAAAUAUAUUUGGUAAAACUAUAAUGAAAGUCCUUGUAUUAAGAAUCAGAUAGCAUUUUACCCUAUUUACUUAAAAAAAAUAGAUAAAUCAAUCUUUGUACAUAAAAUCAAAUAGCAAAUUGGUCCUUUUGUUACAAGUUUCAUCAAUUUCUACUGUUAAUUGAUGGCAUGCCAUUGUUUGAUUGCUUGAAUUAGUCCAUCCACAUAAAAAAUUCCAUGAAUUUCAUAGUAUAUUAAAAAUUUCAUCCAUUAUGCUUGAAUUAAUCCCUCCGCGCCAAUAUUUAACAGUAGAAACGGAUGAAUUUUUUAACAUAAUGACUAGUUUUCUCUUUGAUCUAAUGUGUAGAGUCUAAUUUACUCAUUUUUUGAGUAGAAAAGACAAAAUGCAAUCCAACUCCUAGUAUAGAGAUCUCCAUGGUCCAUUUACGAACAUAAUUUCAUAUGAUUAUUAUGUAUAAAUAUAUAGGUGUACAUACUUGAAAUGUUCCUCUAUUAUAGAGACCUGAUUAAAUUAGUCUCUCUAUUACUAAAUGGAUCAAUUUAGUCAUUAUACUAUUAAAAGGAAUCAAAUAAGGCCAAAUUAUAAUAAAGUUAUCAUUUACCGUUUAACAAAGUUAAUAAUUUUAAAGUUUUUAUGAAUCUUUUGUUAAUAAUUAAACUAUAAUUUAAAAAAAUAUUUUUUAUACUGCAAAUGUUAACUUUGUUACAAUUUAGACUUAUUUAAUUCUUUUUAAUAGUAUAGAGAUUAAAUUAAUCCAUUUAAUAAUAGAGUGAUUAAUUUGAUUCAAUUCCUAUAUCUAUAAUAGAACCUGAUGGUCCGACCUGACCCGAAGGGCUGUCCAAAAAGUGGGAGGGUUUGGAAAAAAAUAUAAGCCCGAAAAAUGAGCUUUGGCAAAAAAAACAAGGCCUAUUUUCUAAACGGUCCGAGCCUCGGGUAAGCUUUUUUUUUACCCUGGCUCAACCUGAAUUUGCAAAAAAAAACUUGCUACUGUUUUCACUGCUUUUGUUAUUUUUUUUUUCCUCGUUUUCUCCCCCCUGUUGUUCUAAAUUUUCGAUUAAUUUGUAUGACCAUCAAGGAACUUUUUUACUUAUUUCUUUUAUUCUAAUGGAUUUUUUUCUAAUUGUUUGAUUGUUGGGAUUAGUUAUAACUUUAUUGAAUAAAAAUUUCAAAAUUUUGACUCGAUCCUCAGAAUCGAUAUUUCCCUAUUCAUCUUCUGUUAAUUUCAAUAAAGAGAGUUUUUUUUUUCUAUUGCGAAUGAUUUUAUAUUGAGUGUAUCUAGUGUCUGUUCAAGUUUGUGAUAAUCAGUAGUAAAAAGUAGAGCAUAAAUUUUAUUUAUCUAAAACGGAUCUAUUUAUUUUUUAAAGUUUGAUUUAUGCUUAAAGGAGAAACCCAUUUUUUUUUAAAUGCAAUCUCUGACAGUGCUGUCAUUUUGGUAUCGUACAGAACAAACAAAUCUAAUCUGAUUCUCUCAAAAAAAUAAAUGUUAGGAUUUGACCCAACAAAUAUAUAUAUUUUCAAAGGACUGUCCCAAAUCAUUAUCCCUUCUUUUUUUUCUUCAACAAAUAAUUUUUUUUAAAAUUAUAUAAUAUUUACCACAUGUUACAUGGGCAAAUUUAUAAUAAAAAAACAGUGCCAUAUAAAGAAAAAUAACAACAAAAUUACAAGUAAAAGCAUCAUAUUCUUAUGACAAAAAAAAAAACCCCUUAAUUCUUGACAAAAUAGAAGAAAAAAUUCAAAGGAAAUAAAAAUUUUCAAAAGAUUCUUUCAAUGUGAUAGCCGCAGAUGUGACAGAGAAAAAGAAAAGAAAAUCAAAUGCCCAUUAUGAAAGACAAAAUUAAAAUAUAACUUAAAAAUAAUUAAUGCUCUCGUGGGACACCGUUGAUCUGUUGAAAAUUGCUUGAUUCAUAUAUGAAUUUUUUCUAAAAUUUAAAAUUGUGAAAAUAUUUUACUUAAUCGAUAUGUGUAUUGUUGCUAAUGUAGUAUAAUAUAGAUUCGAAUAUAUUGAAGUGCAUUAUUUUUUUAUUUAUAGGUUAAGAAAAGGCUAUGAAUAGUUCUAUUUAUUACGUCAAAAAGAACAGAUAUGAUCAGAACUUAUAAUGAAGUAUUUAAAAAAUUUUAUGAAAAUUUUUUAACGUGGAAUUUGUUAGUAACGAGUUUAUGGUGUUAAAGAAGAUGAUGGUUUGUGUCGAAAGUCACAAAAUUUUGUACUAAUUGGACUUUCAAAUUUUGUCCAAAGCUUCAUUAUUCUAAUGUACUCAAUAAAGCAAAACAAAAAUGAUUUAGAAGAAUCAGAUUUGAAAAUUUAGUCACACCUUAUUAGUUAUUACAUGAUGCCCCACGUUAUUUAAAUCAAUUUAGUUUUUUUUUUAAAAAAAGAAGACAUUUUUAGUUUAAAAUUUAAAAAAAAUUUCGAAUUUCAAAUUUAAUUUAUCAAAUAUCAUCGAUUCUUGAAAGUUAUAAUAUGAAAUUAUUGAACUAAUUAAGCCUCAAGUUCGAUUUUAUUUACCUUCAAUUCUUAUUACAUAUGGUUGCUGUUAUUAAUGAAAUGUAUGAUUUGAAUAUAAUAAAAAAACUCGAGUAACAAAUAAUGUUGAUAUUCGAAUUCCAAGCUGUAUCGUUUUCGUAUAUUUUAUCGUACUAUAAUAAUAUAUAUUAUAAAGUAGAGGAGGAUCUCUUCUGUAACUUUUUAUACAAUUAAAAUUUUAAUGAUUCAACUGUUCAAUAAUGAUUUACAUAUAAUAUUUUAGAUCGAUACGAGGGAGAUAUCAAAUUUAUUUAAAACUUUGCAUACAUGACAAGUAAAAUUAUAUCGAUAAAUUCAACAGUUGAACUGAUAUAAACGGGUCCCUUCCCUAAAAAAAUAAUAUUUAUAUAUAUUGAUACUUAAUAAUUUUUAUUAUAUAAAUUUUCAAAAGAUUUACAUACGUUUUUUUAAAGAGUACGGAUGAGCAGGACAAGAAUUCUAAAUGAGAUCAUCAAUGGGAGUGAGCAAUAUAGAAGAAAUAAAUGACGAAAUGCAUUACAUAUACAACCCAACCACUCAUGAUUCCAUAUCUACAUGAUCUUUGGAAUGAAAGAUAACAUGACGGUCCAACUAUCCACAUUAAUUAAUAUAUGGAGCAUUUCAACUCAUUUUCUUUAAUACAAAAUAUUAGAAAUGUUGCCGAUUGAAUCUUAACUCGAUUAAUAUUAAUAUUAUUACUAGUGCAGGAGAUCAUGGGUUCGAGUACGUUGAAGUACAUUAUCCUCCUAUUUAAAGGUCUGAAAAUAGCUAUGCCUAGUUCUAGACAUGGUAUCGAAAAGAGCAGAUAUGAUAAGAACUUAUAAUGGGAUUAAUGUUCAAAAUAUUACACCUGUUCGUAGGUCGGAUUUGUUUGACUUGUUUUAGGUUGAGUGCAGAUUUGUUUUCCUAAUUUUGAGUUGGCUUGAUUUAUUGUAAUCAUCCAAUUAUUGGUAAAUUUCAUUUUGGUCAUCCAAUUAGAAAAAAAAAUACAAAAUAGUCAACUAGUUGUUUGAUUUUGUCUUUUUUAGACACCAGCUAUUAAAAGGUGACAUAAAGUUAACAUGCAAACUUUUAUGGGUAUAUUCAGAAUAGAGAAUGACUAGAGAGGUCUUUUUACUGAAAUAAUUGAAAUAAACAAGAAAUCAAAAAUGAAAAAGGAGUACCAACAAGUGGUUGAGUACAAUGGUAAGACAUAUUACACUCUAAAAAAAAAUAUAGGUUUGACCAUUAAAGAUAAUAUUAUUAAAAAUAGCAGUUACAAAUAUCAAAUAUAAACCGUAAAACGAACUUGUAAAAGAAAAAGAAAAAAAAAAGCGUUUUGAAACACUUAAUAAGGGUCUUUUUACGUCUAGUCCUUGGUGUCUUAAAGGCUGGGAAAGCCCCGAGACUAACCAAUUAUAACGCCCACAUAGAACUUUUUAUGGGCCCAAGCCUCAAGGCAUACUAUAUUUACUUCAUAUAUAUGUACACAUAUUCUAAGAACUUAUCUGUACUAACUCGAUUAUGUGAUUUUGACUUGAUUAUUGUGAUUUUUUAAAAUUAUUUUUUAUUUAGAAAUUUUUUUGAAUAUGCUUUCAUAUUCAUGGGUGUUGCAUAUAAGAAUGUGUCCUACAUGCAAAAAGAAAAAAAAUUGCAAACUAGUUCAAUUUUAAUGACCGUUAAAUUUCAGGUUGUAAUAUCUUAUUAUGAAAUUUAUUUGUCCGUUAACUUGAUCAACCCAUUUAAUACAAAGAAAGCAAUUACGAGAGUCGACUUUCUCUCUUAUAUAUAUCUCGUCCCAUUUCUCUUUUCUUUCCACUAAAAUUCUUCCCAAUCUCUUCCAGAAAAAAACUUAUUAUUUUCUACAUGUUUUUUAGAAAAGAAUAGUCAUUUUAAAGCUUUAUGGAGAAUACAUAUAAAUCAUGUCGUAAAUAUAGUAAAAUUUUCAACUCAAUUUUUAUAAAACUUUUGCUAUAUUUGUAGAAUUUUUUUUAAAGAUUUUGAGGAAUUAAAUAUUACUUUUUGAGAUAUUUUGAACAACAAAAAGAUGGAGUUGUUUGUCCUCGAUAUAAUUUAGAAUCUUUGAAGGUUAAUGAGCGUAUCUUAGACCAUUUGAAGAGUGUUAGACUAUCAAGACCUACAAAAAUAAAAUCUACUUCUAAAUAUAAUAUUAGCAGAUAACGGCUAGUAGGGUCGUAUUCACAAUAAUAAUUUUACAGUAAAAGAAACAAGUAAAGUAAAUUUAGGGGUUUUGAAAAUUCAAAGGGAAAAACUUUAGCCAAAUGUAAAAUCUUUGUUUGAUUCAUAGAUUCAAUUAUCGACGCAAGGAUAUCUUCAAUGUCUUUAAUAAAUUAGUUCCAGUUACUAAUUCAAUGCCGAGCAACCAAUCUCUCAUUGCUUGUUCAGUAACUAAUAGGCAAUUCAUUUAAAAUUACUUCCUCAACCAAUAAAUAACCUUAUAACUCAAUGCCUAAUAUUUAACUUACUGACAACAUUAAAAACGAGAGACAUUUAAUUCUAACAAAAAAAACUCACUUCAAUGAGGUUUAUUUAAGCUAGACCAUACAUCAACACUACAUAAUUAUAAACUACAACAUAAACAAUUAUGUAAUUCAUCAUUAGUAUUAGAAUGAAUUAAACAAUUAUAGAUUUAAUUAUUAUAAUUGAUUUACUAUUUUAUGUUUAUAUAAUCAUAUACAAAUAAUUAUAUUAAUUCAAUAUAAAAAUAAUUUUAUUUUUUUAUUUUUUUAAAUAUAUAUAAAUAAUUAUAUUAAUCUAAUAUCUACAAUCUAAAAGUUUUUUUUUAGGAUGAAAAAUCCCAUUUAAUUCAAAAAAUUAGUUCUACAAUGGAGAAGUCCUUAUCGUAAUAGAAAACACCCCUAAUUCCUAUAAGUCCAUUGAUACGAGUAUAUAUAUGAGCUCGGUGGGUACAAGGAGGAUCCUAUCUAUUGUUGUUCUUGCUUAUUUUGUUUUUGCUAUCACAAGAUUUGCUGAUAUUUCUUAAGGAUUGUAUUUUUUUUUUCCAAACAAUACAUACUUCUAGACCUGUUCAUAUGUCGGGUUAUUUACCCAAACUUAAAGGUUUAUUCGAAAUUUGAGAAGGUUUAAGUAAAAAUAGUAGACCUGAAAAAUGGAUUUGGACAAGAAAAUUAGACCCAUUUAAAAUAUGGGUCGGGUUUAGGCUUAAACAUUCAAAGCUCAAGCUCGACCCAACCUAUUUUUAAGUUUAUAAUACUUUAUAUUAUGUUAUUUUUAUAUAUUAUAUAAUUUAGAAUACAUUAAAAAAUAAACAUAUAAAUAUAUAAUAAAAACCUUUAAAUAAUGUUAAGAUUACUAUAUAAAAAUUUUUAAUAAAUAAAAAAAUAUUAAAAUAUUAAAUAUUAAAAUAAUAUAAUAUAAAUAUUUUUAAAAAAAAUUAAAAAUAAUAUAGGCGGGCCUAAAAUGGACUUGAGUUGAUCUUUUGCAAAUAUGGACAAAUAUGGAUAAAAUUUUAAGCCUAUAUUUAGGGUUAGACCAAGUCAAGCUUGGGCAAGUAUAAAAUAUAUUAAUAUCAUGUAGGAAUGCUAUGGAUUGGGUCGGGCCUAAGCAUGAUAUUAAAAUGUUUUAUGUUUGCCCAAGCCUGGCCCGACCUAAAAUAUGAGCUUAAAAUUUUGCCCUAACCCAAGUCCAUUUUAAGCCCACUCAUAUUAUUUUUGAUUUUUUUUUAAAUAUUUUAAUAUUUGAUAAUUUUUUAUUUAUUGAAAUUUUUUAUAUAGUCAUCUUAACAUUAUUUAAUGUUUACAUUAGAGUAUUAUUGUAUAUUUAGUAUAAAUUUAUAUUUUCAUGCGUUCUAAAUUACAUAAUAUAUAAAAAUAACAUAAUAUAAAAUAUUAUAAACUUAAAAAUGGGUCUGGCCGGAUUCAGGCCUUAAAUAUUCAAGCUCGAGCUUAGCCCAUAUUUUAAAUGGGCCUAAUAUUUUUAUUCGAGUCCACUUUUGAGCAUAAUAUUUUUACCCAAACCCUCCUAAAUUGUAAGAGAGGGGCCUUCAAGCCUAAACGAGUUAUCCACCAUAAGCAAGUAUAAUAUUAUGCUUAAACUCAAAUAAAACUGACCCAUAAACACCUUUUCAUAUUUCCAUCUAUAAAUAUUCUAAAGGGAAAUAUAUACAUCAUGCUUCUGCAUAUUUGACAAAUAUAUAUAUCAUUGGUACAGUUUAAAUAUUAUUAUUUGCUGACACAAAUGGUUUAUUAUGUGUCUGUAAUUAUCGAUGUCAUUGUCUGAAACCAUGUCUGUGAUGUGAACUUUAUAGCUUUCAAGCUUUGGUUUUUUCUUUGUUACCAAAAACAAGUUGCCUAUUAAAUUUUUCUAUGAAAUUAAUUACGUAUUAAGAUUUAAAUUAUUGAAAUUGACAUUUAAAAAAUAUAUGACAUGAAAUAGUUGAUCUACAUCCACAACUGAUCACGUUCCAUACGAGACAAAUGCCACAACAACUAUUCCGUUGCCUAUGCACAUUAACAAUUAUUCCAUCGCUAUACAUUUUUUUUAGUAUAUAUAUUUUUAAUAAUAUAAAUUAUUAAAUUAGUCACUUUUGUUUUUCUUAAGUUACAUUUUAGUUGUUUACGUUUGAAAUGUUACGUUUUAGUUAUUUAUAUUAUCAUUUUGUUACUAAAUGAUCACUCUAUCGUUAAGAUCUAUUACCUUCUACACGGCAGUCUGACGUGACAGUUAAAGAGUUUUAAAUGCCACAUGUAUAUCCAGUUGGGAUGAGAAAAGUUGAAUUUUUUUAUGAAAAUAGAAUACAAAAUUUUGCCCAGUUGGGUAUUAUUUGUUACCAUAAGAGAAAAAAAAUGACAGAUAAGGAGAAGAAGAAAUGGACGCACCAACCUCUAUAAUUGAUUCCUAUUGUGGUUGCUUAACUAUGUUGAAAACUUUAUAGUCAAAUGAAAAUCUAUUUUAACUACCAAGUUGAAUUACCAUUUGAAAGGUAACAAAUAUUACGACAAAGUGGCCAUCUUGUAAUAUAACAACAAUGUAAGUAAUUAAAAUAUAUAAAUCGAAUGAUAUUGUAAUAUCAAAUCGAUAAAUAAUAUUUUAUGAUUCGAUUUUGUGAUUAUUUUUUAAAUGUAGGUUUACAUUACUUGCCAUUUGAGCACAUCCUGUGACGCAAAAUAGAAUCCAAUCUCUGCAACUUAAGUUGCUGCUUAAAUUUGUUAAUGAAAUCGUCAGCUUUAGCAUCAACACUAUGAUCUUCCUCUUCAAACGGCGUCGUCUCCUCCACUUCUUCCUCUUCUUUUUCCACCUUGCGCCUUGAUUUCUUCAUCUUCUCUGAUAAUUCCCUUUGUGUUACCGUAGGCUCUGAUUGGACUCUUUUUACUUCACCAUGAACCGGACCUAAACCCGUUUCUGAACCGUUCGAAUCAGUUCCAGUGAGUUCGGUUUCGUUUGGUUUAACCGAAUCCGGUUUGUAAAACGAUUUGACUCGCUCUAAGAGCGACGGUGCUCGGCUGAGUAGUGAUUUUUGAACCGGUUCAAUACAAUCCGUUUCUGGACUUUGAGGAGAAUAUGAAUAUCUGUAGAAGUUGAAGGACUUGACUCGUUCGAGAACCGACGGGGCUCGCUCCAGCCGAUAGGCUGCUGAGUCGUCAUCGAUGUCUGGGUUCGAAAGAGGAAACCUGUACGUCGAGAAGUUGAAAGACUUGAUGCGGCUGAGGAACGACGGAGGUCGGUGGAGUGACGGCGGUGGGGAUGAUGAAGAGUUGUAGUCGUCAGCGACGUAGGGCGUUUUGUGAGGACAGAGGCGGGAGAUGAGGAAGAUAGUGGCGAUGGUUAUGUUGAGGAAGAUGAAAAGAGAGGCCGGCGAUAACCAGGUCGCCGUUAAAUCUGACAUACCGGAAAACAUCAUGGUAAGGGGAAAGUAUAUUGCUGAGAAGACGAAAAAAAGGAAGUGAAAAUUUGGUGCUAGGCGCCUCGAAGUAGAAAAAUAAAUGUUGCUGCAUGGGCAUUUAAAAUCUUUAAAAUUUAAUUUAAUAUAAUAUCGACUUUUAAUUAUUAGGGUAAAUUUCACUAUUAGUCAUUAAAAUAUAGGUAAGUUUUAGUUUGGUCACUUAACUAAAAAAUGUUAUAAUUUGGUCAUUGAACUAUUCAUAGUUUUCAUUUAAGUCAUUAAGCUAUUAAAAUCGAUACUAAUGACUUUCUUUAUACGCAUUACCUACACCAAGAGUUCUCUUUCUCUUUCUCUUCUACAGUUCAGUUUUUUUUUCAUGAAACAACUUUGGACAUCAAGAAUUUGCGAGUCAAAAUUUAAACAGUUUUUUUUCGAUCUCUAAAUUGACCGUCAGAUCGACUUGGAUCUAAUAUAUGUUUCUCUACUCGUUGAUAGGUAUUGAUCCAUCAUACUUAUCUCUGAAUCAUCGCUUGAUGCUCGCUGACAAAACUUUUUCUUAAAAAAGAACUUAAUAGCCCAAUGAUUUAGUAACUAAAUUGUAACUUUUUUUUAAAUGACCAAAAUGAAAAUUUAACCAUAGUUUAAUCACUAAGAGUGUAGUUUACCCUUUAAUUUAAUAUAAUUUCUAAUCAUUAUUUGAAUUAUUCUUUUUGGUAUUAUGCUAGUGAGAACUUGAAGUAAUGACACUAUUUUUCAAAAAAUAUUUAAAAAUUCCAAGAAAUAAAUAAAUGGAAUAUAUCUCAUCAUCUUAAGUGUAGUUAAUAAUAAUUCUAUUGUUAUUGAUAUUAUAUGUUAAUUUAAAUCAUUAAUACAAUUAAAUUUUUUUAUUAAGACACAUUAUAUUUUUAAGAGGAGGAUUUUGAACAAUCAGCAACUAACAUUGACGAUAAAUUGAAAAGUAAAAAAGAUUAAAGCGCGAAGUUAAAUUAAUAUUUUAAAAUUACAAGAAAUAAUUAUUUUAACCAGAAAUUUGUGGAGACACAAAUUCCACGACAGAAUCUGCAAAACAAGCAAGUCAGCUUCCAUUGAUGAUGAGUACCCUAUCAAAGUUUCUUGGCCAAAAAACUCUUCUUUCGAUGAUUUGAUAGACCAACAUAGAAGGGUGGUCCUGAACACUAAGUAAAUGUACAGUCCUGAAAAUCGAAAAUAUCACCUGCAAAUUGACGACAACUAUGUGGAUCAAAACUUUCUUCAACAUUUGCUAUGAUGUUGUAGUCGCCAGCAAGUACCCAAGACUUGUCAGCCUGCAAAUAAACUAAAUGCUUCCAUAAUCUUCUUCUUGCAAUGCCCUCAUUCCUUCCAUAUAUAACAGUAAAAAACCUAUGCUUGAACACAUAAUUCACAAGUAAUACUUUGAUCUGUACUGAUAACAAAGCUCAAAGACAUGCUACACUGCCACAAAAUUAAUAUUCUAACAUUAUUAUCUUCAUUAUGAUUAAGCAAAAAAUGCCAACCCCGAUGAAUCUGCUGCAAAUUACUCUUUAUUCUAGUUUCCAUCAAACGUAUAACGUUUAGUUGAAGUUUGGUUGCCCUACUUACAAUACUUCUCUGUGGUCGUUCAUCCCCCUCACAUUCCAAACAAUCUUGGUUAUUCCAGUUGAAGGUAUCCCUAUGAUUCAACUUUUUCAAAAAAGGAAGAGACUGAAGAAGGAACUUAGGAAGUUUAAUAACAGUGUAUAUGGAGAUUAUGACCUAUUUCUUGUUGUACUGUGGUUCAUAAAUGUAAUACAAGAAUCCUGGUGGCUAGAUUGAAUAAGUUACUUAUUGAAUAAGUUACUUACCUAAAUCCAUGGCAAGAAAUCAGUCCACAUUCAUGAAAGGAAGACGUAUCUUAUGAUAAUAUCCUCCUUGCACAAGAACUUGUUCGAGGCUAUGGAAGGAAGUCAAUCUCUCCUCGAUGUGCUCUUAAAGUAGACUUGCAGAAGGCAAUUUGACUCAGUAAGUUGGGGCUUUCCCUUUGUUGUGGGGUAUCCUUCAACAUUUAUUGAGUGGAUAAGGGUAUGCAUUACAACUCCUAGAUUUUCUGUAUCCAUCAAUGUAGGCUUGGUGGGGUUUUUUAAAAGGUGCUAAAGGGGUGAGGCAAGGGGAUCCAUUGUCCCCUUACCUCUUUCUCAUUGUUAUGAAUGCUCUUUCUAAACUUCUUGAUGCUGUAGUUGAGAAUGGGCUCUUCUAUUAUCACCCAAAAACUAAGAAGAUCCAUUUAACCCACUUAUGCUUUGCUGAUGACUUCUUGAUUUUUGCAAAAGGAAGAACUGGUUCUAUUUUGUGGAUUAAGCUCGUGUUGAAACAGUUUUAACUCUUUUUCUGACCUAAAGCUAAACUCUUUCAAAAGUGAGCUUUAUUCUUCAGGAAUGACUGAAAAUGAGUUGCAUAAGGUCAAAUCACUUACAGGGUUUAUAAUUGGCAAGCUCCCUGUACGGUACUUAGGGUGCCUCUUAUGACUCGCCAACUAACUGAAAGGAAUUGUGCACCAUUAUAGGAUAAAGUAAAGGCGCGCACACACUCUUGGGCAGCAAGGUUCUUAUCUUAUACCGGUAGAGCUCAACUUAUACAAGCUGUGUAAUUCAAUAUUCAAAAUUAUUGGGCGAGAUAAUUUUUGCUUCCUAAAGCUAUUCUAAAGAAAAUUAACCAUAUGUGUAAAAGGUUUCUUUGAAAAGGAACUGAGGAAAAUGCUACAGGGCUUGGUUUCAAAGAUUUUAGAAGUUGGAAUCAAGCUAGCAUAAUUGGUCAUGUUUGGGCUAUUCUUAUGGAAUCGGGUUCUUUGUGGAUAACAUGAAUAGAAGCUUAUAUACUCAAAGAGAAGCAUUUGAUGCAAUUGCCUCACUCAAAGCUAUAGUUGGAGUCGUUGGAAGAAGCUGUUAAUGUUAAGGGAAGUAGCUUUGUAGGUGAUUACUCUACCAACUGAUAUUGCUGUUCCGCAAGGAUGUUUUGUGACGAAAAAAGUUUGGAAUGAGAUACAGUCAAAAGCUGUUAAAGUGCACCAUGGAGGAGGCAUGGAUGGCUUUGUAGAACAGGUUACCUACUAAAGAUAGGACCUCAAAUUGGGGGAUAACUAUUGGGAAUUAUCCAUAUUUAUUGAAAAUAAAAGAUAUGGGUAUCAAAUAAUAGAAAGUCAAAGAUAUGGGUAUCAAAUAUUGGAAAGUCAAAGAUAUGGGUAUCAAAUAUUGGAAAGUCAAAGAUAUGGGUAUCGAGAUAUUGGCAUAAUAAAAUCUGAGAUAUUUGCAAUAUAUGGUCCCUAAUUGUAAAGUGACUUUGCAAGUUGAUCCCUGAACCUCAACUAUAAAUAGGCAUAACCAUCUCUCAUUCUGUAUCUCAAACUUGCCAUUCUCUACUUAAGGCAUUGUUUUCUCUCUCUCUCUUUGUAAAUUCUCACUUGUAUUUUGGAGUGAAAUAUAUUUGGUAGUGCCCGAGGACGUAGGCAAAAUUUGCUGAACCUCGUUAAAUUCUUGUGUUCUUUAUUGUAUUAUUCUGCAUGAAUUGUGUGUGUGAUUGUAGUGAUUUAUUGUGCUAUUAAAUUACGAUUGAGGGAUAUUCUGGCUAGGAAAGACCUGGUACUUAAGUGAUCCUUGCGAUCCACCUCUCUUUCCUGGGAAUUGAACUUAGUGUGAUUUUUUAGUACAAUAAUUUUACUCUUUUACACGCUUCCGCACAACAAUUGGUAUCAGAGCUAGAUUCGUACUUGGGGAAUACGAUCGUUCACGGCACUGUUCACGUACUGUAGUUGGGAUUGAGGAGAAAAAAUGGAAAAGUCAUCGUCAAAGACUACUGUGACCAAUGCGAAAUUUGAAGUAGAGAAAUUUGAUGGUACCAAUAAUUUUGGUAUGUGGCAAUGUGAGAUCCUGGAUGUCUUAUGUCAGCAAGAGCUGGAUAUAGCCCUUGAAGAAAAACCUGACAAGAUGGAUGACAAGGAGUGGGCCAAGAUCAAUAGACAGGCAUGUGGAACAAUUCGCCUAUGUUUGGCCAAAGAGCAGAAGUACUCUGUCAUGAGGGAGACAUCAGCGAAGAAGUUGUGGGAUACACUGGAAGAAAAGUUUCUAACAAAAAGUCUUGAAAAUAGGCUUUAUAUGAAAAAGAAACUUUAUCGAUUCACGUAUGCACCCGGUAUGUCGAUGAAUGACCAUGUGAACUCAUUCAAUAAAAUUUUAGCAGACUUGCUAAAUUUGGAUGAGAAAUUUGAAGAUGAAGACAAGGCAUUAUUGUUGUUGAAUUCCCUUCCUGAUGAAUAUGAUCAUCUUACCACCACAUUGCUUCAUGGGAAGGACACGAUCAUAUUUGAUGCAGUCUGUAGUGCGUUGUAUAGAUCUGAGACUCGAAAGAAAGAUAAAAGAGAUCACAGAGAUACAAUCGCAGAAGUCUUAACAGUAAGAGGUCGUUCACACAGCAGCAAAUCUGGUAGAAGGGGAAAGUCCAAAGGGAGACCCGCCAAAAAUGAAUGUGCCUUUUGCCGUGAAAAAGGGCAUUGGAAAAAGAAUUGUCCUAAGCUACAAAAGGGCAAGGCUAUUUCUAAUGCAUGUGUAGCGGAGCAUGAUGAGGAGUCAGACUUUAGCUUGGUUGGCAUGGCAAUGGCAUGUCAAACGGAUGAGUGGAUUUUGGAUUCAGGAUGUACUUACCAUAUGUGUCCUAAUAAGGACUGGUUUUCUAGUCUUAAAGAGCUAGAAGGUGGAAUUGUUCUUAUGGGAAAUGAUAGUGCUUGUAAGACAAUGGGAGUGGGUACAGUCCAAUUGAAGAAUCACGACGGCUCAAUCCAAGUCUUGACAGAUGUUCGCUACGUACCUAGCCUGAAGAAAAAUCUCAUCUCAUUAGGUGCCCUAGAAUCUAAAGGGCUCACAAUCACUUUGAGAGAUGGAUUACUAAAAGUAGUAGCUGGGCAACUGACGGUGAUGAAAGGCACAAGAAGAAAUAACUUGUAUUUUUUAAAUGGAAGUACAGUUAUUGGAUCAACAUCAACAGUUUCUACAAAAGAUGUAGAUUCAGAGGCUACCAGAUUAUGGCAUAUGCGAUUGGGACAUGCUGGUGAAAAAGCUUUGCAGACAUUGGUGAAGCAAGGCUUAUUGAAAGGUGCAAAUUCUUGCAAAAUGGAAUUCUGUGAACAUUGUGUUCUGGGCAAGCAGAAGAGGGUAAAAUUUGGUCCAGCAAUUCACAAUACGAAAGGAAUUCUGGACUACGUUCAUAGUGAUGUGUGGGGACCUACCAAAGUAGCUUCUUUGGGAGGUAUGCACUAUUUUGUUACUUUUUUUGAUGAUUAUUCAAGAAAAGUAUGGGUGUAUCUAAUGAAAAGAAAAAGUGAAGUUUUGGAUGCAUUUCUGAAAUGGAAGAAGAUGGUGGAGACUCAGACUGGUCGAAAGGUCAAACGACUUCGAUCAGAUAAUGGUACUGAGUAUAAAAACGAUCCAUUUCUACAAGUAUGCCAAGAUGAGGGCAUUGUGCGACACUUCACUGUUCGGGAUACACCACAGCAAAAUGGGGUGGCAGAACGAAUGGAUCGAACUAUACUGGAGAAAGUUCGAUGUAUGUUGUCCAAUGCUGAAUUGGGCAAAGAAUUUUGGGCUGAGGCAGUUACAUAUGCGUGCCAUCUAAUUAACCGUUUGCCAUCAGCUGCAAUAAAUGGAAAAACUCCUAUGGAGAUGUGGACUGGUAAAUCUACUAUUGGUUAUGAUUCUUUGCAUGUAUUUGGUUCUACUGCAUAUUAUCAUGUAAAAGAAUCUAAGUUAGACCCAAGAGCAAAGAAAGCAUUAUUCUUGGGUAUAACUGAUGGAGUAAAAGGAUAUCGUCUCUGGUGUCCUGAUACAAGGAAGAUUGUUUUCAGUAGAGAUGUGACUUUUGAUGAAUCAACCAUGUUGAAGUACAAGGAUUCACAAAAGGAUGACAAAACCAGUAGUACUUUGCAGCAGGUGGAGCUUGAAAAGGUUAACGAUGAUCUAGCUAAUAUUGAAGGGACAAAUGAUGAAGAGGUUCCUACCCAAGAAUCUCUACAGCAAAAAGAUUCAAUUGCAUAUAGAAGGCCAAGAAGAGAGAUUCGUAAGCCUGCUCGCUUUGAUGAUAUAGUGGCCUAUGCACUUCCAAUUACAGAUGAUGAUGUUCCUUCUACUUACACAGAAGUAAUAAGUAACCCUGAUGGUGUAAAGUGGAAGCAAGAAAUGAAUGAAGAAAUGCAGUCUCUUCAUAAAAAUAAGACCUGGGAGUUGGUGACACUACCCAAGGGAAAGAAGGCAAUUGGAUGCAAAUGGGUAUAUGCAAAGAAGGAAGGAUUUCCUGAUAAAAAUGAAAUUCGAUACAAGGCUAGAUUAGUAGCAAAGGGUUACGCUCAGAAAGAAGGAAUAGACUACAAUGAAGUGUUUUCUCCAGUUGUGAAGCAUUCUUCUAUUCGGAUUUUGCUAGCCUUGGUUGCGCAAUAUGAUCUUGAACUAGUUCAGCUUGAUGUGAAGACCGCGUUUUUACACGGUAAUUUGGAAGAGGAAAUCUAUAUGACUCAGCCAGAUGGAUUCAAGGUUGCUGGAAAAGAAAAUUAGGUUUGCAAACUGACAAAGUCACUUUAUGGAUUGAAGCAAUCUCCGAGGCAGUGGUACAAGCGAUUUGAUCAGUUCAUGAAAGGGCAAAGGUACACAAGAAGUAAAUUUGAUCAUUGCGUGUAUUUUCAGAAGCUACAAGAAGGAACUUUCAUAUACUUGCUCUUAUAUGUUGAUGAUAUGCUAAUAGCAUCUAAGAGCAAAGUUGAGAUUGAAAGAUUGAAGACUCAACUCAAUCUCGAGUUUGAGAUGAAAGAUCUAGGAGAAGCUAAAAAGAUUCUCGGUAUGGAAAUAUGGAGAGAUAGAGCUCAUGAUAGAGUUAGCUUGUCUCAGAAGCAGUAUUUGAAAAAGGUACUACAGCAGUUUGGCAUGAACGACCAGACAAAACCUGUAAGUACCCCGUUGGCUUCUCAUUUCAAGCUUUCUGCACAACUAUCUCCUUCGACGAAUACGGAACGAGAAUACAUGUUGCAAGUUCCGUAUUCUAAUGCAGUGGGUAGCUUGAUGUAUGCAAUGGUGUGUACAAGACCCGACAUUUCACAGGCAGUUAGUAUAGUGAGCAGGUAUAUGCAUAAUCCUGGAAAAAGACAUUGGCAAGCUGUGAAAUGGAUUCUACGGUAUAUUCAUAAGACCAUGGAUAUUGGAUUACUGUUCAAGCAGGAUACUACACUUGGUAAAGGUGUUGUUGGGUACGUUGAUUCUGAUUAUGCCGGUGAUUUGGACAAACGAAGAUCAACCACUGGUUAUGUGUUUACUCUUGCUGGAGGACCAAUAAGUUGGAAGUCUACACUACAGUCUACAGUUGCGUUGUCAACCACAGAAGCUGAAUACAUGGCUGUAACAGAGGCUGUAAAGGAAGCUAUUUGGUUACAAGGUAUGGUUAAAACCUUGGGAUUGGUCCAGGAGCAUAUUAAUGUGUAUUGUGAUAGUCAAAGUGCUAUUCAUUUAGCAAAGAAUCAAGUCUAUCAUGCACGUACAAAGCAUAUCGAUGUACGUUUCCACUUUGUGCGGGAAAUUAUUGAUGAGGGGAAAAUUCACCUUCAGAAGAUUAAGACUGCAGAUAAUCCCGCAGAUAUGAUGACCAAGGUGGUAACAACAAUCAAGUUCGAACAUUGUUUGAACUUGAUCAAUAUUCUGCAUGUUUAACAGUUGAAGAAGGCACUAUCAAGUGUUGUUGACAAAGGCAGAGAGAAUUGUGUGAAGAUAAGAUUACUUGAAUCAAAUCUUCAAGGUGGAGAUUAUUGGGAAUUAUCCAUAUUUAUUGAAAAUCAAAGAUAUGGGUAUCAAAUAAUAGAAAGUCAAAGAUAUGGGUAUCAAAUAUUGGAAAGUCAAAGAUAUGGGUAUCAAAUAUUGGAAAGUCAAAGAUAUGGGUAUCGAGAUAUUGGCAUAAUAAAAUCUGAGAUAUUUGCAAUAUAUGGUCCCUAAUUGUAAAGUGACUUUGCAAGUUGAUCCCUGAACCUCAACUAUAAAUAGGCAUAACCAUCUCUCAUUCUGUAUCUCAAACUUGCCAUUCUCUACUUAAGGCAUUGUUUUCUCUCUCUCUCUUUGUAAAUUCUCACUUGUAUUUUGGAGUGAAAUAUAUUUGGUAGUGCCCGAGGACGUAGGCAAAAUUUGCUGAACCUCGUUAAAUUCUUGUGUUCUUUAUUGUAUUAUUCUGCAUGAAUUGUGUGUGUGAUUGUAGUGAUUUAUUGUGCUAUUAAAUUACGAUUGAGGGAUAUUCUGGCUAGGAAAGACCUGGUACUUAAGCGAUCCUUGCGAUCCACCUCUCUUUCCUGAGAAUUGAACUUAGUGUGAUUUUUUAGUACAAUAAUUUUACUCUUUUACACGCUUCCGCACAACAAUAACUAUUGACGACAGAUGUAUUUUUUGUAUGAUGCAACAAGAGUCCAGGGAUCAUCUUUAUUGUGAAUGUUCUUUCACCAAACCUAUUUGGCAGAUGGUGCUGCAGCUAUGUCAUGAGCUAAGACAGGCAUGUGCAAAGUUAAAAGGCAAUUCCCUCAUAUCUGUUAUGUUGCGCUUAGCAUGGACAACCUAUAUCUAUUUCAUAUGGGGGGAUAGAAAUUGAAGACUUUUUGGCAGGAAACAACAAGCUGAACAAGGUUUAACGGAUAGGGUUAAACAAAACAAAUCAUUCGUAUGAGACGAAGGGGAGUUAAAAGCAAUAUGAAUAUGAAACAAUCAAUCUGCUGUAUAUGGUUUUGUUUUUCAUAUAAACUUCUUCAUAAUUUUAUUAUUUUAAAUUAUUUAUUGAGAAUGUAAAUCGUAUAUACCAAUAUAAUGUACAUGUAGACAGGGAUGAAGGCAAAAAAUAGUUUUAGGAGGUUAAAAUUAAAUUACAAUAUUUAUUAUAGUAAAAAUACAAUUUCACCAUUAAAAUAGUCUAUACCUUUAUAAUUUUUAAAAUUUCUAAAAAAUUAAAUCAAAUUUUUAUCGUUUUUAAGGCGUUAAAGUACCAUUUUACUUUUACUAAUUUAAAUUUUUAAAAAAUUUAAACACCCUAAUGGAAAAUUUUUUAUUUUAAGAGACCGAGACCCCUGCCAGCCCCCUGGCUACAUGUAACACCCCUUACCCGUAUUCGUCUCCGGAAUAGGGUAGGAGGCAUUACCGGAGUUUACCGAAUUAAUUUUCCAUUAAUACGAGUUAAAUACUAUUCAUUUACUAAAACAUGUCAUGGCGUCCUUUAGAUGGGCCUCUAGAACCUAAAACAUAUUUCGAGACCAAACCAGAAUUAAAUCGAAACCAUAAGGAAUUUUUCGCAAAAUCCUAAAAUUUUUUUUUUCUGCUCAAUAUAAUCCCUUUAUAAAUAUCUAACCUUCCUUGCAAAUUUUAAAACCGAGACCAAUCCAACCAACCAAUUCAUUUCAAUCAAUUUGAUACCAAAUUAUACUACUAUUAUAAUUAUACUAUUUAACAUAUUCAUCAUUCUUUACUUUAAUGUAUAUUUCUUGAACAAGUCUUAGUAUUUAUAUAAUCAUCAAACCUUAUACAUGCCAUAUAAAUCAAAAAGAAAUUUACAAAAGUUACAGGAGAUAAUCUGAAUAGUGUGAUCCUCUGUGUUGAUCCGAUCCUCCGUAUACUUCCACGUCAAUCUACAAGAGACAUUGAUUACACUCAUGUAAGCUUAUAGAAGCUUAGUAAGUUCAUAGGCAUAAAACAUAAAUCUUACCAAACAUUUAUACACUUAUACAAUAUACACAACUAUUAAGUUCACUUGUCAACCACAGCCAUUGGUGAGUUCCCUUGUAUAAACUUACUACCACUUAUCCAUUUCCUUUAAUUCUUUUGGGCCCAUUUGUCACAUAUCAUUCUUUAACCAAAUUAGAGAAUGGUUACGGAAAAUUGAGUACUUCACUUUCACUUUGCCAUAGUAUAACUAUGGUCUUGCGUAUGAUCACUUAUCACCUUUUGAAGUCAUUGUCCUGCCACGGUCUUACACUGAUCACAUUUAUCACUUGUCACUGAUCAGAUAAGUGUAGUUAAAACUACCACUUAUUACUUAUCACUUGUCACUGAUCAGAUAAGUGUAGCUAAAGCUACCACUUAUCACUUGUCGCUUGUCACUUAUCGUUGAUCAGAUAAGUGUAGCUAAGGCUACCACAUUGAUCAGAAGUACUCAAAUCUGAUAUUCCGCUCAAUUUAAUCAUUUAUUCGAUUUUCGUGUUGUUAUUUUAUUCUCUAUGUAUCAAUAAAUAUAUUUCAUCAUACAUAUUACAUUAUAUAAUUCAUAAAAUUAACAUAUAAUCAUUAAACUUCAACCAUAUGAACUUACCUGGGUCGAUUUGCAAAAUUUGUGAAAGUUCAGGGACUAAUCAGCUAUUUUUUCUUUUCCUCGAAUUGCUUCGGAUUCUCGAUCUAUCAUUGUAAAAUCAUUCACUUAUCAGUAAUGACUUCAUCUUCAACCCGCUUAUAGGUAAUAUUAUCUAUAAUUUCAUUAUUUACUUAUGUAUAUUCCAAUGCUGUCCAUCAGUGUCAUAGUCACUAAAUUAUUUUUAUCUUUAGCUACCGAACUCCAAAUUAGGAUCCGCUAAUUUUCCCUGAAACUAGACUCAUAUAUCUUCUUAUCAUAAAAUUUUUAGAAUUUUUUGGUUUAGCCAAUAUGUACAGUUUAUUCUUUAAAGUCACCCCUGUUCUGCUGUCUGACAAUUCCGACCCUUCUUCACUAAAAAUUAAUUAUCUCUUCGUACAGAAUUUGGAUGAUGUCCAUGUUUGUUUCUAUUGAAAAUAGACUUAUUAAGGAUUUUAAAAAUAUAAAUUUAAUCCCCUAAUUAUUUUUCUCUAAUUUGUGAUGAUUCUCCAAAGUCAGAACAGGGGAACCCGAAAUCAUUCUGACAUUGUCUCACAAAAUCUAUUAUAUCUCAUGAUCUAUAAUUCCGUUGCUUACAUCGUUUCUUCUAUGAGAAACUAGACUAAAUAAGCUUUAAUUUCAUUUUUUUCAUAUUCUAAUUCGAUUUUUACAAUUUAUGGUGAUUUUUCAAAGUUAGACUACUGCUGCUGUCCAAAACUGUUUUAGUGCAAAUGUUGAUUUUGAUUUUUGCCCCAAAUUUCACAGUUCAUACAAUUCAGUCCUUGCUCAAUUAAUCCCUCAAUGAAGCUAAUUUUUCCCAAUUAAUGCUUUACCUAGAAAUCAUAAGUUAUUUCACAAUUAUUUAAAUUCAUAAUUUCCACAUAAAACCCUAACUUCAAACUCUUUCACCAUCAGGUCCCAAACAUUCACUUUCUAUUCAAUUCUUUCAAUAAAAUCAGCAUAUAAACAAUUUAAAACUCUAAUUCCAUGCUAAAUCAUCAUAUACUUCCAACACAUAUUCAAACAACUUCCAAUUUCUUUCAUAGAAUCAAAAACUAAUGAAUUCAACAAGUGGACCUAGUUGUAAAAGUCAUAAAAGCACAAAAAUUUCAAGAAAUAAUCAAGAAUUGAACUUACUUGCAGUAAAAAUAUGAAAAACCAGCUUAAGAAAACCCUUCUAUGGUGUUUUUUCUGAUGAGAAUGCAGAAAAAUAAUGAGAAUUCUAGAUAAUUCCACUUUAGUCCUAGUUUAUUAAGUAAAUUUUGCAAUAUUCCAAUUUUACCCUUAAUUCAUCAAUUUUCCUGCUGAUUUCAUGCACCUUGCCGUCCAGCCCAAAUAGACCUUGGGUCUAUUUGCCUUUUAAACCCUCUUUAUUUUAUCAUUUAAGCUAUUUAAUCAUUUCCCAUAAUUUUACAUUUGUUACAAUUUAAUCCUUUUUAUUCAAUUAACUAUCGAAACUUUUAAAUUUCUUAACGAAACUUUAAUACUAACUUAUUAACACUCCAUAAAUAUUCAUAAAAAUAUUUAUUGCUCGUUUUAAAAUUUUCAAACUAUCGAUAUCUCAUUUUCGAUUCUAAUUUUUAAAAUUUUUAUUUCUAGUACACUAUUCGCUAUUUCAAAAAUUUUCCUAACUUCACACUUAACUUAUAUUCACUAAAUUAUUAAUAUUUUCUACUCAUUUGUCGGAUUUAGUGAUCUCGAAUCACUGUUCCGACACCACUGAAAAUUUAGGCUAUUACAAUUCUCCCCCUCUUAAGAAAUUUCGUCCUUGAAAUUUGUUACCUGAAAAUAGGUUCGGAUAUUGUGAUAUCAUUGAUUCCUCUAUUUCCCAGGUUUCCUCCUCCACACCAUGUCGAUGCCACAACACUUUUACUAACGGUACUCGUUUGUUCCUUAACUCUUUAAUUUCUCAAGCUAGAAUUUUCACCGAUUCUUCUGAAUAAGUCAUGUCGAGUUGGAGCUCUAUUUCUGUAUAAGGGAUUACAUGUGAUGGAUCUGAUCUGUACCGUCUCAACAUAGACACAUGAAACACGUUAUGAAUCUUUUCAAGCUCCGGGGGCAAAGCCAAUCUAUAAGCUAUCGGACCGAUUCUUUCAAUGAUUUCAUACGGCCCGAUAAAUCGUGGGCUGAGUUUUCCCUUUCUACCGAACCGCAAAACUUUCUUCCACGGUGACACUUUCAAGAUACAUGAUCACCCACAUUAAACUCUAUAUCUCUUCUCUUUAAAUUUGCAUAUGAUUUUUGCCGAUCGGAGGCAGCUUUUAAACAAUCUCGAAGAAUACGAACUUUUUCUUUGGUUUCCCGAAUCAAGUCCACUCCCAUUAGUUUCCGUUCACUUAAUUCAGACCAAUAUAAUGGAGUUCUACACUUUCUUCCAUACAGAGCUUCAAAUGGUGCCAUUUUAAUACUAGUUUGAUAACUAUUAUUAUAAGCAAAUUCGACUAAAGGUAAAUACCUUUCCCAGCUGCCGCCAAACUCAAGUACACAACAACUUAACAUAUCUUCUAAAAUCUGAAUCACUCGCUCUGACUGCCCAUCUGUCUGAGGAUGAAAAGCUGUGCUGAAAUUUAAUUUAGUGCCCAAAGCCUCCUGUAAUUUACUCUAAAAUCUCGAAGUAAAUCUCGGAUCUCGAUUCGAAAUAAUAGAUAUUGGAACUCCAUGUAAUCUCACAAUCUCAGAAAUAUACAAUUCCGCUAAUUUCUCCAAUGAAAAAUUUGAUCUGACUGGAAUAAAAUGUGCCGAUUUUGUCAAUCUAUCAACGAUAACCCAGAUUGAAUCUUUCUUUUUUCGGAGUCACAGACAAUCCUGAUACAAAAUCCAUCGUAAUGUGUUCCCACUUCCAUUCAGGAAUCAUAAUAGGUUGUAAUAAACCCGUUGGUACUUGAUGCUCUGCUUUUACCUGCUGACAGAUUAAACAUUUUGCAACAAAUUCACAAAUCUCUCGCUUCAUACCAGGCCACCAGUACAUUCUUUUUAAAUCGCAAUACAUUUUUGUACUACCCGGAUGAAUAGAAUACUUACUAUUAUGAGCUUCAGCAAGAAUAUCAUUUUUCAAUUCUGGAUUAUUCGGAACACAAAUUCUAUUACGAUAACGCAACAUACCACCAUCAUCAACGCUAUAUUCUGAACUCAAAUUAUCCUAAACCGUUUGUCGUUUCAGCACUAGUUUCAGAUCAUCACUCUGUAAUUCACAGAUCCGUUGAAGGAAUGUAGAUUUUUCUUUCAAUUCUGCUAAUACUGAGCCAUCUUCAUUAACAGACAAAUGAACAUUCAUUGCUCGAAGUGCAAACAAUGAUGAUUUUCGACUAAGUGCAUCAGCGACCACAUUAACUUUCCCCGGGUGAUAAUCAAUAACAAGAUUAUAAUCUUUCAAUAGUUCGCGCCACCGUCUCUGUCUCAAGUUCAGCUCUUUCUGUGUCAUCAAAUAUUUCAGACUUUUGUGAUCGGUAUACACAUAACAUUUUUCCCCAUAUAAAUAAUGUCUUCAAAUUUUUAAAGCAAACACAAUUGCGGCCAACUCCAAAUCAUGGGUAGGUAAUUUUUCUUGUGCGGUUUUAAUUGUCGAGAAGCAUAUGCCACUACUUUCCCUGAUUGCAUUAAAACACAACCCAAACCAUUUAAAGAUGCAUCACUAUACACAACAUAUGGUAUACCUGAUUCUGAUUGAGUUAACACUGGAGCUUCUGUCAACAUAUUCUUCAACUGGUCAAAACUUUGUUGGCACUCUUCAGACCAUACAAAUUCAACAUUCUUCUGAAGUAGCCGAGUUAUCGGCAAUGCAAUCAUUGAAAAAUUUUUAACAAAUCGGCGGUAGUAUUCCGCUAAUCCUAGGAAACUUCGCACUUCUGUUACAUUCUUCGGAGUUUUCCAAUUCACCACUGCUGACACUUUACUUGGAUCUUCUCGAAUUCCUUCAGCUAAAACAAUAUGACCUAGAAAUCCAACCUCAUGUAGCCAAAAUUCACACUUGCUGAACUUUACAUACAACUGCUUCUCUCUCAAAGUCUGUAACACACUUCUCAAGUGUUGUGCAUGAUUAGGCUCGGUCUUCGAAUAGAUCAGUAUAUCAUCAAUAAAUACAACCACGAAUCUAUCCAAAUAAGGUUGAAAAAUUCGAUUCAUCGAGUCCAUAAAUGCAGCAGGAGCAUUAGUUAAACCAAAUGGCAUUACCAGAAACUCAUAAUGACCAUAUCGAGUUUUAAAAGUAGUUUUUGGCACGUCACAUUCUUUAACUUUCAGCUGAUAAUAUUCAGAUCGAAGAUCUAUUUUUGAAAACACAGCAGCACCUUUCAAUUGAUCGAACAAAUCAUCAAUGCGGGGCAAAGGAUAUUUGUUCUUGAUUGUAACCUUAUUUAAUUGUCUGUAAUCUAUACACAAUCUCAACGAACCAUCUUUCUUUUUCAGAAACAAAACAGGUGCACCCCAAGGAGAUGUACUCUGUCUAAUAAACCCCUUAUCUAACAAUUCUUACAACUGAGUCUUUAACUCUUUUAAUCCAGUCGGUGCCAUUUCGUAUGGUGUUACGGAUAUUGGAGCUGUUCCAGGGAUCACAUCAAUCACAAACUCAACUUCACAAUCUGGUGGUAAACCUGGCAAUUCCUCAGGAAACACAUCAGCAAAUUCAUUAACAACUGGCAACUGUUUCAACUUUGAUUCAGAAUCCCGAGUAUAAAAAAUAUAAGCUAAAUAUGCUUCAUUACCCUUCCGCAUUAGCUUCUGAGCUGAAAAGGCUGAAAUAAUUCGGACAUUAUCUUUCAUAUUUCCAAACUCAGCCGAAAUUAUUUCUCCUGUCUGAUUUUUCAAAUCAAUCCGUUUCUCUCGACAGUUUACUACAGCGUCAUGUUUUGUUAACCAAUCCAUCCCCAAAAUAAUAUCAAAUUCCCGAAAGGGUAACAACAUCAAAUCAGCAGGGAAUUCACAACCUUUCACUUUCAGUGGACAAUUACGACAUAUUAAAUUAACCAUCACACUUUGACCUAAUGGAUUAGUGACUUGUAUAUCAUAAUUAGUGGACUCAACAGAUAAUUUCUUUUUAGAUGCUAGCAUAUUGCAAAUAUAUGAAUGAGUAGACCCAGGGUCUAUUAAUGCAUAAACAGUAACAUCAUAAAGAUAGAAAAUACCAGCAAUUACAUCAGGAGCCGUAGCCUCUUCCCUUGCUCGAAUGGCAUAGGUACGUGCUGAUGCUCUAUUCUCUGAUUGACUAACUGGUUCUCUCAUACCCGAACGGGUAGCCCCUGUAGCACUACUCUGGCCCGAACGUCUACUUAUUUGAGGAGUGGUUCUCUGUAUCUUUUUCUGAUCCACUUCAUCUUUUUGCAGCUGGGGACAAUCUCGAAUAAGAUGAUCAAUAGCCCCACAUUUAUAACAAGCCCCCAUCUUAGUCCUGCAUUCACCGAAAUGAUGUCUUCCACAAUAUUGACACUUAGGCCGGGGAGUAUUCUGAACACUACUCACACUUGUUGCAGGUCUAUCAAAUACCCUGAAAUCAGAUUGUCUUGAUCUACCUCUACCCAAUCUUCCCUGCAUGGAUGUAGUUCGACUAAUUUCUUCUCUAGAUUUUUUCACCGGCAAAUCUGAAAAUGACUUAGAAGCACCUCUUUUAAAUGACUCUUUAUUUUUUUGAUCUCGUUGCAUUUUUCUGUUAUAUACUUCUUCGAGCUUUUGAGCACGGUCUGAUAGAACAACGAACUCCCGUAUUUCAUUACCCCCAAUCAUCAUUCUAAUCUCAUCAUUUAAUCCUUCUUCAAAUCUGAUACACAUUUCUUCUCAGUAGGUACAAUGUCUCGAGCAUAUUUGCUGAGGUAGACAAAUUCUCUUUCGUAUUCAGCCACUGACUUAUUUCCCUGCCGUAGAUCAAGAAAUUCUCUCUUUUUCUUGUCUAGAUAUCUUUUUCCCAUAUAUUUCUUUUUAAACUCGUUCUGGAAAAAUUCCCAAGUAAGUUUCUCUGCAGGUACUACAGCUUCCACAGUUUCCCACCAGUUAUAUGCUUCUUCUUUGAACAAUGAGACAGCACAUCGUAGAUAAUCCUCCGGAGAACAAGCCAUCUGUUUAAAAAUUCUUACCAAACUCUGUAGCCAAUACUCAGCUUUUACAGGGUCAUCAUCUGAUCUCCCUCGAAAUUCAUUAGCUCCAAACUUCCUAAGCUUUUCAAUCGGAGAACGUUUACUAGUUUCAAUUAUUGAAGGAGGUGGAGGAGCAACCGGAUGUACCACAGGUGGUGCAGUAGGGGGAGGAGGUGGUUGAGCCUGACUUCUUUCUUGUAUCAUCUCCUUAUACCUCUGAUUCAUAACUCCAUAAAUCAUAUUUUUAAGUCCUCGCUCUAACAUCAUAGAAAUUGGAAUAUCACUACUUGUUCCUUGUUUAGAAGUCUGCACUCUACUGUUAGCUUCCUCCUGUUCAGUGCGUUCAGGUCUAUCUGACAUCUUUAUAAUCGAAGAAUAUCUAUAAAAAUGACAAAGAUUAGAUCGGAUCAUACACAUCACACUAUCACAGAUUUAUAUGGCAUGUAUUUCUAAACACUUUACACGUAACACAUGUUCCGAGAAUAGGCUAAACCGGGCUCUGAUACCACUAAAUUAACACCUCUUACCCGUAUUGUCGCCGGAAUAGGGUAGGAGGCAUUACCGAAGUUUACCGAAUUAAUUUUCCAUUAAUACGAGUUAAAUACUAUUCAUUUACUAAAACAUGUCAUGGCGUCCUUUAGAUAGGCCUCCAGAACCCAAAACAUAUUUCGAAACCAAACCAGAAUUAAAUCGAAACCAUAGGGAAUUUUUCAAAAAAUCCUAAAGUUUUUUUUUUCUGCUCAAUAUAAUCCCUUUAUAAAUAUCUAACAUUCCCUGCAAAUUUUAAAACCGAGACCAAUCCAACCAACCAAUUCAUUUCAAUCAAUUUGAUACCAAAUUAUACUACUAUUAUAAUUAUACUAUUUAACAUAUUCAUCAUUCUUUACUUUAAUGUAUAUUUCUUAAACAAGUCUUAGUAUUUAUAUAAUCAUCAAACCUUAUACAUGCCAUAUAAAUCAAAAAGAAAUUUACAAAAGUUACCGGAGAUAAUUUGGAUAGUGUGAUCCUCUGUGUUGAUCCGAUCCUCCGUAUACUUCCACGUCAAUCUACAAGAGACAUUGAUUACACUCAUGUAAGCUUAUAGAAGCUUAGUAAGUUCAUAGGCAUAAAACAUAAAUCUUACCAAACAUUUAUACACUUAUACAAUAUACACAAUUAUUAAGUUCACCUGUCAACCACAGCCAUUAGUGGGUUCCCUUGUAUAAACUUACUACCACUAAUCCAUUUCCUUUAAUUAUUUUAGACCCAUUUGUCACAUAUCAUUCUUUAACCAAAUUGGAGAAUGGUUACGGAAAAUUGAGUACUUCACUUUCACUUUGCCAUAGUAUAACUAUGGUCUUGCGUAUGAUCACUUAUCACCUUUUGAAGUCAUAGUCCUGUCACGGCCUUACACUGAUCAAAUUUAUCACUUGUCACUGAUCAGAUAAGUGUAGUUAAAACUACCACUUAUCACUUGUCACUGAUCAGAUAAGUGUAGCUAAAGCUACCACUUAUCACUUGUCGCUUGUCGCUUAUCGCUGAUCAGAUAAGUGUAGCUAAGGCUACCACACUGAUCAGAAGUACUCAAAUCUGACAUUCUGCUCAAUUUAAUCAUUUAUUCGAUUUCCGUGCUAUUAUUUUAUUCUCUAUUUAUCAAUAAAUAUAUUUCAUCAUACAUAUUACAUUAUAUAAUUCAUAAAAUUAACAUAUAAUUAUUAAACUUCAACCAUAUGAACUUACCUGGGUCGAUUUGCAAAAUUUGUAAAAGUUCAGGGACUAAUCAGCUAUUUUUUAUUUUCCUCUAAUUGCUUCGGGUUCUCGAUCUAUCAUUGUAAAAUCAUUCACUUAUCAAUAUUGACUUCAUCUUCAACCCGCUUAUAGGUAAUAUUAUCUAUAAUUUUAUUAUUUACUUAUGUAUAUUCCAAUGCUGUCCAUCAGUGUCAUAGUCACUAAAUUAUUUUUAUCUUUAGCUACCGAACUCCAAAUUAGGAUCCGCUAAUUUUCCCUGAAACUAGACUCAUAUAUCUUCUUAUCAUAAAAUUUUUAGAAUUUUUUGGUUUAGCCAAUAAGUACAGUUUAUUCUUUAAAUUCACCCCUGUUCUACUAUCUGACAAUUCCGACCCUUCUUCACUAAAAAUUAAUUAUCUCUUCGUACAGAAUUUGGAUGAUGUCAUGUUUGUUUCUAUUGAAAAUAGACUUAUUAAGGAUUUUAAAAAUAUAAAUUUAAUCCCCUAAUUAUUUUUCUAUAAUUUUUGAUGAUUUUCCAAAGUCAGAACAGGGGAACCCGAAAUCAUUCUAACAUUGUCUCACAAAAUCUAUUAUAUCUCAUGAUCUACAAUUCCGCUGCUUACACCGUUUCUUCUAUGAGAAACUAGACUAAAUAAGCUUUAAUUUUAUUUUUUUUCAUCUUCUAAUACGAUUUCUACAAUUUAUGGUGCUUUUUCAAAGUUAGACUAUUGCUGCUGUCCAAAACUGUUUUAGUGCAAAUGUUGAUUUUGAUUUUUGCCCCAAAUUUCACAGUUCAUACAAUUCAGUCCUUGCUCAAUUAAUCCCUCAAUGAAGCUAAUUUUUCCCAAUUAAUGCUUUAUCUAGACAUUAUAAGUUAUUUCACAAUUAUUUAAAUUCAUAAUUUCCACAUAAAACCCUAACUUCAAACUCUUUCACCAUCAGGUCCCAAACAUUCACUUUCUAUUCAAUUCUUUCAAUAAAAUCAGCAUAUAAACAAUUUAAAACUCUAAUUCCAUGCUAAAUCAUCAUAUAAUUCUAACACAUAUUCAUAACAACUUCCAAUUUCUUUCAUAGAAUCAAAAACUAAUGAAUUCAACAAGUGGACCUAGUUGUAAAAGUCAUAAAAGCACAAAAAUUUCAAGAAAUAAUCAAGAAUUGAACUAACUUGCAGUAAAAAUAUGAAAAAACAGCUUAAGAAAACCCUUCUAUGGUGUUUUUUCUGAUGAGAAUGCAGAAAAAUAAUGAGAAUUCUAGAUAAUUCCACUUUAGUCCUAGUUUAUUAAGUAAAUUUUGUAAUAUUCUAAUUUUGCCCUUAAUUCAUCAAUUUUCCUGCUGAUUUCAUGCACCUUGCCGUCCAGCCCAAAUAGACCUUGGGUCUAUUUGCUUUUUAAACCCUCUUUCUUUUAUCAUUUAAGCUAUUUAAUCAUUUCCCAUAAUUUUACAUUUGUUACAAUUUAAUCCUUUUUAUUCAAUUAACUAUCGAAACUUUAAAAUUUCUUAACGAAACUUUAAUACUAACUUAUUAACACUCCAUAAAUAUUCAUAAAAAUAUUUAUGGCUCAUUUUAAAAUUUUCAAACUCUCGAUUUCUCAUUUCCGAUUCUAAUUUUUAAAAUUUUUAUUUCUAGUUCACUAUUCGCUAUUUCAAAAAUUUUCCUAACUUCACACUUAACUUAUAUUCACUAAAUUAUUAAUAUUUUUUACUAAUUUGUCGAAUUUAGUGAUCUUGAAUCACUGUUCCGACACCACUGAAAAUUUAGGCUAUUACACUACACCCCUGCAUAUAGUGCUACUUGGGUUAGAGUGUAAGCUAUAGUGAUAUUUACAGUUAUUGGACUAUCACCAUCUAAGGUUUGGCACUUCACCGUUUCGCUUAGCAACACGACGCUUUUAUUGCUCCCUACAAUACCGAUUUCACGGUUUAAGUUGCUCCUAUUUCGCAUAAAUUGCUUUUGCUUUCUUUUUCUCUGAUUAAUAACAUGUUUCAAAUCACCAAGUUGUCUCUUAUUUACCCAUAAAUUCAAUAAAAAUUCAAAAGAUUGAUCUAUUCAAAAAUUUCUAGAUCUACGCUUAUUUUUAACUCCCAAAAAAAUUUCAUCCCUUACUACUCUCUUUUCUAUCUUCGAUAACUUUAAAAAUAAUUAAUAUCAUCUUAAAAACCUAAUUUAAUAAUUUUUUUUAAAAAAACCCAAUUUGUAAACCUUAGGAGAUGGCUAAUUUUUAAUUAUUUGGAUAAAAAUAUAACAUAAAUAAUACAAUAAAACCAUUUCAAACGAAAUAGUUUGACCCAAACCUUAAAUUGACUCUAGGGGCUUAGAGUAGCAAGGAUGGAAAUAAUGAAACUUACAUUACUUGCCCUUAAGCACAUCCCUAUACCGCAAAAGAGAAUUCAACCUCUGCAACUUAAGUUGCUGCUUAAACUUUUCAAUGAAAUCAUCAGCUUUUGCAUCGACACCAUGAUCGUCGUCUUCAAACGGCGUCGUUUUCUCGAUCCCUGUAUAUGCUGAUCGUUUCAUCUCCAUUUCUUUUUCUGCCUUGCGCCUUGAUUUCUUCAUCUUCUCUUUUAAUUCCGUUUGUCUUACCAUAGGCUCUGAUUGGAUUCUCUUUAUCUCACCAUGAACCGAACUUAAACCCGUUCCGGAACCGUUCGGGUCAGUUACAGUGGGUUCGGUUUCGUUUGGUUUAACGGUGUCCGGUUUGUAAAACGACUUGACUCGCUCUAAGAGCGACGGUGCUUGGCUGAUUAGUGACUGUUGAGCCGGUUCAAUACAAUCCGUUUCUGGACUUUGAGGAGAAUAUUUGUAGAAAUUUGACUUGACUCGUUCGAGAAUCGACGGGGCUCGCUCCACCCGGUGGGCAGGUGACCCGUCAUCGGUUUGGAGGAAAUGAUGGUUGACGUCUUGGCUCGAAAUAGGAAAACUGUACGUCGAGAAGUUGAAAGACGUGACGAGGCCGAAGAGCGACAGAGAUCGGUCGAGUGACGGCGAGGAUGAUGAUGAUGAUGAGUUGCCGUCGUCAGCGUCGUACGGUGUUUUGUGAGGAGUUAUACGGCAGAUAAAGAAGAUCAUACCGACCAUGAUGUUGAGGAAGAGGAAAAGAGUUGUUGGCGAUAACCAGGUCUCCGGUAAAUUUGACAUAUCGGAAAACAUCUUGGGAGAGGGAAAGUAUAGCCGUAAAGACGAAGAACAGGAAGUGAACAAAUUGGUGUUGAUUUUUGCGUAGGCACCUCGAAGCACAAGAAUAUAACAAGUCUCUGCAUGAGGGUCUUUAUAGGUUUAAUGUAAUUUAUAAGGGUUUUUAUAGGACAUGUGGUAGUAAUUACUUUUUAUUUGUCAUUACAUUAGAAGUUUAAAUUGACAUCUGUUUGACAUGCAUGACAUCAUAAUUAAGUUCGACAAUAAUUUUCAAAGUUUGAAUUAUGAUUUGUUUUUUUAAUAUUAUUUGCAUUCGAUUAUAAUUUAUAUUCACGAUUUUUUAUUACCUCUUUUAAUAAUAUCAUUCAUAACGUUCAAAUCUGCAUCCCCUCUUCAUCUAUCUAUUUCUUUCCCUUUUCAAUAUUUUUUUCUUAGUAACUAAAUUGUUAUCUUAUACAAUGUUUUAAAAAUUAGAUUGGUGAUUAAAUCAGUCAAAUUAUUAGUUUUCAGUUCAAUUAGUUUAACUAGCAGUUCAACAACAAUUAAAUAAAAAUUAAAUUUUUUAUAAUAAUUAUUAAAAAUUAUAAGUUAAUCCAAACUUCAAUUUUUGUCUUGAUUUUCAAUUAUUUUUUGUUUCAAACUAUUCCUUAAAAGUAGGUUCAAUCUCUUUAUUUAAAACGAUAUAGCAAUUGAUUCCCAAUUCAAUCCACUAGUCUAGUUCCAACAACACUAUACCAUUAGCUUUCCUUCUAUCUUUUCAACACAUGGAUGGUUGUUAUCAAUAGGCUUCCUAUGGAAGACAAAUUAUUCUUGAGGGUUAGGAUAUUGAGGAUCAUUGUACCCUCUUUGCAAGGGGAGUUGGAAACAAGGGAUCACUUGUUAUCUGAAUGUGUUCUUGCAAAGAAGUUCCGGAGAUAUCUUAGAACUAUACAACAUUCAGAUAAUUUUUUCUGGUAGUAAGAAUUCAUUUAGGGGUGAAGUUAAUUUUUUUUAGAAAUUCUUUUAAAAAAUUAAAAAUAUAAUUAUAUUAAUGUAAAAUAUAAAAUUUUAUAAUUUUAUAAUUUUUAAGAGAUUAAAUUAUAAUGUUAAUUUUUUCUUUUGUUUUAAAGAGGGCAUAAAUUAAUUUUAAAUUUUAGGAGGGUUGAAAUACAAUUUUAUCAUUAAAUUAACUUAAAACAUUAUAAACACUCAAGAGACUAAAAGGAAUAGUUUUUCAUUUUGGGAGGAGGGGGAGGGCUGCAUGCCUGCCUCGUCCCCUUUAGCUUCACCCCUGGAUUCAAUCCAUGCACAAAUUUGAAGGAAAAAGCUCUUAUUAUCAUUUUAAAUUUUGCUUGGUUUAUGCAAAAGUGAAGUGAAUUUGGAUAAUAAAUAUUUAUAUGUAUUUUGAAUUUAUUAUAAAUAGUAAUUAUAAUAGCAAAAUUCAGCUAUUAUUUUAAAUUCACAAAAAAAAAACAAAAAAAAAUUAUCCCUUAUAAUAUUUGACAUAAAAAAGAAAUAAAAUAAAUAUGAUUAGAAAGGUACAAUUAUACCAUAUAAAUAUACAAAUAUUUUAAAUUUUAUUUAAUAUAAGUAAUAAAUAUAUUAAAAUUUAGGAUAUAUUAUUAAAAUAGUUAUUUUUGUUUACUUCAUGUUAUAUUUUAGUCACUUAUAUUUGAAAUGUUAUGUUUUAGCCACUUACGUUAUCGCAUUGUAAUUUUUUAGUCAUUGAACCGUUAAUUGUUGUUAACGGUAUAACGGUAAGCUGAUGUGACAUGUUAAAUCAUCAUUUCAAAUAAAAAAUUAGGUUAAUUUAUACAAUCAAUCCUCAUUUUUUUUCAUUUUGAGCAAUUUAAUUUUUUUUCUUUUAUAUUCUUUUAACUUUCCUUUUUUUUUUUUCAUUCUCUUUUGCUGCUCCCUCUGUUUUCCUUCCUUCUCCAUUCCUUUUAACGUAGUUUUUCUAUGUUUUUCAUUUGUUAAAACUAGUCCAAAUACUUUUAAUUUUUUAAACAAUUUAAUUUUUUCGAGUGAGGCAAGUUUGCGGACUAGUUUUAACAAAUGGAAAGCAUAGAAAAACUAUGUUAAAAGAAAUUAAGAAGUAAGGAAAACAGAGGGAGAAGCAGAAGAAAAUGGAAAAAAAAUUAAAAGAAAAUAAAAGAAAAAAAUAAAUUGCUCAAAAUGAAAGAAUAUAGGGAUCAAUUGUAGAAUUUUACCUAAAAUUUUCAUUUGAAAUGAUGAUUUAAUAUGACACAUCAGCUUACCGUUAACGUCAAUUAACGACUCAGUGACUAAAAUGUUACAAUACGAUAACGUAAGUGACUAAAACGUAUUAUUUCAAAUAUAAAUGACUAAAAUGUAUCUUGAGGCAAACAAAAGUGAAUAUUUUUAUAGUUUUCCCUGAAAUUUAUAUGUUUUAAUUACAAUUAAUCAAAUAAAUAUAAUUGAAAUUAAGUAAUAUACUCGGGUUUUAGCACCAUCAGCGUUCAUCUUUUCGAUCGUAACAUCAGAAUCAGAUGAACAAUCUCAAAAGAUUUAAUACCUUUUUUAUCCUUAUAUUAUAAUUAAAUUAUCACUUUAAUAUUUAUACUAUUUUAUUUUAUCAAUUUAGCCCCAAUACUUUCAAUCUUUUAUUCUAUCAAGUCUGCUAUCCAACCCAAAAGCUAAGGGACCAAGUGAUAGUUUAACUACAGUUUAGGAGCCGAAAGAGGUAUUAAGCCGUCCAAAAAGCCCAGGCCGGAGGACACAAAUAUUUUCCUGCGCCACGAUGUAGCGAAUACCACGCUCCAUUAUAGCAAGACUCAGAUUUUUCGAGUUCAAAGUCUAGUAUAAAGCUCAAAAUCUCUCACUAACUGCUGAUGUGCCUUAUUUCCCACUCUCUUCGAUCAAAGUUUCAUAAUCCGAAGGCGAAGAGGCAAAAGAUUAAUGGUAAAUCUAUAUCUCAAUUGAUAUCGAAGCAUUUCUAGAGUUUUCUAUGAAUUUGAUUAAUGAUAUUGUUGCAGGCUCCUCCCGCAAAGCCAAUAACGAGUCCAGUCUCAGAUGCAUGGUACCCAACCCUAGCCCUCUUAAUGCUCUCCAUUGGUCUUGUCGUCACCGCUUCCUUCUUCAUGUAACAAUCUUAAUCUUAUCUCUUCCACAUUUUUAUUUGUUCUUCUUAUUAGGUUCGACUUCGGAGGCAAUUUUCGUUUUUCCCUUUAGACGUAAAUAUUUUGAUUUACUAGAUCUGUUCUUUUUAAUAAAUAAAGUUGAUGACUGGUUAUACAAUUAGGAAAAUCAGCAUAGGAAUUUCUGAUUUAGAAUGUACCUUCAAUAGAUUUUGAUGAGACUUUUUGAAAGAAAUUCUUUUAUUAGCCAAUUUGGUCAGUACUGAAUACAAGUGUGAAUAUGAAGUUGAUGGCUUUUGUUGGGUACCAUACUACAUUACUUCUGGUUCCCUUUGGUUUACAAAUUUAUUUUCUCGAUGAUAGACCUGUCAAUUGUGCGGGUCAAGUCACAAGUGAGUUUUGAAUCAGAUUAAUUUGGAUCGGUUUAACUUGGGUUUUAAAAUGUCAUUUCGGUUCGGGUUGUCUGGUUGUUUUGUGUUUGUGGCUCAGUUUUCGUGUUAGAUCAUUACAAGUUGAGAUUAAUUCGGGUUUUGGUCAAUUGAGUUUAAGUUGUUUCAAGGUCAGAUCAUUUCAAAUUCAGGUCAUUCCAAGUUCGGGUAUGGGUUGGACGGGUCUAGGUUUACUUUUAUGGUCAAAUUGGGUAGAGUUCUGGUUGAUCGGAUUGGAUUUCUGGAUUCGGGGCAAAAUUGACAUGUAUCUAGUUUUCUAGUUUGGUUCCAGUGUUUCCAAGUUUUAGAAAUUUAAUCUCUUACUUCCAUGGCCAAAGGCAUGAAGCAGAUUCUAAAAAGAGAUUCAACAUUUUGCAUGUGUAAAGUUGUAUAUGAGCUUGGCUAGUUUGUUGUUAUGAAGCUUUCUUCAUUGUUCAUGUUUCGUUGAAUUUGCUAUUUUAGCUUCUUUAUUUUCCUGGUUUUGGAAGAUGGUGCAUUUUGCAUUCAAGUAAACUUAUAUGAGUUCAAUCUUACUGUUAGAAGAACUUAAGAGUUUUCUUUUGAUUGAAACUGUAUUUAUGAUUCCUUUAAAUCUAUUUGCGCUUGGUUUUGCUUUAGAAAAUAUUGAAUUUCUUCGUUUGCACUGAUCUCUCAUCUCAUCGUUAGAAUUUUGAGGUUUCUUUCCAUUGAACUGUACUUGUUGAGGGUUGGAUGGCUACUUCUGUCGGGAGAGGUCUAUGAAGUAUCUAUCGCCGAUAGCCUGGAGAUUCCUCAACAAGUCAAGUAAUCAAUUCUCGUAUGUCUGUGCUCUGUUUGAACCUUGAGAUUUUGUCCUCCGACCCUACAAAAAGCCCGAGUGCUUGAAUUAGCAACAGGUUUACAAAGUGAGAGCGUCUCAUAGUGACUGAAAGACAAAACAAUGGCAAACUAAAGAGUUUGCCCAUGGCUAAGCUUGAACUCCUGACCUGUAGCCUAUAGGUCAUUAAUGGGGGCAUAUGGUACAACUUGGGCUAGCCUUGUUGUUGAGAGGUUACGGACCCUCUACAGUACUGAUUCUACCUAUGAAUGUACUUGAACUUAUCUGUAAUUUUGCUUACACUGCCGAUCGCAUAAGCAGAUGCUGAUUGCUUCACCAUUUUACAUUGUCCAAAACAAGAUCCCAUUUGAUACAAUGCUUCUUAGACCUGAUAUUACAUCUGGAAAAUUUUAUUUAAAAAAAAAAUGUUUCUUUCCAACAAAUAUGCAGCUAUGAAGCAACUUCUUCGAAGAGAAAUCGAAGUCUUGCCAAGGAGCUCAUCACUGGCGGAGUGGCAUCGGUCUUCCUGGUACAACUUUUUCCUUUGUAACUGUUAUUGGCUGGAUUUCUCGUUCAUAAUUCAUGUAGUUUACUGAUACUUGAUUCUCCGACAUCAUCGCAGGGCUUCGGGUCACUGUUUUUGCUACUUUCAGCCGGUGUUUAUGUCUGAUUUUUGAUAUCGUUCAACCGGCUUACAGAGUUUUGCAAAGAAAAGGAUUGGUGUCUGCUUUUCUUGCAUUUUUGUAGUUUAUCAGAUCAGGAAAGCUUCUUUGAUAAACAUUUUGAUGUCACUUGAGUGGUUUUAUUGGUACAUGCUUGAAUUUGUAUAUUCAUGUCAUAAGCAUGUUUCAUUCAUGUUACAUGCACGGAUUAGGAUCUAAAUUGUUACCAGAAUCUUAAUUAUUCGAAUUUUAUUUUUCCCGUCGAAAUAAAAAAUUCAAAAAGUAAAGUGAAUAAUGAAUUUAGUAACAUGAAUUUAUAGUAAAAAUAAAGAGUAUAAUAGGUUUAGAAUGUGCUUUCGGGUAUUUGAUAUUAUCCACAAAAGUAGAAGUAGAUGGUAAUUAUAAUAUCUGAAUUCAAAUAUUUCGUGGUUAAAAUUUAAAAUUUAAUCUUCAAGGUGUUAGAUACCUCUAAGAUGGAUAAUUUUUUAUUUAAUUUUCUUAAAAUUUUAAAUUAUUAAAUUAAUAAAGAUAAAAUUAUAUUUUAACUCUUUUAAAAAUAUGAAAACAUGAUUUAAUCUUUUAAAAAUUAUAAAUAUAUAAACAAUUAAAAUGGUAAAAUUAUAUUUUUAUUAUAAUAAAAAUUAAAAUUUAAUUUUCAUCCCCAAUUUUGCCGUUAAUUACCUCAUAUCAUUAGCAUAAGAUAAAUAUACUAAAUAAUUUUUUAAUUAAAAAUACUAACAAAAGCUUAAAAAAUUUAAUUUAAAAAGAAAAAAAAAUAAAUUUUAACUUUCAAAUAUAGGGGUAUAGAGAGACUAACAACUUUUUUACUGAAUUGGCAUUUUUACCUUGAACACAAAUUUAACACUAUAUUUUACUUUUGUAAAUAAUUAAUUUAGCAAUUUAACAGACUCAACUAUCCAAUAAUUCAAAUUAGAUUAAUUUAAUUGAGAUAAUAAAUCUACACAAAAAUGAAGCAACGAUAACCCACCCAGAAACUAUAUUUAGUUGCACUAUAACAUAAAUCACCCUGAAUUUAGCAAAUCAUGUAGUUCACGUUCAUCUCUCUCCCAUUUCUAUAGCGUAUGCUUGAAUCUCCUCCUUUUUUCACACCCACUUACAUUAUUAUGACCACAUACGGAACAAUUCCGGCCGAGUUGCCGCCAUCAUCGAACUUCAUUUCCCGAGCUAAAGAGCAGAUCCGAUCUGGCCUUGGGACUCGAAGACAAUGGAAGGAGAUGGCGAAUUUCAAAUCCAUAAACCUCCCUUCAAAUAUAAACGAAUCCAUACAAAGAAUCAGAACCAAUGCGGCGUAUUUUCGUGUGAAUUACAUGAUCAUCGUGUUGUUCGUCCUCUUCAUCACCUUGCUUUGGCACCCCGUAUCGCUCAUAGUCUUCAUCAUCAUGAUGGCUGCGUGGUUGUUCCUUUAUUUCCUACGUGACGACCCGGUAUCGAUCAAAGGGUUCGUCAUCGACGACCGGGUCGUGAUGACGGGGCUGUUGGUCGCCACCAUUGCAUUGCUUAUGUUAACCGACGUGACGGAUACUAUCAUCGUUGGCCUUUCGGUUGGAUUGGCUGUCAUUUUGGCACAUGGGAUGACAAGAAGUACUGAUGAUUUGUUCAUUCGCGAUGAAGAAGAAGUGAUACAAUCGCCCGCCCCGGUGUCGGUGUGCAUCGCCGAAGAAUCGGUGCCGUUAAAGAACACGGCGUCCUCUUCUUAUUCUUUGUCCUAACAGUCUCUCAUGAAUGCUUCCGUUGAUGUUGUUCGAUUUCGAACCAUAUAUGCAUGAAUUAGGGUUAAAGUUUGUAUAUUAUAUAUUUUGCUGCAUUAAAUUAUAAAAUUUAGUCUUCAUCAUUAAUCACUUUAUAGGGACACCAUAGCAUUUUGUCACAAUAAUGCUCAAUUAUGGGUGGAAUGGCACUGCAUAUUACAGAAAUUAAUUUGAUGCCAAUGAAGAUGCUGUUUUAUGCGAAGUCAUUUUGUUGAUGGAGAAAAUAGCAGAGGUGAAGCCAUGGACAGAAUUAAAAUGUAUAUUUUUCUAUAGUAAAAAUGUAAUUGCACUUUUAAUAGUAUAUAUCUUUAUAAUUUUUAGAGAAUUAAAUUAAAAUUUUAUCAUUUUAAAGAGGCCAAAGUGUAAUUUUACUAUUAUUAAUUUAAAAUUUUAUAAGUUAUAAGGAAAAUUUUUCUUUCUCCACCUUUAAAAAUAAUAUCGAGAGAGUUUUACUUCUGAUCUAAUUCGACUCCAAAUUUAAUUGUAAUUUCAUAUAAUUACAAGAGAGUAAGAUAUAAUAUAUAUAUAGUUGAAGAUUAUUUGUCCAUAUAUAUAUAUUAGGAUAAAGAACUUAAAUAAGCUAAGAAAGUAAAACAAAUAUUGUAGAGAAAUGACUAAAACUAAACACUAGUCAGCAAGCUUUUCUAAUACACUCUCUCUUAAAAUCCUUCCUCGCCAGUAUUAGGAUAAGCAUCAGAGAUAAGAGUGUUAUUAAACAAGAAGGAAUAAUAUCAUAAAUAUGAUAGCUUGCAUGAAAUAAGGCUGCCUGAGAUGUUCAGAAGUUGUGAUUUUAAAGCAUUGAACACUUUCAAACAGUGAUUUUCGAGGAGAAUGGUUUCCAUACCUUCAGUGUUAAGCCAUGAAAGUGUUUCUCGAAUACGGAGAGUGCCUCAGCUAGACAUACAUGGAUUAAACAAGGCAAAGUGAUUACCAUAGAAAGCUUCCAAGAAAGUGUCAUGUUCAUCACAGAGCACCGCAACACAGCUAGUAUACAGUUCGAUGACCCGCAUCGGUUGCUGCAUCCAUAUUGCACUUAAUAUAUGCAGGUGGUGGGCGACAAGCAAAGCAAUCCUUCAACCUAGAACUGUCCAUAGGUAAGUCUAUUUGGAAAGUGGAAGGGUUUGAAUAAAAAUAUAAGCUCAAAAAAUUGGUUUGGAAAAAAAAGUAAAGUCCGUUUAAAAAACAAGAUUAGCCUUAAUAAAGUUUUUGGCACAAUUAUAUGUUAUUUUGCUACUAUUUUCCCACUGUUUUGCAACUAUUUCACUAUUAUGUUGCUACUAUUUUAUUAUUAUUGUUUAGAUAUUGUAUAACUCUUACUUUAUUAUUAAUUUUGCCAAUAUUUUAGAGGCAUUUUAUUGUUAAGUUGCACCUAUCGACUUCAUUUGUUUCACUGAAUAUGUGUUUCAGAAAAUGAUUUACUUUUUCGAAAAAUCUUAAUAUUUUCUGGUGUUUGGAUGAAUAUAUGCAAAAUACUUUUUGUUGUUUAGCGAUUUGAGAUUUCUAAUAAAAAAUACAUACAUUUGAGAUUUUCUUUUUCUUUUUUCUAUUGUUUAAUUGUGUUUAUUUUAUAUUUAUAAAUUUAUAUUUUACAUUAUUCUUUGUAAAACAAAAACGACAUAAACAUCUAUGAAUAUGGUAGUGAUUUUCAAGAUUAUACAUAUAUACAUAGUGAAGUGAGGGUAGAUCAUGGAGCAGAGCAUGUCAAUUGUGAAACAAUGUCAGGAGUGAAGCCCAAAAAAAAUUAGGAGGAUAGUAGAAUUAAAUUAUAUAUUUUUACGAUAGGAAAAAUAUAAUUUCAACAUUUUAAUAGCCUAUAUCUUUAUAAUUUUUAAAGAAUUAAAUCGAACUUUUUAUAUUUUUAAAGAAUUAAAUCAAACUUUUUAUAUUUUUAAAGAAUCAAAGUGUAAUUUUACUGUUACUAAUUUAAAAUAAAAAAAUUCUAUUUUAAGAGUGCGAGCCCCUACCAGCGGCAACUGGCUUCACCACUAAACAGUGAUGGAUUAACAACAUCUUCUCCCGUUCCGUUAUAUUGCCAUUCUUACUCACAAUUUUCUCCGUUUAAGAAACGGAGCGAUGCCUUCAUGGUGAAAAUGGUUUCUAAUUGUCCGAAUUCUCCGACUGACUAUCAAAUAAAUACGAAGAAGAAAUUGUAGUCUUUUGAUCGUCAACAGUUUUAUAAUAAAACUACAGCCAUCAAUUAAAAUACAGUAUCAUUGACAUUUUAAAUUAAGUACUGUUGCUGGAAAUUGGAAAAUUGGCCAGUUUGCUUUUCAUGCAUCCAGUCCAAAACUGAGUCGAGGAAUCUCAUGUUUGCCUCUCUUUUUCUUUUAAUAAUAAUUUUAAACGUAGGGUAUGAAUAUACGUCAUAAUCAUUAAAUAAAAAUUAACUAAAAUAUUUUUAUUAAAUACAAACCCUCAACCUUCUUAGCUUAAUUAGUAUGUGUAUUGUUAUUAAUAUAGGAGGACGUGAGUUCGAAUACGUUGAAACGUAUUAUCUUCCUAUUUAUGAGUUAGAGAGGAGUUAUAUAGAUAGUUUCAAGCAUUGUGUCAAAAAAAAAUAAAUAUAAUCAAAAAAAUUUACUUUAAGUCCUAACUUCACAAAGAGAUUUUGUAAAUACUUUAAAUCUUCCUCUUUCACUAACAUUAGUUAGAUUAAAUAAUAAAUAUUUUGAUAUUUAAAGUUUUAACUAGAUUAAUAUUGAUAUUGUUAUCAGUAUAGGAGGACAUGGAUUUGAGUACGCUCAAGCGUAUUAUCCUCUUAUUUAAGGAUUGAGGAGGGGUUAUGAGUAAUUCUAAGUAUUGUAUCGAAAAGAACAAAUAUGAUAAUAACUUAUAAUAAUAUUUAUGUUCAAAAAUUUAAACUUAAAACUAAAAAAAUAAAGAAAAUCUCAAAAUAAAAAAAAAUCCUCUUUUUCACGAACAAGUUAUGUGAAUAGUUAAAAUUUGCUACAAAUUAUUAAUUAAAAUUAAUUUAUUUACUAGCUCAUAUAUUAAAGCAGGGUGAAUAAAAAAAUACUACUACUAGACGUAGCAUGAAUAAUUAACUAAAGUCGAACUAAACAACCAGAAUAAAUCUUGAAAAAAACUCACAUAUUUACAGAAAAACUUUAAUCUUGAGAUUUUGAAGUUUCCUAGAAUCUCCAACUUUUCCAUUAAACCAAUACCUCGUGUAUAUAGAAUUCAAGUUUUAUAAAGAGACAAAAGAAAUAUAAUAAUAGAACAUUGUUUUCUUUUACAGAUUCAAUUUAAUUUGAUUUUGAACUUAAUCUAACUGAAAUUAACAUUUUAAAAAAAACAUUAGAUAGGAAAAAUAUAAAAGCUAGAAAUUAGUUCUUUUAAAUGAAAAUGUAAAAGCUGAUUGAGUUUUAGUUCGAUUAGUAUGAACAUUUCUGUCAUCAAUCCUCUUUGCUGAAAUAUAUUUAUCCUCCUAUUUAUAGAUUGAUGAAGAAUUAUAAGUAAUUCUAAACGUUGUCUUGAUAUGAUCAAAUUAUUAGAUAUACAUUAGUUAGAAAGCAUAAAAAAGAUUCAUAUUAUUCCCAUUAGCUUGAUGAUUUACAAAUUCUGGUUUCUUAAACCACCCAGAUUCUUGUUCAUGUUUUUUCAUUAGUUGAUUCAUAAAUUCUCUUCUUCCUUUUUCUGCCAUUUUUAAACAUUACAAUAUAUAAAAUUAUACUUGAUACUCGCAUUUUAACAUGUUUUUGUUACAAUGAAACACCUUAAACUCACACUUAGGCGAAAUACACUUUAAAAGCAGCUUCGCUGUAUGUUCUUGUUUGAUAACAGCAUCAGCUUUCUCCACCAGAACAGCCGUAACGAUCCUCUCAUACCCUCCGCCGCCACCGCUAGCGACGUAUGCCACGAGCGCCGCCUGAACCGGAGGUAAACUGGGGUUAUAAGCCGCCGAUUCCAUGUAAGACCCUUUGUAUAUCUUCCCUUCCACGUCCACUAACGCCACCCCUGAUGGACACCCGCUGUACGGCGCGUGGGAUGCAUUCGCCGCUUCCAGAGCCGCGUACUUUGAAUUGUCACCGUCGCCGUUGAUUUCGCCGUUGCGGGUAUCGGAGCAAAACGACAAUCCGUUUCGGUGAGGCUCGAGGAGAAGAGGGACGUCUUUUUCCAGCAAAUCAUCGGGGCCGAACCUGUGAGGUAAAAAAUGAGAUAAAGGAGCAAAUUGCAUGUCUUUAUCGUUACGAUUGUUGAUCGUUUUGUUUUCGUUUUCCUUCUCGGUGGCGGUUAUGAGGAUGUUGACAUCGGCGGCGGCGCGUAGCUCUUGGAGGAACUGGCGACAAUGACCGCAAGGGGCGGCGGAGACGGCGAGGAACUUGAGACAUGGUUCCGCAUUGAGGGAAAGGUUGGUGAUUAAGAAUUGCUCGGCGUGGACGGAAUGGUUGAGAGGGAGACCCGGGAAUUCCAGAUUAACUCCGAAAAAGAUCCGACCCGAUGAGCCGACCCCGACGGCUCCUACGUGGUAGUUCGAGAUUGGCGGACGUGCUAAGGCCUGGGCGGAUUUGACCAACGACGGCAGGAGAUGGAGCACCGUUUGCCGUGAUUGUUUGGCCAUUUGUUCUACUUCGGCAGAAUCGAUUACGAAUCUGGGUCGGUCCAUGUCGGUAGAUGGGUUAAUGGGUUGACCCGGUCGGAGACUGUGGGACGAGAGUUCCUUAAAAUGGGGACGAAGGUACAAGAGGAAGAGGAAGGCAGUGAGGGAGGCUCAUUUAUAAUGGGGAAUCGGUCACAGUAACUUUUUUUUUACUUACUAACUUUUACUGCUAUUACAGACAGUUCUUUUUACUGUAUGGGUAGUAAAUUUUGAUAGGUCCAUAUUAUUUAGAUAGAUCCAUCAAAUCAUGGAGACAUAACGAUAUCCUAUGCGAAGGAAAAAAUAAAAAACAAUAUGAUAAAAAACAUAAAAUACAAAAUGUGAUUAUUAUAUUAUUUUUUCAAUUAAAAUUUUCGAUAAAAAUAUCAUAAUAGAUUUCAUUUCGUUCCAUUAAUAAAAAAAAUAGACAAAUCAAUCUUUGUACGUUAUAUCAAAAAAAAUUGGCCCAUGUUAAAAUUGAUCUCUAUACAUCAUCAUAAGGUAAACUGACACAUCACAUGCCACUAUUUUGGUCCAUGUUAAUACCAAUUUACUCUUUAAUCUGACAUAGAAAAAGUAUUUUGUCUAUAUUUCAGUAGAUGGAACAAAAAACAAUUUAACUUUUAAUACAAGAGUCUCGAUUAUAUCUGCUCAUUUUGACACGAUGCCUAGAACUACUUGUAACUCCUCCUCAACCCUUAAAUAGGAAGAUAAUGCGCUUUAGGGCACUCGAACCAACGUCCUCCUACAUUAGCUACAAUGUCUAUGCCGUUCGAACUAAGAAUCAAUCAGCAUCAAAUUAAUCUUAUUUAAUAAAAUAAAAACAAAAUAUUAUAAUAAUGUAAAUUAUAAAAUUGAAAUUGAAAAUAAAAUGAUUAUUACUAUCACGUCUCAUAAUUCAUAUUUACCAUAUAUAUACAUAUUCAUAUUUAAUUUAAUCAUUCAUUUGAAAGAGACAGGGAUUUUAUUGAGUGAAAGCAAGAAACUGAGUGUGAAUGAACAUGGAUUCUAUUCAAUGGGGGCUAUUAUUGAUUGAAAAUAAUCACACAUUCAAGUAACCCACAAAUAGAAAUAAAUAAAAAUAAAUUUAAAACAUUAAAAAAAUCCACUGCUCUUUGUUUUGUUUUUAUUUUCUUUUUCUUUUUAAUCUAAUUUAUUAAUAAAAUUUACCGAUUGAGUUUUAAAUCAAUUAGCAUAGAUAUUAUUGUCAAUAAAAAAAACGUAAAUUUAAGUACGUUAAAACAUAAAUAAUUUUAAACAUUAUUUUAAAAAAACAAAUAUAAUCAGAAUAUAUAUCAAUAGCAUCCAACAGUCAACUUCAAAUCCUAUAUAAAUGCAACAACAACAACAACAAAAAAACCAUAAUAAUUUAUCUUAAUCUGUCAUCAAAUUCUGGCAUUUUGCAAACUUUAAUAUUCAUAAGAUAAAGCCAAGAUUUGUACAAUUUUCCCUCUUCAGGAGGGCAGCUGUACAGCUAUGAAUAUUAUAUAUAUAUAUAAUAUAUAUAUAUAGUAUAAUCUCCAUCUAUAACCAUUUUAUUAAUUUUUGUUAUUUAUUUUUUACUUAUUGAUUACAAAAUAUAAUUAUUCUAAUAUUUAUUAUUUGAAUUAUAAUUGCAACCAUGUUUGUAUUUCUUUUCAAAAAAAUAUUUUAUUUUAAUUUUCACGUAUCACUUAUAUUUUCAUUGGCAUGAUUUUAUUCUACAUUUAUUUAUUAUAUCAACAAAUAAUUAUAUUCAAUGAAUAUGAAAAUAGUUUUUAAAAAAUAAUAAGUAAAUAAUUAAAUUAUUAUUUAUACUCCACAAACAAAUUAAGGGAUUAACAAAUAUAAAUUAAUUAUAUAUAUAAAUAUGAUACUUACUAUACUCUCUAUUAACUUUCCGAUUUUAAAAAGCAAUCCCAAGAGACAAAAUCCACUGGCUAUAAAAUUCCGAUUGGAUGAAAUUGAAAUAAAAACUUAUGAAUGCACACAUUAUUUAUAAUAAUAAUAAUAAUAAUUAAUCAUUCAGAAAUCUGUCUCGUCGGUGUUGGAAGAUAAUUAGGUCUAUAUACAUACACAUUCAUACAUGUCUUUUCCAAAGGAGCUAGUGGGUCAUUGUUGAAGGGCAUGUUGGCCACUCGAAAGUUGCAUGAUUUCGUGAUGGAGAUGAAACCUUCCACCACAUGCAAAAAAAUAUAUAUAUAUAUAUUAACUCGAUUGAUACAAAUAUUAUUGUUAAUACAAGCGGAUGUAAGUUCGAAUGCAUUAAAGCGCAUUAUCUUCCUAUUUAUGAGUUGUGGAAUGAUUAUAAAUAAUUUUAGAUAUUAUGUCAGAAAAAACCGAUAUAAUCAAAACCUAUAAUAAAAUUAUUCAAAUAUUCAUAUGUCUAUGUUUAUAUUUAAAUUAUUUUAUAGUUAAUAAUUUAUAUUAUAUUAUAUUUUAUCAUACUCAUGAUAUGUUUAAAAAUGUAUGUAUAUAAUAAAAUUUAAAAACAUGAUAUAAUAACAAAAAAGGUAAAGCUAAGAGGCUUAAUAUUGUAAUGUUUUGGAUUUAAACUCUUUCAUGUAUUAAAUUUUAUAUAAAAAGAUAAAAUUAUCCUCAAAAUAAUAUUUAUUACUUAUUAAAAAUAAUUGAUUUAUGGUAAAUUUUUUACUGAACUGGUGAUUCGAUUGAAAAUGAAACAGACUCAGUAAAACAGUUAAAUAUAAUUUAUUAUUGAGUUUAAGACCUACAAAUAAGGGAUUUAUGAUAAAUUCAUUACGCAGUUAAUGACUCGGUUAAAAGUACUACUAACUCAAUAAAAUAAUAAAUAAAUAAUAGAUAAAUAUUUCUAUCAUAAUUUAAUUUGUUUUCUGAUAUUUUAUUCGUAUUCUCGUUUUUGUUUUAAAACCCAUAUGCUUAUUAUUUGUCCAAGUGAUGCUGACAUUGGGUGAAUUCUUUGUUUAUCUUAGUUGCUGCAAGCUUGCAAGCAUUUGUUUUUAUUCUAUACUGAAAAAAGCCUAUUUCGAUUAAAGAUAUAUUAGCCUUUUUUUUCCUUCUGACACUAAAAUUGUACCCUUCCAUGGUGGCCUCUUGAUCAUCGCCUAUGAGUUCAAAGAUGAUGACCUUUACAUUUGUUGGUGUUAAUUGAAAAUGAGUCUUAUACGGUAUGGGUUGGAUGUUAAUAUGAGAUGAUAUUCACUUUGUUCAUAGGAGAAAGGAUUAUAUGAAAUUGUGAUUUCAUAUUAUCUUUAUCAUUUUUUUAAUAAAAGAAUGACAAAUCAGAUUUUUUUCCUCCUAACUUUUAGUAUUUUUAGUUGAAUUUGAAUUUUUUUUUCUCCUGUUCAUAGUUGUUUUUGAGGGAAAAAAUUUCAAUAAGAAAUAAUUAAGUGAAAGUGUUGUGGAAGUUCUUAUAUUAAUAGUCAGAUUAUAUUUUAUCACUUUUAUUUAAAAAAUAAAUAAAUUAAUCAUUGUACUUUAAAUUAAAUAGUAAACUAGUCAUUUUUUGUUAAAAAGUUCAUUCACUUCUACUGUUAAAAAUUGGUGACUAGCGAAAUAACUAGAUAAUUACAAAUGACAUGUCAUGUACACCUCAUGUUGAUGCAUAAUGACUAGUUUUUAACAUUAAAAUUGAUAAAAUUUUUGACAAAAUAACUUAUUGCUUUUUAAUUUAACGUAUAAUAAUCAAUUUGUCUAUCUUUAAAAUAAAUAAUAGAGAAUAUAAUUAAAUUCUUAAUAUAAAGAACUCUACAAUAUAUUUAUCCAAAUAAGCAUAUAAUCAUUUAUCAAAUCUAAAAUAUCUGCCCUCAGUUCUAUUAUGGUGGUGUUGGUGCCUUAAAGUGUUACAAUCCUAAUCAUGUCAAAAAUUAUAGGCCAAUCUCCUGUUGUAUAGUUAAUAAGUGCCUAGCCGUGAUAUUGGUAAAGAAGAUCACCACAUAGGUUCCUACAAUGAUGUCUCUUUAUACAAGACAAAAGCAUCAUGGCUAAGAACACAUUAAUGGGAAAUUAGCUUGGUAGGGGUUAUGGUAGAAGCAAAUUAUGUUCACUUAAAUCAAACAUUGAAAAGUCGAUUGAGUUUUAAUUCGAUUAGUAUUGAUAUUGUUAUCAGUUUAAAAAGACGUGGGAUUGAGUGUGCUAAAACACAUUAUUCUCCUAUUUAAGGGUUGAAGUGAAAUUAUGAGUAAUUCUAAAUAUUGUAUCAAAAAGAACAUAUAUAGUACGAGGAGUUUAAUGUUGAAAAAAUAUAUUGAAAAGCUUGUAUUGCAACAUCUAAAUUUUCUAUGUCUCUCUAUGAUAGUGGAAUGAAUUUUCUUAAUGAUUAUAAAGGAGAGAAAUUUAUUAUCUCCUUACCAUUUUGUGAUCCUUAUGAAUAUGUUAUCCAAGCUUUUGGAUAUUGCCAUUGAAAAUGGCAUAUUUUUCUCCAUCCAAAAUGUCAUAGAAUAAGAAAAGAAUAAUGGUAAAAAAAAAACCUUCUUUAGUCCCUUUUAAAUUUAAAAUUUAGUGAAAUGAUCCCUCUUAAAAAAAUUAGAACAAUUUAAUCAUUGUCAAUUUUCAAAACUGAGCAAUUAAGAAAAAUUGAUUACGACGUUAAUGUUUUUCAUAAAUUGUCCUCAAAUUUUACACAUUCUGUCAGUUUAGUCCUAAUUUAACAAAUUUAUCCGGCAAUAUUUGUGUGAAUGUUGAGGCUGAAUUUGUUGAUUUUUUAGAAUUAAGGUCAAAACGGCAAAAUAUAUAAUACAUUGAAGGCUAAAAUUGUUAUUAUAUCAAUCAAAAUUAUGUACUAUUGAUGGAGGACAUUAACGCUGUGAUUAAUUGUCCUUAGUUGCUCACUUUCGAAAUUUACAAGGACUAGAUUGCUUCAAAUUUAUUGAGAGGGGCUAAUAAGUGUGUUAAUCGUAUUUUAUCAAAGACUUGCAUAAUCUAAAGCAAAAAUUUUCAAAUUAUACUAUUGUGAAUAGUUUUUUUUAAAGGGUAAAUUAUAUUAGUAGUAACACAAUUAUAAGUGUUUUUUUGUCAUUCAAUUAUGAAAAGCUACAAAAUUGUUACCCAACUAUUAGUAAUUUUCUUUUUUGGUCACCUAAUUAUUUCAGAUUUUUGAGUUUUUCUAUUUUUACAUUAACUAAUUGGUGAUAAGAAAAAGACAAAAUUAAAUAAUUAGAUGAUCAAAAAAGAAAUUUACUAAUAGUUGAGUGACUAUUUUAUAACUUUUUAUAGUCGAAUGACAAAAAAAAAACCAUAAUUCAGUGACUUCUACCGUAAUUUACUCUUUUUUAAGAGUAAAGAGUAAUGUAAUUCUAGUUUGAAAAAUAAAAAUGGUGACCCUUAUUAAAAUUUGAAAUGGAUCCUAAACUAAUGGAAUACGUUGGUUCAAUUGAUAAGUUGGUUUAGUUCAAAGCACAAAUUUUGAGUUUAUUUCUUAUUUUGUUCACGUUAAUUUAGGUAAAUUAGUUAAAUAGUCACUUCAAGAUUAUCUCUUUCUUAUUUUGGUCAUUUUAUUUUAUUUCAUUUUUUGAAUUUAAGAACCGCUGUUAAUAUUUUUUUUUUUAGAAUUUUAAUUAUUUUGAUUACUCUUUCGUAAAACACCAAAUGGAAUGCUGAGUAGGCUGCCACAUGUGUAUUUAUUUUUACAUGUAAUUAAAAUAAUUUCUCAAAAAAUUUAAAUUAUUUUGCACAAAACGACAUUGUUUCAACCAUGAAAAAAAAUAAACCUGAAAAAUUCAACAAAAGCCCGCUUAAGUUAUUCUUCGACCUUUCUUAGAUCAGUAUGGUUUGUAACCUUGAGGACACCUUUAAUGGUGGAACAAGGAGUCUCGAGGGUAUUGUUCAUUUUCACCCGGUCAAGUAUUUCAAGUGGGCGGGUACAAUGACCUUGGGUUUGGGUUUCGAUGGUUUGGCUUCUACAGUCGGAGUGUUUCUCUCUUUCUCAUCGCCUGAUCGCCAUUAUCAUCAUCUUCAGUUUGGCCGUGGGUGCUUUCUUCAAUAGCCUCCAGGUGAGCAGUCUUUUCUGAAUGUCAAAGUUCAAACAAGAAGGUAAUGUAAGGUAAGCAAGUGAGUGAAAAAGCCACAGUGAUAAAAGGUUUUGAGAGCAGGGAAAGUUACUGCUUGCUGAUUUAGCCCCAGAUGGAGUGGAAGCAGCAAGACAAGUCAUCUCCAGAGACCUGUCGAAAUGAAUCCCUGGAGGGUUCUCACUUCUCAACUUUAAUACUAAAAGCAAUCAAGGCGCCCAUUUGCUUGUUCAACACAUCAGCUUCUUAAAUUACCGCUUGCGCUUUUGCCCUAUAAAACUUGUCCACUUUGUUGAACUCAUCAUCAAGCCUUCUAAAGUAAACCAGCUGAUACUUUCCGUUAACCUCGUCGCCAUUAAUCUCGGGUUCAACAAGAUCGAAGGAAACCUCCCGGUGAACGUCGCCGAUUAUCCAACGUUGUCUUCCCUGUCAUUGUGUUACAAUCGCUUACGUGGCGCGAUCCCUUUGGGUUACGCCAUAAGCUCGAUUGCAAAUUGCGUACUCUUUUUGCCGUGGCAAGCACAGCUGAGAAUAUGCCGACCUCGUAGACAACUAUUCCCAAUUUCCGGUAACCUUCGUAUCGCCGGCAAAAAUUUCCGCCGGAGGUUUUCCAAUCAAUAAUGGUUUAAACCAUUAAGAAUUUAAGCAUAAGAUUGUGUUCUUUUCUGGGUCGAAACACGGUCGUUGGGUGCAAAAUAAUUUAAAUUUUUUGAGAAAUUAAUUUAUUUACGUGUAAAAAUAAAUACACAUUUGACGGUCCAAUCAACAUUCAGUUUAACGGGAAAAAAGUUAAAGUUUAAAAAAUAAUUUGGUAUUUAAAUUUUUUUUCUCAAUUAGGUACCUAAAAUUGGUAUUUUUUUAAUUUAAUAUCUAAGCUUUUUUUUAGGUUCAAUUUGGUAUAUAAAUUUAUUUUAUUAUAUACAAAUUAUGCAAAACACUAACGGUGUUAACUUUUUUUUUGUUAUGCUACAAACAUAUUGUCAGUAUUAGAGAAAAUUCAUAUUAAAAAAUAGGUAUUGAACUAUACUUAACCAAUUAAUAUUAAAUAAUAUUUUUUAAACCCCAAAUUAAAAAAUUAUUAUUUUUUAUUAAUAAAAUUAAAAAGUAGUUGAACAUAUAAAAUAAUAAAAAUAUUAUAUCAUAUGUCAUAUGUCGGUCAUACAUUAAUUAUUUUUGCUACUUUAUAAAAAAAUAACAUUAUCUAGAGUAAUUUAUAAAGCAUUUGACAAGUACCAAAUUAGGAAGAAAAAAAAAGAGACAAAUUCAAGUAUCAAAUUGGAUCCACUAAAAGUUUAAGUACUAAUUUAAAAAAAAAAUAUCAAGUUUAGAUACUAAAUUUUAAAAAAUAUAUAUUAAAAUUUAGAUACCAAAUAUUAUAUAAAAUCAAUUUUAAAUAAUAAAAUAAAAUAACCUCCAACGUCAUAACAAUCAUUUAUUAUGUCGUAAUUCUUUUCCAGUCACUGCGUUGUCUAGGACAUGUUUGUGUCAGAUUAGGCUAAUGUUUUAGUUUGCUUAAAUAAUUUUAUCAUGAAUUUGUCGAUCCAGGGGAUCAAGGGGUGAAGCAUGGUGCAAACACCAUGAUUUUAAAUGAUCUACGGCUGAUUUUAAAAUUAUAAUAAUCAUGCAUUAUCUAUCUAUAAUAUAUCUAUAUUCAUAUUUAUAGAUGUAUAAAUUUUUGAAUUAGUGUAAUAAAUUAAUUUAAUAUCAUUUUAAUUAAAAUUUACAAUUUAAAUUUUAAAUUAAAAAAUUAUUAUGAUAAUAUCUUUCAAUAUUUUACAUAACAUAACCACCUAAAAACAUAUUUAAUUUUAAUUUACAUUGUUAUGAUUUUAUCCAUAAUUUCAUGAUUUUAUAUUUUUUCAUAUUUUUCAUUAUUUUUGUUUUGUCUAAUAUAUUUUCUUUGAAAACAUAUGUGGUUUUAUUUUUAGUUUCUAGACAUAUUUUUGGCGUAAAUAUGAGAUUUAUCAAUGCAACGGUGUCACCAUAAAGAUUAGGAACCAUUCUCAAAUGGUCUUACUACAAUAGAUCAUAGUAAUUGUCAUAUAUCCAAUAUGAUGACGAGGAUGAUACAUCAUUCGAGAAUUGACCUUUUGUGUAUCAUUGAUACGGUGGGUUUCUUGGGGCUUUUGGCAGUUGCCUCUUGAUUGAUCGAUAUGAGUUGUUAAGUUGAUUUGAUGAUGACGGUUUAAGAUGCAAAUUUCAGUGAUUUUGUAACAUCCCGAAAUAGGGCCUAAACGGAAUAGUGGUUGCGAAACCACAAAUCCGAGGUAGAAAAAUUUAUUUUAUUAUUAUUUUGAGGUUCAUGGUAUGAUUGCAUGAUUGUGUGAAAAUUUCGUGAUGAAAUUCUAUGCAUAAAGUGCUUAAGUUGAGGUUAGAGACUAAAUCGAAUAAUUUGCAAAACUUGCAUUCUAGAAGUUUUUAGUAUGAAAUUACUUUGGAAUAUUAAUUAGGAGGGUUUAAAUAACAAUUUGACCAAUUUUAAGUUCAUGGACAAAAAUUAGGACAUGGAAGGAAUUUUUGAAAGUUUAGUAAGGAGGGGUAAUUUGGUCAUUUGGAUAUUAAUUGAAUUAAAAAUGAAAAAAUAACACAAAAAUGGUCAGCUUCUCAAUUAGUUUCUGCCGAUUUUUGCUCUCCUCCAUAGCUGGGGUUUCUUCAACUUUCAAGCUUCAUAGUAAGUGAUUCCAAGCCCCGUUUUUAAUGAUCUUUACGUUUUUGGAGUCCCGGUAACUUGAUUAAGCUUAUUUUAGCAAUAAUUCAACCUAGGGUUCAUAUUUGGAAAAAUACCCAUGGCUGAAAUUUGUGUAUUUUGGUGUUUUAUGAUAGAAUAUGAGGUUUUAAAUUAUGUUAAACAACUUAUGCUACUCGGUUUUAAGUGAAAACGAGUAAAAUGGCUUAAAUUGGAAAAAAACACCAAUAGUCAUAAGUAUAUGUUAGAGUGUGAUUUUGAUAUUGCCAUAGAAUGGAAAAAUGAUCAGCAUGUCAUAAAACAUAAGAAAAUAGGAUGAAGUUUAAUUUACGAGCCUUGGGGCAAAAGUGCAAAUAUGUGAAAGUUUAAGAGUAAAAAUAUAAUUUUGCAAAAAUUGGGUCAAGGACUGUUUUAAUAAAUGUGAAUAUUAAAUAAGUUAAAUUUGCUAUUAUAGAUCAAGAAGAACAAAAUUCGGGAGUAGAUCGGGGAAAAGAAAAAGUAAAUGACUAAAUUGUAAAGUUUAGUCACAUUUUGUAUCAAAGUAAGUUACAGUAAAUAAAUGCAAUAUUCUUUUAUUUUACAUUAUUAUUGUCAAUUUCCAGCAUUUAUAUAUUAUGUUAUGAAAAUAUUUAAAGUCGAAUUUAAGGUGAAGUGACAGAGGAAAAGUGUUAGAAAGCCCCGGUUGAACCCUAGGAAUGUUAGGAUAUUAGGGUUGACAGGACAGAACAGAAAUGAGCCAUGUAAGUCCAUAUUAUAUAUGGCAUUGGAGACAGGAAUAAUUCAUGUAAGUCCAUGUCAAAGAUAUGACAUUGGCAGGAUAUUGAUAGACAGGAACGACCCUAGUAUCCUUAGUAUUCCGAGUGGUUCAACGGGUCAGGAUACGAGUUAAAUUACAGUGAAUUAACAGCAAAGGAAAAGUAGAUUGUACUUAUGAAAAAGGAAAGGUCAGGUAAGAAAGAAGGUAAGGGAAUAAAGAAGAAGAUAGAAAUUGAGAAGUAAAGAAAUUUAUGAUGUUAGAUGAUAUUAUGCAUAAUUAUCCAUUAUGUUGAAUGUUGUGAUUUAUUUGCUUGUAAGCUUACUAAGCCUAGCGCUUAAUAUCUUUAUUUUCUUCUUCUUAUAGUACUUAUCUAGUCACUCGGGGAUCGAAGGAAACGUCGGAGGCCGAUCACACUAUCAAAGAAAUAACUCGGUAUAACUAGACGUUUUGUUUUGAGUAUGGCAUGUAUAGAAACUUAGCUACUUUUGGUAUAAUAUGAACAAUGAAUGAUGUGUAAAUACUUGCUAGUGAUUAGCUAAUAAAAUAACCGAUGAUAUACAUGUUUAUUAAUAUGUAUGAUUGAAUGAUGAUUAUCACAUGAAAAUUAUGAAAAAUGUGAAAGUAACCUAAAAACAG